UUUUUUUUGUUUCAAGUUAAUUUUUUGUUUUUGUGUUUUCAGAUUGUUUUGAUAUGCUGAUAUCAAAAUUAAAUUUUAAAAAAAUCAAAAAAAUUAUUUUGAUGCAUUUCCAAGCAAAAAACACUUUGAAAAACAACCGCUACCACAAUAUCAAACAGACAAGUCCCAAUAAGUUUUUCCAUAACCAGAAUUUUAAUUAGUUAAUAAUAAAGUAGAAGAGAAGUUCAAACAAAUUUAAAUUUAAAAGAUAUUAAUAUAAUAACUUUAAAUUUAAAUAGAAAUAGAAAUAAAUCUUGUCAUCUUUGAAAUAAGAGUAAAUAUUUUUUCUUAUGGUACUAUCACAUGCUUACGAGGAUCGUGAGAAGCCGCCGCUCUAGAGUUAUCCUUAUGUAUAAAAGGUAAAAUAAUAGAAGUUGCAAUUUGAACCUCCGUUUAUAUAUUAAUUUAAAUUUAAAUUUUAUUUUCAAUGAUUUUAAAAACGAAUCUCAUAUUCAUUUUAAUCAUGAUAGAUUAAUGAGGUGAUUUGGAUAAACAACGCGAAAUGAACUUUUUGCGCGAAAAGGAAAUUCUUAUGUUAACCUUUUUCAUAUCAAAUUAUACGUUAUUCACCUUUAAAUAUCGCAAAAAAAAAAAAAAAAAAAAGGUUUCAAUUGAUGGGGAUCAUCAGAAACUCAAUCAAAAUAGAAACUAGAAAUAAAACAUGAGAUAAAAAGGUCUAGGAGUUCUGUGAUUUUUGUGAAUCUUGAGUUUUGCCAUCUUUCUUGGUCAUUUUUAUGGAGUGUUUUGCGUCUACUGUUGUUGUUUCUAUCUCUGAUUCAAGUCUUUCUAGUGCUAUAUUUGUUGUUCAUCGCCCUUCAUUGUGGUUUCACGGCUCUUGCAAUUUUUGCUGCUAUUUCUUGUGUUGCUUUUUAUUGUUUUUAUAAGAAUAUGGUUUGCUUGAUGGUUUGAACUUGAUCCCUCCUACCCUAGUUUUGGGGCAUGAGAGUUCUUAUAUUUAUUAAUUAAUGUUUUAGGAAUUCCCAGUACUGUUUUCUCAUUGUAAGUUCGAAUUUUAACAAGGUAAAUUACAAAAAGCUAUGAAUAUAUGUAAGAAAUCUGAGAGGCUCUUCCAUGUGCAAGCUGCUAAUUACGAUCCAUGAAAGCUUUCCGCUUUCCCAAGAACAACUUGCAGAUUACAUGCGAAAAUAUAUAUCAACUAUUUUUUUUUUCUUUUUUUUACUAGUAUGAAAAUCUGAAUCAGUUUGCGUGUAUUUUAACUAAUCUUAUGGGUCCUGAAGUUAACGACUAUAUAAGUCUCAAGUGAAUCUAAGGUUUGUAGAACUCGAAUUAAUAACCUUUAAAAAAUAAAUCUAGAAUCUAACUAGUUAAACCAUACCAUCAUAAUUAACUCUUUUUAUUUAGUUUGUCGAGCGGUCUCAUGUGACUUUCCUUCCUGUUCAUGAAGAGGCGCCAAGAUAAUUUUCAAGGUAAUAUUUUUUAUUUAUUUUUUAUUUCAGCAGCUCGUACAAGUAAAUAUAGAGAUUUUCUAUGAUUUAACGUUGAAAUUAUUCAAUAUGCGUGUGUUUUUGGGUGUGAUGGUCCGUCAGAUUGGAUGAUACCCUCUCCAUGCUUGAAUAACCGGGGUAAUUUUUAUCCACCUUCACCUCUUAUCUUCAUGAAAGCAAAAAUCCUCUUUCCCCAACUACAAGUAAAGUUAGUGAAGGUUGUAUAAUAUGGUUGAAACCGUAUUUUAAAAAAAAUUAAUUUUUUUAUUUAAAAUUAUUUUUUAUAUAUAUUUUUAGAUUAUUUAGAUUUGUUGAUAUUAAAAAUAAUUUUUUAAAAAUUAAAAAAAAUAUUUUAAUGUAUAAUCAAAUUGUAUAAUCGAAGUAAUUAAUAGUUCCCUGCAAAAUGCUCUUGUUUACGGAUUACUCCAUAAUUACACAAUGGUCAUCAAAAUGCUCUGACCAUGGUAACAGUGAUGUAGAUAUCACCAAACCAAUAGCUAUCACCAACCAACCAAUAGUUGCUUUGGAUUCAAGCUGCCUGAAGCUGCAUUUGUCACUGAAAGUACCUACCCAUUUCUAUUGGUUCCUAACUCCUACUCAUAAACAAAUAGAUAAGUUAUGAGUAAUCUGCAAGUUGCUCCCUGAUUUUAACUCAAAACCAUCAAGAACACCUUCUGUCAUCUUUGUGAUCCUGCAAGAAACAGGUUCUAGCAGGUGCAACAUUACCUAAGCUGAUAGAGGCACAAAAGGCUAUAGAACUUUCCAUUAGGAGAACAAGGAUGGAUGAAAACAAGAUACACAUGGUAUUUCUCAAUAAGCUAGCCACAUCUUAAUUUUUAAACAACGAUCCUCUCUCUCUGUCAGAGUUGAAAAAUGAAAUUGAAACUAUAUAUUUUAAUUAAACAGGGGAAAAGAAAAGAAAAUAAAUUAGAUGAUGUUUCACCAUCUACUCACCUAUACCUACAACGUCUCAACAGAAAGAAUGCCCGUUGCUUAAAAAAAUAAAAAGCCUCUACUUCAUUCAUAUAAAACUAUAGAUGAAACAAGAUGGCAAGAGGGUAAGGCAACCUAUGAACCAUGCUGUACCGACGGGACCUGGCAUUCCGAUCCGAAUGGCCUUCAGAAGACGUCCAGGCGAUAUUCUUCAAAUGUGUUAGAUGGCAGGUAGAGGAUACAAUGGAUCCAAUCAACUGUCCUUACCAUUACUACUGUGACAGCACUUACCCUGGGAAUCAUCCGCCCUAUGUAGAUGUUCUAGCUUUUCUCUUUACAACAGCUUUGUACCUGGUAACACUAGCCAUUAUGGUAGUAGAUAUAUCAAGACGUGGUCGAACAUAUCUCAGAGAAUCAAAGAGAUACCUGCAACCAUCUGGUCCAGUCUCCCUCCCUCUAAUCCUCUUAGUACUUGCCAAGGGUUCACGGAUCAAUACCGUAUUCCCUCUCUCCUGCUUUGGACCAGCAAUCCUUCAGCUGCUUCAGGUAUCUGCCCUCACAUUCGAUAGCCGCAUUGAAAAAGAUGUCAGGUAUGCAUUCCUCCAGGCAUCAACCAUUUCUGGAAUUCUACAUGCAAGCCUGUACUUGGAUUCCAUUAUCUUACCCUACUAUACAGGUUUUGAUGCUCUAGUUUCAUCUACAUUUUCUGGGGAGUGCCCAACUUGUGUUUGCCGAAAAGAGGUUUUGGUUGUGGGUGGAAGGUUGAUCAGGUACAGGGGGUGGUCAUUAACUACAUUUUUGGUUAUAGGAGUUCUGUGUUCAAGAAUUUUAUGCAGGGUGACUGGAGAGAAUAAGAGCAAGAUCAUGUCAAUCAAGACCUUGCUGGAAAGUUUAGGUUUGAUCUUGAUCACCGUGGACUGCAUUUAUCUAAUAAGGAGAAGUCCAGAACAGUCUCUGAUGCGAAUUGCUGCUUUUGGAGGUGUGCUCGUGUUAAUUUGCCUUCAAAUGAUAAAGAAGAUGUCUGCUCAGAUGAUCCAAUGGCAUUCUGCACAUGUAAAGUUAGACAGGUAGGAUUUGCACCAGACAGCUAGGACCAGACAGUCCUAGGUUUUCAAAUUGUAAACCAUCCGUUUGCAUGGCCAGAGGGUAUCUUGAGUGAUCUCUCUUGUACAGGGAAUAGAAACCAAAUGUACAGAAUACCAAUAACUAUUUGUUUUCCUGUUCUCUUUUCCUUCAUUUUUCACCCAACAGGCCAACAUAUAUGGUGGCCGAAUGAUGAAGUCUGAAUUUUAUGAUUGUAAGAGUUCUCAACUACUUUUUUUUUUUCUUUUGACCCAGAAUAAUAUAACAGAUUGCACCUACUUUGAAAAUAAAAAUGCAAUCAAUUACACCCGAAAGGAGAAAGAUAUCAUCCAAUCAGACAGGCAACCAAGAAAUUUAGAAAAAAAUUAAUCAUGGGUCAAACAAAUAAUCCAAUAAAAAAUAUAUUCAUAUAAUCUUCAAGUAUUCCACCAGAGUUGAAUAAACAAUUGGGCAAAACUGAUCACAAUUCUCCAUCAGUUGUUCAUGUACCAACCCGAAAGGCACCAAAAUUUGCUUCUACCCCAAGACAAAUAAACAAUCUGAUGCAACUCACAAGAAAAACCUUCUUCGGCUGGUGUCCAUUUCCGGCUGCAAUUCAAACGGGAAGAAAUAUUAACAGUUUCAAAUCCAACAAAAUUGGAAAAUACAAGGCCUCAACAAAUCGAUAUACAAAACAGAAACCAUUCAUAAGUUACCUUGUGAACCCAUUCAUAUUCACCACCCUUGGUAUCAAAGGUUUCAUGCUGGAGACUUCUCAACUUCAGUGUGAAUCGAGGACCACACUCCUGCAUGUUUAGAGGAAAAUUAUUGAUUAUUGGCACUGACUAAUGAGACCAUUGGGAUUUCAGACCAAGUGAUGUUUUGGUAAAAUUGGGACCAAUAACUUAAGGGUAUACAAAUGAAGUAGUUGAAAUUAACAAGGUCCUACAAUUCCAGAUGUGUUUGAAGGCUCGCGCCAAAAUUUUAAGAUCCUGGUAGAAAGGAUAUUGACUACAUAACAACGAAUGCUAACAAAAAAAUCCAAUAGGGAACCGUAACCUGAAGGCGUGCAAUCACUUUCUGUUGAGUGUUCUUCUCGCCCUUGCCAUCUUUUCUGUUUUUACCUUUUGAAUCACUCUGUUUACUCUCUUUGGUUUCAAAGAUGUACCUGUCCACAAAACAGUAGGAAAAUUCAUCAGAAAGGCAUUUGUGAAAAAGAAAAAGAUUACCUAAAGGCUUAGCCUCGGCAGAAAAUGACAGAAAUCAAUGCCUACCGGUGAUGCCGGAAGAAUAUAUAAUCGCGUUGAUUAUGAAAGGUAACAACUCUCCGACCGCGGAAAUUUGGUUCUUGUGGGAAAAGUGACUGUAUUAGUCUGGAGGAUACAUAUGAACAAAAGAAAGUGGUGUUAAAGAAGAAAACCAGUAAGUAAAAAGUCAACAAAAGACAAUGACAUGCAGAAGAACUGUGAGGACACACAAACCACACUGAAAAAACAUUUAUAAAUGAUAGAAAACAAGAGCAUUUUUAGAGGGAUGAGAACACAUAUGACUACAGUGUAUUUCAAUUCAUUCUUCAUGUCAACUGUGAGGAGAAUUUACAACUUUUCUAAUAUGCAACAUGAAGAAAAUUUCAUACCUCCCAAUACGAUGACCCAGACAAGUUGUGAAGUUAGUCAAGACCAGCUCGGGCUCAUGACUGGUGGGAUUUCCGUGACUCUACAGGCAAUACAAUGCAGUAAAGAUAAGACGUUAGCCUCACAGAAACUACAUCUGAAGAAACUGAAAUCACAUGCAUGACCACGUAAAAAAACGAAUCAGGUUAUUCUAAUAUAUUGAAACUUAAUUAGAUAAUACUUCUAAAAUCACAUUUCUCUCUUCAUCAAUCAAUUUAUCUUUGAUUAGAUAAUCUUGCUCCAAUCAAACAGGCCUCGUCCAUUUAAAGGCCUGACAAAUUAGAUUUAAUUGAUAUUUGGGGAUGCAUAAUUAUUAAAGACUUUCUUUAGUUUCUUUAAAUCAAUUAUCUUUAGAAUAGACAGUACCUAACAUUGCAUUUUAAAAAAAGUUCCAUAUCAAUAUACAAACCUUGAUAUCCUUGCGUAGAACAAGCCGUGAGAGCUUGAAAUGGGCAGUAGGUCCGUCAGGCAAGCCAAUGAUCAAGAGACCAUCUACAAGAAAGUUACAAACUUGUUAAGUUUCUUGUAGACAAUCACCGUCUCCCAAAGUUUAUCCGUUGAAAAUUCAAUUCAAUUCCAAUCUAAUAGUUAUUACAAUAGGAAAACAUGUCAAGAGCACAUGUAUCCUAUGCAAUUAGGCACAUGUUCUUUAUUGAAAACUAACAAGUACCACUCACCUGGCUCCCUGCGGUUGGUGUGAACAACUAUAAGAGAAGUAAAAUCCUGCUUCUUUGCAUAUUCUACAAUCUACAAAAAUGUUAUGCAUAUCUUCGUAAGAGAUUUAACACUGGAAUAGCUCAGCUUCUUCUAUUAGGAAAAGAGAGAGGGAACGAGAACCAAUAAAAGAACACCUUUUUCAAGUCAUAAGUUCCUCUCUUGUAAUAAUGUGCAUUUGGGAUCACCUCAAGUAGUUCUGAUAUAAAAGCUGGUCCCCUCUGUCGAGGACAAAUGACAUGUAAAGACAAUCAACCAUAUCAGAGGCGCAACACGAGAUUUAAAUUGGCACCCAAAUAUUAUUUGAUCUUCCUUUCAUGGUUACUUGAUGACUCUGUAACAAAAACAAAUUAAAAGGAGAUGGAAAACUUACAGUAGAAUUGAAACGGGAAGUGGUGAUCAAUAUCUUCGGAAUCCGAUCGCGUUUUAAAACGGAGCUAAAUUCAUCAGCAUCAUUACCAGCGAAUAGCUAUAAACCAACAGAAUUAGCACAUAAGCUACGACAAGCAUUUGCUAUUUUGGCCAUAAGUAAAAAGAGUAGAACGAAUCUUCCCAAAUAUUCACCAGAACAGAUCACUAUAAAUUGAAAAUUAGCAGAGCAAUAGCUAUGAGGUAGUACCUCGUCGUCGGGCUUGCAUACAGUCUCGUCAAACUCUCUAGUAUUCUCAAUGGUGCGUGGAAUCUUCCUGGGAGGAGGCUGCACAAAAAUUACAUCACACCAAAUCAAUUCUUAUUCCGCAAAAAAAAAAAACAACCCUAAUGCCAUAUUACAAAAGGGGACCUGACCUCCUCGCCGAGCUCGAGAGCGCGCUUCUCUUCGGCGUCUCGGGCUUUAAGCUUCUUCCGCUUCUCGACUUUCUUUUGCUGCUUGAGUUUAGCGUGUACGGCAGACCUCUUCUCCUUGUUCUUUAUCAUUGAUGGGAGUAUUUCUUUCUUUUUCUCCUUCUCCUUCUCCUUCUCCUUCUCCUUCUCCAUUUUCUUCAUCUUCUUCUUCUCCUUUCUGUCUACCACUACAUCGUCGUCGUAAUCUUCCAUUGCUUCGCUUUCGCUCUUCUUUCUCUUUAUUCCCAUCUUUUCUGAUUUCUUUUCGCUUUACAGAUGCAACAGUCUCCGAUUGCAGUAUGCCCCGGGAAAAAAUGCACAGCAGUGAAAUUAGGGUUUUUGAGGAUUUAUUUUUGGGCCCGAGAGAGAAAGGGGCGAGGCCGUUACACUCGGAGUUUGGGCCUGUUUUAUGUGAGGGAACGACAGGUAAUUUCGCUGGGUCAACGAGUGAACAAAUAACUAUUCGUCAUUUAGCUUUGAACUUCAAAAUACAAGUAGAUGAACAUCUCGCGUUAUAUUCUGAUCAGGUUAAAUUGUUUUUAAUGUAAACAAUUAUGCACACGCAAUGCAAGAAAAAUAUGACAAUCUAAUUCGAUUAGAUUUAAUUAAUUUAAUAAUAUAAUAAAAAAAUUAAAAAACAAAAUUACAUAAACCAAACAAAACAAAACAAAAUUAAAAAUGAUUAAUUGUGAAAAAUGAACACACUAUUCCAUAAUAUUCUCCCAAUAUUUUUAAAAUAUUUCAAUGAAUUUAUUUGAUAAAUAAAUAAAAAUUAAAUAAAAAUAAGAUAACCUUAUAAAAAGUAAAACGAAAAAAAAAAUUAAAGAUCAAUUUCUAAAAAAUUAAAUGUUAAAUGAUGAAAUUAAAAAAAAAUAAAAAAACCAACUCGAGUACACUCAAUUCAACAUGCUAAUUUCGUGACCUAGAGACCAUGACAAACCUGUAAAAAGAUAAUUAAAUAAAACCACAAAGCUCAAAUCUCAAAAACCAACUCAUAAUUGAAGGGCGAGACUGGAAAAAAUCAAUUAAAAAAAUAAUGAAAAAAAACUCGAAUCAACCAGGUUAAACGAGCAUCAACUGAGCUCUAAAAUUUUUUCUUAAUAUUGCGAGAUUUUUAAAUUCCAAAUAAAAUCAAUGUGAAAUAAUCAUAUUAAAAAAAAAAAAAGUUAAGUGACCGUGAAAAAAAAAAGGGCAUGAACUCUCACUGAUCGUACAAAUCAUUCCUUGAUUUUGGUAAUAAAAAAGGGGUUGGAUAUUUCUUUAAGCUUCAAAUUUAAUUCUUAAAGUUUGAAUUAUUUUAAAUCAAUAAAAUUAAAUUACAUGUUGCCGAACAUUAACCUAGCGACAUAAUAUUUCCUCAACACCCUGAGAUCCUCUUACGCGCAUGCAUGAAAAACAAAUCACCAAGACCAAUUGGAAAUCAAAGAAAAAUAUUAAAGAAUCAAAUAAGAAGAAACAAAAUUGAGGGACCAAAACAUAAAAAAAUCUUAGGAACUGAAAAAAAAAAAAAAAAAACAGUGUUUGAAUGAACUUUCUCCGCAUCAGCUACUGUGAAACACUAAAUUAACCCUUUCAGAUUUUUGUUUAUAAAGCACUUGCCUGUUUGAGCGUCCAAGGUUGUUCGCUCUUCUAUGCUAUGAAGGAAAAUAAUUUACAAACAUUUUUUUUCCCAUCAAGGUCUCUCAUAACAAUAAUUAUACGUGUAUUAAAAUUAUUUAUGCAAAAAAUUUAUUUGUAUAUCAUAUUUUUAGAAAUUAUUUUUACAACAUUACUUCUUCUAUACAAUAUUUUUAGUCCAUCUCUUUUACUAUUUUUUUCAGAUCAAUUUUUAUAUACCAGGAUAUUUCUAUUAUUAUUUUCAAUUUGGUAUAAAGUAGGCUAUCUACGACUCCAUGAUCAAGGGAGGAGUGUCCAUCUCUUUCAAUUCUUUCAAUUGCAAGUGGAAAGCAAGUUAAGUUAAGCUAAAUGAGUAGUAGACAAUGACUGUUCUAUCAAUUCAAAUUGGACUUGCACAUGUUACACUUGAAUUUUUUUUGCUUGCAUUUUCACUACAGCCUUGAAUAACCAGCCUCCUCCCACCAUAUAUAUAAUUAACUCUGAAAGAGCAUUUAUUGAUCAUCCUGAACGGGUUCUAUGGAUUACUCUUUGAAUUUGUUGCUGAUAUUUGUGCUUCUGUGUCAUGGUUUUCCUCUUCGUCGGUUAGUUGGGCUUGCUUCUCACCACAAUCCACUGCUUCAGUCCUUUUACCCCACAGGAGAAUGUACAGACCUAGAAUAACCACGAUAGAUCCCAGGACACUGUUGAUUACAACUGCAGAAUGUUAGAACAAUAAAUAAUCUGUAGCAAAGUGAAAGCAUAGUGUGUGUGUGUGUGUGUGUGUAAUGAAAGGAAUCAACCUUCCAAGAUAAAUUUGUUCAUGCAGGAUAGAGAAAUCAAACAUAGCAGCGAAUAUCUGUAUGAAAGGGGUGAACGCAGAUGUGAACACAGGUCCCCUUUGUUUGAUACACCAUGACAUCCCAACAUAGCACAAGCCUGAUCCUAUGAUCCCCUGUGGCAAGAAGUGAAACGGUAAUAUUUCAAGCCUCCUGUUUGAAAUUGAAAUUAAUAAUGAAACUUCUUCUCUUUAUUUGUACGAAGCAAGAAAUAUUCAUUUAAGUUGUCCUGAUACUUACAGCAUUAAGGACGCUUAUAAUCUCCAGUUUUGAUUUAAGAAUCCACAUGGAAAACUUCCUUUUCAAGAUUGAACUUAAUGCAGCUGACUGGAUUGCACCAAAGAAGGACAUAAUGGCAGUGCUGGAGUAUUGACAUGGAUAAAUUUUGCUUAUCUUAGCUUGCAUGAGGAACCAUGCAGACCACAUGAAGCAGCCUGCAAGAGAAAGUAUCGAACCAGCUACCCAACUCCGUUUCUUCUUUCCUGAGAUCAGGAUGUCAUGAGUUGUGGUGGCUUCUGAACGUGGAUUGGUUAAUGGGAUUCCUUUAUAAAGGAUUAACAGGACAGCUCCUCCCAUGCAAAUAAAUGUCCCUAAAACCUUUGCUCUUCCUGCCUUACUUGACAUGUUCAGUUUUUCUAGUCUGGAAAGAGUUUGAACACCAAUUACCAAUAAACAUUAUUUUUGGUCAGAAAAUGCAGUAAAUUACUCCUUGCUUGUUGUGCUUACCUAAAAAGCAGGGCUAGUAUGAACGUGUUUACAGGGACCGUGUUGAGGAAGGCACAUGAGAAGGUGACAGAUAUAUACUCGAGUCCCAGAAGGAACAAGUACUGUGUGAGGGUUAACCUGAUAGACAUCAAUAAUUCUCAGCGUUUCUCUGUAAUUGUCAGGGUAAUUGUAAUUUUAAAAUGAACAAUUAGCAUAGCACAAAACCAUCUAGAAUAUUAAAUGUGUAUUUUAACGAACCCAACAAAGGCACCGAGGAAGAGGUGGCAAAAGAUGGAAGCUGUUAGCUUAGGUCUGCCUUUCCUGCAAGAAAACUAACUAUAUUACAGUCCCUGUAAGAACCUGUCCGUAUAAGAAGUUAAGUCCAUCCUCCAAGACAAACUCAGAGCUAUUUCCAAUGAAAGGAGCCGCAUUGACAAUAACUAGUUGAUAAACGUCACAAUUGAACGCAGAGAAGCUAAACAAGCAUUAAAAAAUAAGUGUGCAGACGCUAAAAGAAUAUUGCUAGAAGGGAGAGACGAAGUAGCUACUACCUUUCCCAAAAGUACGCAAUGGGCGCCAAGAAAAUUGCAGAACUUGACAGUCUGUAAGUGGCAAUAACCAUAUUGUUUGUUCCUUGAUCAAUCAUCUUUUUAAGAAGUAAGUUCACUAUUGCGAAGGCAAAACUAAUAACCAACAUUCCGACAACAGGCUUCCAUUGUCCUACGUCACUCAUAUUUUCUCUGAGUGCAGUGCAGUAUAUAGAUAGAAAUUUAGGAGAAGCUGAACUAGUCACAGAAUAUUUCCUCUCCCUAACAGAUACCCACUGUAUGCAAUCGCAGUGCAACUGGACUGAUAAACUUCAUCUAUAUAUAGGCUCGGCACUUCCAAAAGGGGAAUAAACAUGACUACAUAAUCAAAAUGAUCGACACAUAAUUGCGCAACCGACUUUCCAUUUUUUAAUCAAUAUUCUCCGUGCAGUCUUUUGCUAGACCUUUUUCUCUUUGUAGUUGGAGAACACAGAAUCAAAUCCCAAAGCAAAGCUAAUAUUUAAGCAUCAUAAAAACAUGACCUCGUAGAUUAAUUUGUCACGCGUUUCGGUAAUUAAUUUGGCUAAUGACCAUAUUUAACAAAAGGAAGGAAGGCUCUAUGUCACUGAAGCCUUUAUGCUAUUGGACAUAUAGUAAUUAAAUAUGCAGGAAGCAAUCAGCAUCUUUUGAAAGCUGGGAGGCAGAUAUGACACAAGCAUCCCUUUCUGCGAAGUAUCUAAUACUUUCAAAAACAGAUUGACCAACUAGCUCUUUCAGAUUCCAGUGAAGGUAAGAACAACAUGUCAAAUCUUAAAAGCAAAUUAGUUGCCAAAACAAUGGGAUGCUUGAUGCAGGCGGAAGAUGAAUACAGUAAAAAUGAAGAAAGAUCACGGGAAUUUUAAUCAACGAAAAGAGUUGUUCAUGUGAACCCCAAGUUUGCAGGUUUUAUUUUCUCUCCAAAAACAACAAUAAAGUAUGCCUUUUUAGGAGAUUUACAAAGCUUUAAAUAGGUUAUAAACCCUUUCUACUAGGAAACAAAAAUAAGAAUAUGAGAUUACAAAAGAAGAAAGCAUAAAAUCUAAAAAUAACAAAGAAAAUCACAAAAACUGAUAAAAUCAGGGCUCUGGUAUGAGAUUUUUAAAAUCUAAAGAUCUGAUGGUCGGAGUAACGAUUCCAAGGCUAUUUUGAGAAAAAACAGUCUUCGGAAACUUCUGUAAAAAUUUGAGCACGAUCCAACGGUCGGAUUAAAAGUUAUGGCCCUUUUGAGUUGUUAUUCUGAUCUAGCGCGACCAAAUCUUCUCUUGAGCCUAGACCUGUCCCACUGGUUCAUAAAUGUCUCUGUUAGACUAUUCAUGUAAUCUGUUUGGAAUAAAUCUUUAUUUAGUUAUAGUAAAUUCAUAACUAACUGUUUAGAAUCACUUGUUGAAAGAAGCAUGAUUACAUCAAUGCUUUGUAAUUGUAACUAGUGCAAGUUAUGUUUUUUCCCUUCUGUCACGCAUUUACAGGCUUAGAUCUGAAAACUAUACUGAUAAGUGUUUGAAGACGUCACAGUUAACACGUUAGGAUAAUUAUUUCUAUUAUCUUUCUAUGGCAGCACAUUAAUUCUGGGAAUACUCUCGGUAGCGCUAUACUGUAAAUGAUAUUACACAUGCCCUAAGGCCAGAAGUAUACAGGUUAUACAAUUGGAGGUGCAUGAAAAAGAUUUCUGAUAGCAGACAGUUUUCUUUGAACUUGAUUCUAUUGCCUCUCCUUUGCUUUUUUAUUUUUUAUAUUUUUACUGAGUAUCUUGAACGAAAACGAACCUCGAAUAAGGGUAAAUGGAUAAGGCCUCAAAGAAAGAAAGGCCAGUCUCUUCCACCAGAACAAAACAGCUCUUAAAUUUUAUUCUGUCUAUAACCUUCAUGGUUAAAUGUUUAUCCAUUUACAUAGCGUAUGAUAAGUUGAAACUUUCGAAAGUAUUCUUGUCCUUGAUAAAAAGCUUUUUUCUACACCAGGAUACUAAGAUUUAUUGAUAUAUUCUUUCAGAUUUUCACCAAAUUCAGAAAAGUAUCAGCAAUAAUUCUUAAAAUGGUUCAAAAUAUAAUAAUAUAUACCAGUUUUGAGAUCAAGCUAGCUAAAUGGCAAAAUACAUUCGAAAUCUCUGAUUCUGAUUGGUGAAAGGAGGCCAGUAUGAGGCAUGACUUCCCUUUGUAGCUAACUGCCACUGAUCCUUGUGGUCAUUUAAUCAGGGGAUCAAAAUGACAGGAUUGACAUUUUUACGAUCUUCAUUUUGGUUGAUAAGAGUUUUACAUUUGUUUAUUCUGGAGAAAGAAUGAAUUGGAAGUUUAUUGAUUAUGAUUUAUUACAGGUGUCCAUGAAAUAUGCUUGCUUACAGCAGCAUCCUUUCAGAAGUGGAUGCUAAGACUCUUCGCACCAUGAAAACAUUGGCAUUGUAGGAAUAUCGAAUUUCGGUCAGCGUUUCUUGAAAAACUUCCAGGCAACCUCUGUUAGUUCGUAAAAAUAAACCUUUGGGAUAUUAAGUGGCUAUUGGGAAACAAGACAAUCUGUGGCACGAGACGGCCUCCAGUCACUUGUGCAACUCGAGUUUCCUUGCGAAGUUAAAGAAUGACGUGCAUAUUCAACAAAAAUAAAUAAAGCAAAACCAGGUGAGUUCAAUCGACAAUCCACUGACAAACUGGGGAUGGUGAUCAUCCUGAUAAACAACAGUUUUUCAUCAUAUUGAGAUGCAUUGAACUAGCAUUCGUACUGACAAGACUCGGUACUUCAACAAAGAAAUGAAAUUCAUAUCUGCUUAUAAGUAGUAUCAAAGUCUAGUUACCAAGCUCUGUUCAACCAAAAAAAAAAAGAAAUGGAAGCAAAAAGAAAGGAGAAAACCUAAAUGCUUAUAUGUGUUUGGAGAAGCAAUUAUCAAUUGUGCUUGCUUCUGUAUCUGAUCUCUGCGUCUUAUGUAAUAUCUUCUUACAUCUAAGACUAGCAAUAUUUUGUGCAACUGACCAUAUAUGCUUGGUGUGGUUCUAUUGUCAUUUUAUUCUGAAGCAUUUCCUGGAACCCUAAUAUUUCAUAUUGAAAGUUUGCUCAACAAAUUUUAUGGCCCUUUUCUAUGCAUGAGAUUGUACAACACAGUGAUUAUCAGGAUGUAGCACCUGUUAAUUCUCUGAAAAUGCUCCAAGAUAAAAAAUAAAAUAAUAAUAAUAAAAAAACCAUCAACUUGCAUUAGUAAAUUUGCAAUGGCACUUGGAAUGGGAGUAGCUCGCAAUUUGAAUUGUCAAGUCAGUAUUAGAACCAUAAAAAUACAGGUUGAAGAACAUUCAAUGUGAAAACACAGGUUUCUAUCCCUCGAAUGCAAUGCCCAUAUGCAUCGAGAUGAUCGAGUUACUUAGAACCAUUAAAAUAUGAUCGAGUAACUUAGAACCAUAAGAAUAUCAGUAAGAAAGAAAGAAAAAAUUACGCCCUCGAAUGCAAUGCCCAUAUGCAUCGAGAUGAUCGAGUUACUUAGAACCAUUAAAAUAUGAUCGAGUAACUUAGAACCAUAAGAAUAUCAGUAAGAAAGAAAGAAAAAAUUACGCCCUCGAAUGCAAUGCCCAUAUGCAUCGAGAUGAUCGAGUUACUUAGAACCAUUAAAAUAUGAUCGAGUAACUUAGAACCAUUAAAAUAUGAUCGAGUAACUUGGAACCAUAAGAAUAUCAGUAAGAAAGAAUGAAAAAAUUACGCCCUCGAAUGCAAUGCCCAUAUGCAUCGAGAUGAUCGAGUUACUUAGAACCAUAAGAAUAUCAGUAAGAAAGAACGAAAAAAUUACGGUAUUAACUCAAUGAAUAUUUUUACAAGCAUGGGAAAUCUCGACAAGCCCCAACCAUCUCAACCUCGGCACAAAAUAAAUAAUAAAUGACAGAAUCAAAGCCAAAUUGCAAAAUUGUCAAAUUAAAAAAACCCAAACAAGAGAGAAAACCCAAUCAAGAUAAGCCAGACAAUAUGAAUCAAAAGAAGUGCUUGACCGGGUAGAGAAGCGCUGCCACCACUUCCAACCUCGCAAGCCCCUAAUUUAGCAACACGAGUGCCACUGCACAUAGCGUCAGCGCACCCACACCAAUAAGUAACACCAUCAAAACCACACACAGGAUCCGCACGGAAACAAUUGAUUGGGCAUGAAGCGGGUGCUUUUAACCCUGCGCAUGCUUCACCCUUUCCAUCCUUGUUCGUGACUUCUUGAAUUAAUAUUGCAGCGUCAGGCUCCGAUCGCGCGAUCUGGAAGCAGAGGCUGGAUAAGAAAAUGGCGAUGCAUAAGGUGGAAAUUAAUGAAAGUUUCGACAUGGAUUAAUUUGUUUAGGAUUUAGGGAUCUGUGGGUCUAACCCUAACCCUAACCCUAACCCUAAAAUAUAGGAAAAUAUGGAUACGGAGGCAAGGGGUAAUGGGUUCUUGUUACAGACUAUUGAAUUUUGAAAGCAGAGGAAUUCGUGGAAGAGAGGGAAUUGGGCGAUGCGAUUGGUAUGGCGAACACCAAGAAAAGGUAUGCCUAGAGGAAUGGAAAAGGAACAAAACAACGACAACGGUCUUGAGAGUCUUGACGCCAUCCUGCCCAUGGCCAGCUGGGGGUUCGGGUAGGGUAGGGUAGGUGACCGGCUUCAAUUUGUGAGGAACUGUUAACGGGUGUCAAUUAAUAAAUGUGACCGGCUCCAAUUAUAUCUCUAUUCAUAUUUUUAAACCCGACCCGGAUAGUGUCCGGAUCCCAGGUUUUAUCUGGGUUAUAUUGAAUUACCCGGAUUAAUAACUAAUUAAAGCUAUUAGGUGAAAAAAAAAAAAAAAAAAAAAAAAGCAAGUUGAAACCAAACAGAAAUUGAUUAAAACCAUACUUUAUUGUAUUCUCUUUCUCUCUCUCUUUACUUUCUUUUUUUUUUUUCUUUCUAUCAACAGUAUACCUGUUUUCUUUUUCUUAUCAUCGUCAAAAGUUGAAAACUCAUUAUACCAAAAAAAAAAAAAAAAAAACUCCUAGAUCAAGAUAAUUAUUUCAAAGUUAUAUAAAUCUCAAUACUAUAAAAAAAAAAUUACAUGUUCGUUAAUUUUAAAAUUUAUAAAAUUAAUCAAGAUAUAUAUAAAUUAAUCCAGACAUUCACGUUAAAAAAAAUUCACGUUAAAAAAAAUUAAAAAAAUUAAAUUAUUUCAUUUCACCUGCAUCACCGCAUGCAUACACCAAAUCUCAAACAAAAUCAUCACCCAGGUUUCAAAGACACCAUAACCUACAAAUGCAUAGGAAAAGUGAUGAGUUCGUUGUCAAAGCACGUUAGCAAUACAAAAAGUUUGUACUCUCUCCCGUUGAGAAUUCUACGAUCAAUGUAAUUUGAUAAAAUGUUUUGUAUCCUAUCUAUCAUAACUAUAGAUUAUAAAUAAACAUAAAAUUUAACAACUCACGAAUUCAGUAUUGAAAUGAAAGACACGUCCUAAAACAAACUAAUUAAAAUAACAAAAAAGUAAAUAAUAAAUAGUAAAUAGAUUAGAAAGUAUUCAAGUCUCCUAUUACUCAUUUUUUGCACCCUUCAAUGGCUUGCACUCAAAUUGCCUUGUUUUCACGACUUGCACUUAACCUAAAUACAUAGGAUUCUUCGGUCAGAUCUUCGUUGCCUAUGAAAAAGAUGCAAGGUGUCAUGGAACUUAUUGAGAAAAGAUACAAAAGAAGUAAUUUUUUUUUUUAAAAAAAAAUAUAUUGGGUCUCACUUAGGUUGCAUGGGGGCAUCUGGGUUUCGGGUUGACUCUACAAAUUAUCCGAGUUUGAACGGCCAAUUAAAAUUAUACUUUUUGCCAUAUAAAACUCAACCAAGAUCCAUGAUAGACCGAGUUUGAGGUUAACUUGUCAAAUCGAGUUAGAUUUUAAAACAUUAAUAAUAGUGAUUAUCAUAUUAUUAAAUCUACAUAAAAAAUAUUAAUUAAUAAAUUUAACAUGAAAAACUUGAAUUUUAGAAAUAUCUUACUAAAAAUAAAAAUUUUCAUAGAUUUAUAUUGUUUCAAACUCAUUUCAUUAUGAAAACUCUCGAUAGAUUUUCUAAAAUUACGUAAAAAUAACAUCUUUAUUUAUUCGUCCAUUCGGCCUUCGAUUAUUACACGAUUACAAACACUGUUAACGAUGGCAACACCCCAGCUUCCCCCUGAAUCCCUUACAAAAGUCAGGGGAGAACCUUACAAUAGAAAAUGAAAGAAAACACAACACCAGUGAACUGGAAGAAAUGAAAUGGAAGGAGCCAUGGAGCAGGCAGAGGCACAUGGACCGAGAGAAGGGAAAUAUCGACCACCGAUAUGUGGGCACUUAACAAGCCCCUAACUUAACAACACGAACACGGGCACAAGCAGCCUCUGGACAACCACACCCGUAAGUGACCCCAUUAGCGCCACAGACAGGGUCCGCACGGAAGCAGUUGAUUGGGCCGGUGCAUGUCCCUCGAGAGGUGGAUCCUGGACACAGAUUAACACUACCACGCUGCGCUUGCACCAUAGUUAAGCAAAGGCCUAGAACCAGGACCAUAACGAUACAUAACUGGGCUACUCUUAUGGAUGUGGCCAUGUUAGUAGCUUGGUUUCUUGCUGAAGUUCUGGCGGAGGAGGACGUCCGUGGUGACUUGGAGAGGAGGAUGUUUAAAUAAGAGAGGGAGAGGGGGAGAGAGAGAGAGAGAGAGAGUCCUCCAAAUCCGAUAGCAAUAUUUUUACAUAUUAUGGAUAGUCAAAGGAUAAGGAAGGAACCCACAGAGUAGUGGGUGUAGCGGUGGAAGCAGCAGAGUUAAAAAUCUAUUAGACCUGGAUUCAAAGUUCGUGGACCGUCAAUCAAAUCGAGUAAGGUUGGGUUUUAAUAUUUAUAUUGUAUUUAUUUAGUGUUUUGAGAUAGAAUCAAUAGAUAUAAAAAAAUAAAAAUUUAUUUGAUUGAAGAGAUAAAUAUAAAUAAAUUUUUUUCGUAAUGUUUUUAACAAAUUCUUCUUUAUUGAGUUUUAAUUUUUAGAUUGUAUUUAUUUAGUAUUCUGGAAUAGAAUUGAAAAAUAUAAAAAAAUAAAAAUUUAUUUAAUUAAAGAGAUAUAAACAUCUUAUAAAUUUUCCAAUUACUUUUUAUAUUUUCAAAAUUCACCCAUGUGUUUCUAUUAUUUCCAUUUCCUUUAUUUAGAAAAAGUAACCAAUCGUUAGUUUAAUUACAUUUGACUGCCUCCACAUGCCUGUGGAUCUGAGCGAAGGUCUAAUUAAUUGUCGUUGAAAACAAAAAGUCAAAUGAUGAAAAAAGAGAGUCGCAUUCAUUGAACGGCACAACUCUCCAAUAGUCAACGGGGUUAUGAGUUGUAGGCAUGGACUCCCCUUAUUAUAAUUAUGAGGCCAAAUUCGUUUUGAAAGUAUAAUAGUAUUGUAUUUUAAAGUAUUUUUUAUUUAAAAAUAUAUUUAAAAUAUAUUUUUUAUUUUUUAAAAAUUAUUUUUAACAUUAGCACCUCAAAAUAAUAUGAAAAUACUAAAAAAAUAUUUAUUAAUUUGAAGUAAAAAAUAAAAUAAAAAAUUUUAAAUUUUUCAAAAACAUUUUUAAAAUACAAAAAUAAAUAGGUAUUAUUAGAAUUGGAGAGUCACCACGCAUGGUUUCAUUUACUGAUAAGCACAACUCAGCCUUAUAAUUUAGUGUUUUUUUCUAUUUUAAAAUUUAAUUCCCUCUCUUAGCUAGAGUAUCCGUUAAUAUUGUUAAGAGAUAUUUGAGAUUGAAAAAUACUUCUAAACUAAGAUGAUAUUGUUGGAAUAUUAAGAAAUAUAUUGCAAACAUUGUAGUUGUACAAAUAAGGAACAAUGAAGCCUUGAAAAUAAAUAAUUUAUCAUUGACAAUAACAAAAAAUGCAUCACUUUAAAUUGCUUCAACAAAUAAGUAUUUUUUUUUAUUUAAACAUACAUACAUUUUUUUUAUUAAUAGCAUACAUGCUAGAACUUUAAAUUAAUAUUAUUACAAAUUUAAUUAUAUGCUUAGUAUAUAUAUUAGAAUUAUUUUUAUUAUAUUUAUAUUGAAAGCACAUAUUAGAAAUAUUAUCUGAAAAUAAGAUUUUUUAAUUUUCAAAAAUAAAAUUUAUCCAUACAAAAGAUUAAAAAAAUAUAGAUUAAUAAGAAAAACUCUUAAAAUUUAAAUGCAUAACUAAAAAAAUAAUCAUCAAUUAAAAGAGACUUACCAAACAAAAUGGAAGAGAAAAUGAAUACUAAUUUAAAUAUAAAUUAAAACAUUUAGAGAAAAAUCAUAAAAAGAAUCAUUAAUUUAAAAAAGAAAUUAGAAAAAAAAGAGCAAAGGACAUGCAAAUUUGUCAAUGCCCACACUGAACUCUUUUUGUUUGUUAAGUUUUUCCUUGUAAGUUUAAAUUUAAAUUCAAUAAAAUUUAAUUUAGACUUUAUUUUUAAUAAGAUUAUUUUUUAUCUUUAAUUUUAAUUGUUCAUUUUCUUGUGAAUUUUUAUUUUUAGUAUUGUAUAAUUGAAUGAACGAUAAAUUCUUUAAAAAAAUAUUAAAUCCAAGCAAGUCAUGUAAUUCAAGUUAUAGAUUUUAUGGAUUAACUAGGCUACUCCUUUCAAUCCAGAAAAUGCUAUUCUUGAUAGUUUUAAAAAAUAAGGUGGAAUGACAUUGUCUUGCAAUAUUUUGUUUAAGUUAAGGCAAGCCUUGAAAUUAUUUAAUUGAAAUUCAUUUUAAGAAAUUAAUGAAAAUUAUAUUUGGGAUAUAAUUUAAUAAAAAAUAAAUCAAUUUUUACUUUUUCUAAGUGAUAUUAUAACAUAUUUUUGUAAUAUUAACAAGCAUUUCUUGUACAAUCUUCAUGUGAUAUAUUUUUCUUUUUUAAAACAUGUUUAAAAGCUUCUAAAUUAAAAUUUUAUUCAAUCAUAUUUAUUUAUGUAUCUAUUUUUUUUAUCUAUCAUAUAAUUAAACAUAAAUUUAAUUUUAAAAAAUAAAAUUAUUAGAUUCAACCGGGUCCAUGAUCCAUGUGACUAAUUCAAAAAGUUAAUACAAAUUAUUAUAUAAUUAAAUAAAAAAAUUUAAAUUAAAAAAAAAUUAUUAAUUCCAAUAUUUAAAUCGUGCUUAACCCGGAUCAAUAAAAAAUGAUGUUAAAACAAGGCGGCUUGAAAUUUUUAUAAGAUUAAAAAAAGAAAACCUUAGCAAUGCGUACGUAUUCCUUUCUUUGACGUUAAAAUUAAUUUUUGAUCUGGCCCCGCAGUAGUUCCUAUUUUCAGACAUGAUUGAGAUUUCAUCCCACGUUCUUGCAGUUGGGGGUUGUCCCCAUGAUCAACUGAUCACAAAAGAUCGAUGACCUGCAUGUAUAAUCAAUCACACGGAUCCAUUGCACUACCUAGCAAUCAAUCACCACCUUCAAGAUGUUAAGAGCUUUCAUGAACAACAGAUCCCAUCUUUAUUCAUCAAUUUUAAUUGUUCUAAUUAACACUACUGAAUCUUAUUCGGUACUUGCAUAAAUUAAAGCAUGGCAUGGCACGACUAAUGCCAAACCAACAACAACAGACAGCUGAUCCAAACUGCUUGAAAUGAUUUCAAGUGGUACUAAAACACGUUAUUACUGAACUCUAGAAGACAUUAACGGAGGCGGACGAUGGGGCGGGCAUUAACACUUCAUGGACACAAAUGUACAGGCCUAGCAUUUCCCUUUCUUGACAACAUCAACACCAUUGCAGAAAGCGUCUUUGCAACCACAAGUGUAGGUGACACCGUCAGUCCCACAAACAUAGUCAGGAACGCUGCAUCUAACUGCGCAUCGAGGUGCUUCAGGAUCGAAUCCUUCACACACACCAUAACUUUGAGAUUCAACCAUUGACAAGCAAAGACCGAAAACGAGGACCAUCAAACAUAAGGGUGCUAAGAUCUUGGAGGUGGCCAUUGGGCUGAUAUGCAGGAGAAAGAUAUAUAUACUAAGCUGCUGGUUUUGUUAAACUCUGCAAGGUAAAGAGAAGAAUUGGAUGUGGGUGUUGGAUGAUAGGAAGUGGGAUAUAUAUAUAUAUAAGGGAAGCUACGUUAGGAUAGAGAUGAAGCACAUAGCUACAAGCAACUAACUCGUGGAUCGCAAAGUCAAAGAAGCCAAAUAUUUAAUGUGGUUUUCUUGACGAAAAGUCAUCUUCAACAAUUGAGGUUGAAAAGAAGAAGAUGAUAACAAAAGCCUAACAGCAUUCUCACUGUGGCUGCUCUAUCUACCAGGACAUGGUUAUUGAGCCCAUCUCCAAAGGAAGUACCUACUACCUAGCUGUUAGCCAUCAUUCAACUAAACAAAGUUAAUCUACAUUACUAUCAUUUCCACAGGCUAGCUGCUGCCAUAUUAAUUAACUAAUCAAAAUAUUUAAUUGACAAUGUGUUUCAGUCCUUCGUAUCAAAGUUGUAACUUGUAACCAAAUUUUGGUACAUAGAAGAAGCAGGUAGGGAAUUUAAUAACAUUAAUAUCUAGUUUUCAUCAUCAAAUUUCACAUCAAUUCGCUUCAAAUUACUAAUGAAUGUACCAAACACUUUCAUAUGCUAAUUCAGAUAUGUUCCUUAGACAUCUUAAGACCAAACAAUUUUAGUUUAAGAUAAAAUUUGUUCGUUAAUAACUUAGACAUAUACUAACAUUCUAGUUUUUAUUCAAAACUAUCGCCGAUGAUUCCUUGUCUAUGACAUGAUACAUCACGUCAUCAUCUAAACAAAGUUUGAUAAUUGCCACAACCCUCGCUUUCAGCUCCUGUCAAUAUACGUCGUUCAUUUCUUCACAAUGCUUUUUGUAUAACGCCUUCACCAUGCCCUACUACACUAACAUAUCAUUCACUUUACUCUAUCAUAAUCCAAAAUUACCAAAUCCAUCAAGCUUGACCAUGUUAAAUUUUGUAGAAGAAAUCUCUGACAUUGUAGCUAGAUUUAGAUACCUGCAACAAUAAUGAUGAAUAUUGCAAAAACAAUAAAUUAAAAAAGAAAACACAUGUUUAACGUAGUUUGACAGUGUAUCUCCGUCCACAUAAACAAGGAGUUAUAUUUCAUUAUAUAUUAAAUUAGAGUUAUAUAAUGUGUAUUUAUAGUAAACCAUCGUCAUACAAGAGUUAUUAGUAAUUUUGCUCGCCUCACUCGCUCCACUCCGCUCAACUCCCGCAUCUCUCUAUUAACCAUACACUACAACAAUAUGGUAUCUCUUCUCGGUUAAUCAGUCUUGAAUUCCUACAAUAUGCCGCAGCCAUUCGGCAUUGCUUGUUGAUUCUGGUGCUUCUGUGGUGCAGAAGUCUCACGUACUAACAACCGCAAGCAACUGAUGAGAACUAUUCAAAUAUCCUCGUAAGACUUGUUAUUGGUCAAUAAUGGAAGCAUGGACCAGGGUAAUUUUUCCAUUUAUUUUGUCAAGUAAAAUUUAACCUUGAGCUUUUUCAAAAGUCCAGUCAUCUACUCAUAAAUUCCUGGGGCUCAAAUCGGAUUCACAGGGGUAAUUGCGGCUGAAUAUAUUUGGUCUAACCCAGAAAGUUAAAUAAUCUCAGUUCAUUCUCUAAACAGAUGGCGUUAUUUAAUCUUUAGCUAGAAAUGCUAAUGCUGUAUUCAAUUUUUUCAGGUUAUAGUCUUUGGGCCUGUUAAUUUGACCUUGGAAAUCCUGCAAAUUGGAAACGUUUCCUAUGAAUGCUACUGCGCAUUCCCAAGAUGAGUAGAUAAUUAUUUAAUCUAUGUGUUUCUAGAUAAAUAAUUAGUCAACGCCUUUGAUUAAAAAAAAAUAAAAAAUGAAUCUCUAUAUUUUCAUCAUUGCUUAUAAUUUAUUCCUUUUUCCAUGACAAUUUAAUUAUUUUUUCUUAAAAUACUCUUCAUUUCUAACCAGUUUUUAUCAUAAAUUAAAUUUAAAAUGCAUUUGAAAAGAAUAAUUUCAAAAUUUAUCAGAAAUGAAUUUCAAAAUUCUUUAUCGAUGUAUGCUCGUUACAUUUCGAUAGAGUUCAUUUUAGGGCUCCGUUUGUUUGCUGGAAAGUAGUUUUUUUUUUUAAAGUGAAUUCCGGAAAAGUGAAUUAUUUUCUGAUGUUUGACAGUGUAAUGAAAAAUAAGUUGGAAAACACUUUUCAGUAUUUGGUUAUGUCAUGGAAAAUAAGCUGGAAAAUAACUUAUUAAUAUUUUAUUUUUCUCAAGUUUAUUAAAAUAAUGAGGCAUAAAUCUUACAAAUUAAAAAUUUGAAUGAGAAUGAAAUUGAAAAAAAUAUAUAAUUUCAUAAAUUAUCUCAAAUAAAAUAAAUAAUAAUCAAAAUAAUAGAGAUCAAAUCUAAAAAAUAAAAAAAAUAAAAGAUGAAGAAAUUAAAAAAAUAAUAAUUAACAUUUCAUAAAUUAUUUCAAAUAAAAUAAGUAACAAUCAAAAGAAUGAUGAUCAAAUUUGAUACAUAAAAAAUUUCAAUAAAAAAAUGAUAAGGAAAAAGCAAAUAACAAUUAUAAAAAUGAGGACCAAAGUUAAUAUAAAAAUUAAAUUUUAAGAGAUGAAAUUGAAAAAUAAAUAUUUAAAACAAAAUAUAUAUAGCAAUCACAAGUUUGAGGACCAAAUUUGAUAUAAUCAGCAAAUAAUAUGACAUUUCUAAAUUUUUCAUAACUUCCGGAAAGUAUUUUCCGCCCAAAUGUUUCAGGAAAACACUUUCCUAGAAACCAAGCUAAAUUUUUCUCAAGAAAUAAAUAAACACAAAAAAUUUUUAAAAAUAAAUAAACACAAAAAAAUUUUAAAAAUAAUUUCUCAAGAAAUAAAUUUCAAAAAACAAAUAUAGCCUCCCUGGAAUUCAAAGAUGUCUUCUUGGCUGAAGAUAUAGCCCGUACGUAGCAUUCCAACAUGACGGGAUAAUUUUAUUAUAAGUUUAUCAACUUUUAAUAUUUUUCUAAUUGAGUAUAUGAUUUUUUUUUUCUAAGCGUGACAACUUUUAACAACAGCCAAUCAAGUAUUUUUCAUUCAGCUUUUAUUAAUUGUUUUGUUAUUUAAAAACAGCCAAUCAAAUAAAUUUUGAUGGGGAAAUUUUAAAAUAUUUCAAAAGCAAUUAUGACACUAAUUACUCUACAAAGAGAGAAUUGAAUUGGAAUAUUUCAGCAUAUAGGCAUGAAAGUAUUUUUUUUUUUUUUACCUUUUCUCCCUGUCUCUUUCCUCAACAAAAAGAAUUGAAGUUCAAGUUUCUCAUUUUCAGGUUCGGAAGACAACAUAAUAAUUAUAUUUGAAAUCUCGCCAUUCAUUUUAAAUUCAAUGACUUAAAUAUGCGAGGGAAAAAAAUGUAACUAGGUUUAAAUUUCCAUUGCUAUGAUGUUCUAAAAUCAACAUGCAUGAAACGAAAGAAAAAACAAUUACUCUGUUUUAUGUUUUCAGUAAAUUAAGUAUAUUUUAUUUCGCUUUCAAGUGAAAAGCAUACAGUAAAAAUCCCAUUGCUGGUUUUAGGAAAAUAAACCCUAUCUGCAAUCUCUUGAUGAUAAAUAUCCUCUGCACACACUCUCUCCACAUCCCGUAACCGUAAACUACAACCCCCGAUCUUCCAAUCACUCUAACUUCUCUGAUCUAUAAAAUAUUUCUAAUCUGAAUACUUACCAACGGUAGUUUUGAAAUCUUCGUGCUACCAGUGGCGUAGGGUAACAAGAUAAAUUAAAGCUGUAAGAUUUAGAGCCGGGAACUCUAAAAGAAUGAUAAAACUGAUGAUGUGGAGGACGGUGGUUCGCCUGAGUCUAAACGACUAAGGAUUUUGAUGAAAGCAAUACCAAUGGGUUUGGUUUUCCUGUUAAUAAAUUGGGAAUUCUUUACUUAGUUUUUGUAUUUUAUUCAUUUUUGGGCUGAUGAAAAAUUAAUUAUUUCGGCUUGUUAUUUUGGCUGGUUUGAUUGCCAUGAAAAAUGGGUUUUGUUGAAAUCAGGAGGUGGGGGUGGGUUCUGAUGGUUGUGUGUUGUUGGUAACAGCCAGCGAAAACGGUUUCAUAGAAGACCCAUUAAUUAGUCAGGUGAACAUGCAAGGGAAGAAGAUGAAGAGUCGAGUGUUGGGAAUGAGCAAGAAAAGGAUGAAUAAUGAUAAAGAUGAACGAAAUGCAGAUAACCAGGAGACUAAUAAUAAAUCAUCAUAACGAUAACGAUACUUAUAUGAAUUAAUAAAAAAAUAAUAUUCCAUCAACGGAUUUUGCAUUAUUGAUAAAUCAAUAGUCAUAAAUCUAUAAAUGAUAUUUUUAAAUUUUAUUUUUAUUUCCAACGAAUUAAAUAGGCGCUAAUUAUUUUAGUUUUUAGUGGUGAUAUAUGUUGAUUUGUAUGCACAUAACGAUUGAGUUUGGAAUUUUGAAAGGAUCCAUUUGUUCCCAUUUUUGUUGCAGCAUCCUGUCGAGGAUUUGAUCACCUUGCACAUGUAUUUUAAUUAUAUAUUAAUGUGCCGUUUUGAAAGUAUAGUUGGAUUGCAUUUUUUUUUAGAUUUACAUUAAUAUAUUUUUUUAAAUAAAAAAUAUUUUUAAAAAACAAAUUAAAAAAUAACAUGCAUCCCAAUAUAGACGAGAACAAAGUGCGAGUGUGCACAGGAUUUGAUUUGCUCAAGAUAGAGCUUGAUUUUUGAUAGUUUAAUUCAUAAAAGACUGGACCAGAAGUAUUUUUUUUUUCUUUUUCAAUGAUUUCCAUCAAUUAAUUUGACAAAUCGGGUGCACAAAUAAUUAUAAUUCCUAUUUUCGGACAUGAUUGAGUUUUCUUUCCCACAUUCUUGCAGUUGGGGCUUGUCCCCAUGAACUGAUCACAAAAGAUCGAUGACCUGCAUGUAUAAUCAAUCACCACCUUCAAGAUGUUAAGAGCUUUCAUGAACAACAUAUAUCCCAUCUUUAUUCAUCAAUUUUAAUUGUACUAAUUAACACUACUGAAUCUUAUUCGGUACUUGCAUAAAUUAAAGCAUGGCAUGGCACGACUAAUGCCAAACCAACAACACCAGACAACUGAUCCAAACUGCUUGAAAUGAUUUCAAGUAGUGCUAAAACACGUUAUUACUGAACUGUAGAAGACAACUGAGACGGACGAUGGAGCGGACAUUAACACUUCAUGGACACAAAUGUACAGGCCUAGCACUCCCCUUUCUUGACAACUUCAACACCAUGGCAGAAAGCGUCAUAGCAACCACAAGUGUAGGUGACACCGUCAGUCCCACAAACAGGGUCAGCAACCAAACAGUUAAUUGUGCAUGGAAUUGUUUCUGGAUCGGGGCGUGCGGCUCCUGCACACACACCGUAACUUUGAGAUUUAACCAUUGACAAGGAAAGACAGAAAACGAGGACCAUCAAGCAUAAGGGUGCUACGAUUUUGGAGGUGGCCAUUGGGGCUGGUAUGUCGGAGAAAGAUAUAUAUACUAAGCAGAUGGUUAACUUUGUUAAACUCUGCAGGCUAAAGAGAGAAUUGGAUGUGGGGUGUUGGAUGAGAGGAAGAUGGACGAAUAUAUAUAUAUAAGGGAAGCUGCGUUAGGAAAGAUCGAGAUGAAGCACAUAGCUACACGCAAGUAGUGGAACGAACAGUCAAAGAAAGGCCAAUAUUUAUAUAAUGUGGUUUUCUUGACGAAUUCAUCUUGAUCAACAAGGAAGCUACAGUCAAUUGUAAUGAUCCUGAAUCCUGAUCAAGAUCAAAAUUCGAUUGAGGUUGGAAAGAAGAAGACGAUGACAAAAGCCUAACGAACAGCGUUCCCACUGUGGCUGCUCUAUUUACAAGUACAUGGUUAUUGAGUCCAUCUCAAAAGGAAGGUACCUGGCUCUUAAGUACCAUCAUUCAACUAAACAAAGAUAAUCUAUAUUACUAUCAUUUCCAUAGGCAUGCAUACUGCUGCCAUAUUAAUAGGCAAAUCAAAUUAAAUAUUUGAUCAUAUGUUUUCUAUAUUAUGAUCAAUAUGGUAUCAUCUUCUCUGUUAAUCAGUUUUGAAUUCUUACAGGCCGCAGCCCGUCAGCAUUGCUUGUUGAUUUUGGUGCUCCCGUGGUUACGAAGUCUCACAUACUAACAAGCGCAAGCAACUGAUGAGUAUUCAAAUAUCCUCGUAAGCCUUGUUAUUGGUCAAAUAUAGAAGCAAGGACCCGGGAAAAUUCUCAAUUUGUUUUCUUAAUUAAAAUCUAAUCUUAGACUAUUUCCAAAUUCUCAUCAUGAAUUCUUGGGGGCCAAAUCGAAUUCACAAUGAUAAAUGCGUCUGAAUAAAUUUGGUCUAGCCCAUGUUACCUGAACCUUUCUUGUUAAUUGGUCUUAAAAUUGUUAUAUAUUCACCCAAUUAUUAUUAUUAUUUUUAAGAAAAUGAACAUCUCAUGUUCGGAAAUCAUAAAUCUCACUAUUUAUAUCAAAUUUAAUUAUUUAAUUGUUUAUAUUAUAUGAGAAGGAAAAUAUUAACUAAUUGUUUUUUUUUUGUUUCAACACCAACUAUUAUAAAUAAAAGAAAAAAUUGAGCACUCUUUCGAUUUUAUUUUGGGUAAAUUGAGUACUCCAUUUCACUUUAAAGUUAAUGUUAAAUUAAGUGCAACAAUAAAAUAUUCAUGUACUUUGAAUUUAUUUAGACGGAUUUAAUAAGUAUGAUUAAAUAAACAUACAUGAUCUUAAUCCUUAACUUUUCGUACAUAAUGUCAUAUUGACCUUAGGCUAUGUCAUUUAUUCAUUAUUAAGCCCUUUUGUUUUAAAUGCAUAAAGUUAUAAAUACUAUCAACAUCCUAAACAAAUAACAUACUCAUACGUUUCUCUAACUAUUAAAAAACAUUUUCUCAGCAUGGAAUCUUUUAUAUCUUACCUUCUUUUUUUAGAUAUUUUUUUAAAUAUAGAUUACUCUAUGUUUUUUUUUUAUAUAUACUUAGAAAUUUUUUCAAAUAUAAUUCAUAUAACUACACACAUACUCUUUUAUAAGUUACCCAAAAGUUUUUACCCCUUUUCUCAAAUAAAAAAAUUGAACAAAUUUACUGUACCAAGCAAUUUUACAAGUCUCUUAAUAAUUUUUUGGGACUCCAUGCAUGUCUCUUAAUAUUUUAUACCGAUCUAAUGCAUAUUAUUUUGAAUGAAAUACAAUUUAAAAUACCACAUUAAUUUAUAGGGGUGCAAUGAUUCUUCAACCUCUCCUCUCCAUAAAAGGAUAAGAUUCAUGAGCUAUAAAUACUUCAUGAAUCUACCAAAUUCAAGGUUCACAAUCUGUUUAUUCUCAAUAUUUUUAGUAUAUAUAUUUUUAGGGUCUAUCUCUAUAAAAUGUAUUUUUACUUUCUCUCUUUACAAAGUUAUUGACUUAAGCAUCUGAUAGUUCUCACGUUCAUCAAAGAAGAUCUUUUAUAAGUACUCGACUUCUCAUAUCAAGCUACCAACUACAAGCUAUCUUGACUUUUCACAUCAAGCUAUCAGUUACUAGUCAUCUUGGCUAAGAAAAAUAAAUUGAAAAUAAAAAAUUAAAUAAUUAUUCAACACAUAAAUCUUACUCCUAAAUUACUUAGUAUCAUUAAAUAUCAAGGUGCAACAUACAUAACCGGUCCAAUUCAUCUGUUGAUUGGGUAGCCAAUUUUACCUUAAUCAAAAAUCAUUUUCAUAAACCAUCUAGGUGGUAGCCCAGUGGUAAAAGCUUGGGACCAAGAGGUUUGCUCCCUCUGUGGUCUCAGGUUCGAGCCCUGUGGUUGCUCAUAUGAUGGCCACUGGAGGCUUACAUAGUCGUUAACUUCAGGGCCCGUGGGAUUAGUCGAGAUGCGCGCAAGCUGGCCCGGACACCCACGUUAAACUAAAAAAAAAAAAUCCUUUUCAUAAAAAUGAUAUGACUUUUAUAGACUAUCCAGUACAUUUGUAUACGAUCUUAUAUUAGAUCUUAAUAUAAUUUUUGUGCCUCAGCCCCGAUUAUUACCAAAAAAAAAAAACUCUACAAUAUUAAAAGCUUUAAUGAAUCAUACUCAUCCAACCUUUAAUUCAUCAAUAUUGUACUAAUAAUUAAUAAUACUGCUGCGUCCUUAUUCCGUUACAUAAAUUUAGCAUGGCAAAAACAUUAUUGCCAAAACUAAUAACAACAUAUACAACUGAUAUUCCAAACAGCUUGAAAUGAUUUCAAGGAAUACACAUUAUUACAGAAUUUUAGAAGACAACCGGGAAGGACACGGGGCGGACAUUAACAUUUGAUGGACACAAGUGCGCAUGUCUUGGCCUAGCACUCCCCUUCCUUGACGACAUCAACGCCAUGGCAGAAAGCGUCAAGGCAACCACAACUAUAUGUGACACCGUCAGUUCCACAAACAGGGUCAGGAACAAAACAGUUAAUUGUGCAUGGAAUUGUCUCUGGAUCGGGGCGUUCGACUCCUGCACACACAUCUUGAGAUUGAGCCUUUGGCAAGCAAAGGCCGAAGACGAGAACCAUCAAGCAUAAGGGUGCAACUAUCUUGGAGGUGGCCAUUGGGCUGAUAUGUAGGAGAAGAUGAUGAAGCGGAGUGUUUGGCCAAGUUUAGCCUAAUUAAGAGAGAAUUGGAUGCGAUGUGUUGGAUCGAUGAUAGGAAGACGGCCGAAUUUAAAUAGAGGAAGUCAGGAAGAGAUUAAGCACAAAGCAACACGUACGGAAUUGGAACGCAGAGUCAACAAGGAGCAGGUUAUAUAAUGUGGUUUUCUUGACCGAGUCGUGUUCAACGAGGCAGCUAGCUAGCAUGCGGCCCUCUUUUUAAUCAUCCUGAUGAAGAUCAAAUCUUGGCUGGGGUUGGAAAGGAGAUUAAGGUGAUGCCAAGAGCGAUCCUAACAGCGUUCCCACUCUGGCUGCACAAGGUUCUAGCAUACCCCUUUUUCAGUAUAUUUAUUGCAACCGAAGUUGAAUGCUUAAAACUAUCAUAAGUCUUAGUCGAAUCAUGUCAAACUAUAUAUGUUAUAUUCGUUUUUGUAUUUUUAAAUCAUUUUAAUACAUUGAUAUUAAAAAUAUUUUUUAAAAAAUAAAAAAAAAUAUCAUUUUGAUACAUUUCUAAGUAAAAAACACUUUCAAAAGCAAGCACAACUACACUCAUAAACAAGUUUUAAUAAAUUAUAGAUGAUGGAAUAGUUCCAUUUCAUUCUGCACUGCUCUAAAUUAAAUUAAAAAUCAAUUGUUGUGCAUAGAAAUAUAUUGGUAUUGUUAUUUUUUUUUUGGCUGGCCUUAGUCAGCCCGAAUUGGAUAAAAUAUAAAGAGAGUUAUAAAAAGAUUAAACAUGAAAUUUAAAACAUGAAAAAUUAUUUUGACCUCUAACAUCCUAUAAUUUAAUUAAAAUUGCACAUAUCAAUCAAGUUUUAUAAUUAAAAAAAUAUAGUAAACUUUCGUUCCUACGUAAUACUUACUUUACUUUCUGUACUUGCACACCCAAAUAAAUUCAAUAAAAAUUAUUUAAUUAUUUAUAAAUUUACUAUUAUUUUUUAUUUAAAUAAUAAACUAAUCCUGAAUCAAAAAAUAACAAAAAUAGUACUUAUUUUUAUUUUUUCCAAAAAAAAACCUAAGUCAAAAACCAAUUAUUAUUAAAUUUAUGGUCUUGAAAAUCCCCCUUCAAAUUGCAAGUUUGUAUUUUAAAAAUAUUUUAAAAAAAUUAUUUUAAAUUAAUAUUUUUUUUAGUGUUUCUUUAAUAUUAAAAAUAAUUUUUAAAAAAUAAAAAAAUAAUUUAAAAAACUACAAUUACUCCCGAACACCCAUUAUUUGACUUUCUGAGCUAGGGAUUCAUUUGUUACAGACAAAGAAGCAUUCGUUAAUAAUUAAUCCAAAAAAAAGUGGAUUCGUCUUUAUCUUUGAUGACAGAACAAGUUCCACCUCCCAACAAAGACCAAGCUUUUUUCUAUUCUUCGUCGUCUCCUCCUUCCUCUUAUCCAUCAAGAACGCAAACUCCAAGUCAAAAAACGGCCCAUCAUCGUCAUCAUUCUCACCAGCUCUGUUUGGAGACACCACCACCACCACCACCACCACCACCUCCACCUCUCCAGUACUUGAGCAAUCUGAAAGUGAAAGCUUCCAUUGUUGGGAGAACCAGAAUAUUGAAAUCUUGGAAUCAAUUUUUUUCUCCAUUAAAUUGGCAAAGAUUAAAAAAUUAGGGUUCUUCAUGAGUUUUAAUUUGAAAUUUUGUCACCAGAGCUUUGCGGGAAGAGAUAAAUUCACAUAAAAACUAUUUGAAUGAGAGAAAAAUUAAAAACAAUAAUUUUUUUUGGAUUGUUUUUGGGUUUUGAAAGAGAGAAAUAUCGGGAUAAGAGAGAAGCUGUCGGUAGAAGAGAUGGAGGGGUUAGAUAUAUAUAUAUAUAUAUAUAUAAAGAUAUUUUGGUUUUUUUAUCAUAUUUGAAAUUUUCAUUUGAUUUGGAAUGCAAACUUUAAUUUUCAAGACUCAGUCGAAAAGUAAGUGUAAUUUUAACUAAAUUAUAGAAUAAUAAAAAUAUUUUUUAAAAAAAAUUCAUAAUUUUGAUCAUGAAUACGACUACUAUAAAAUAAUAUGAUUGAGAAAUAUACAUUUCUCUCAUUUUUAUUUUCUUCUAAAUUAGGGUUUAAUUGGAUAAGAUAACUUUUAAAAAUAUAGUUUGAUUAAAAGAAUUUAAAAUAAUUUUUUUUUUGUAAAUAUUGAGACAAAUAUAUAUAUUGUAUCGACUUAGAUCAAUUCGGGUUAACUUAUCAAAUCAACAACCCGGAUUAUAGGAUUAAGAUAACUCAUAGAAAACAAAUAAAAAAAUAAAACAUAAUUCUCAAUUAACUUAAUGUUGAAUGAUGAAAUUAAAAAAAAUAUUAAAAAAAUACGAUAAAAAAAUAAAUAAUUCGAGUCAACUUGGGAUAAUCUGUCAAACUCACAACCCAAGUCAUGUGUAACUGAGAUAACUUCGUAGAAAUCAAAUUAAAAUAAAUUAUAAAGUUCAAUUCUCAAUCAACCGAAUGCUAAAGGAUAAAAUUAAAAAAAAUCAAUUAAAAUAAAAUACAAAAAAAUAACUCGAGUCAACUUAAAUUUUAAAUUUUUUUAUAAAAAAAAAAUCCCUCUCUUAGAAAAUAAAACAUUAUUUAGCUAAUUUUCAUCAGUAGUGAUGACUUAGCUAAAAAACAUCAUUUGUUAAAAAGAAUUAUAGAAAUUAUAUUUUAAAAUCUCAUCAAAAAAACUUAAAUUAUUGGAUGAGAUGGUUAUAUUAACAUAAUAUUAGAGCUUUGUUAACCAAACAGUCAUGAAUUCGAAUCUUACCAUCCUUAUUUUAUUUGAUAAAAAUUAGAAGUAAAGCAAUAUCUAUCUAUGUAAAUUUCAAACUCAAAAAAUUUUCAUUUUAAAAAAUUUAUUAACAAAAUUAUAUAAAUAAUAUCUUAAAAGCGUUAUGUUAUUUAAAAGCAUAAACCACAGCCAGUCAGCAAUUGCUGGCUUGAUUCUGCUGAGGCUGAUAAGCCUCGCAAAAGAGAGUGUGAACUUAUCCUUUUGUUUUUGGUCAGUAAUAGAAGCAAGGACCAUGGAUAUUUCUUCCAUUUAAUUUCUCAGGUAAUACUUAACUUUAGAAUUCCAUGCCCGAAACCUAGUCGUCCCACUCAUCAAUAAUUCAAACCGGAUUCACAGUGGGAAUUGCGUCUGAAUUCAAACCCAGAAAGUUUGUUCAUGAUUUCAUCUUCGAAACAGUUGACAUUAUAUCAUUCCUUGGCAGACAAGUUUAUCUGUUUCAAAAUCCGACGUGUAAUACGAUGUGUUACAAGUCUUGUACACUUAGAUAUAAUAAAUUUAUAUGCAUUAGUUUUUAUAAUAUUUAAUAAAUAUUUUAUUUGAAUUGCAAGUUACAGGAUUGUGAACUGUGUUUUUAAGUGGCGCAAGUUAAAUGGUGUGUCCAGUCAAACCGUGUUAAUUUUACAAAUAUGCUAUUUUGACAAAUAUUUGUAAUAUCGGCUUUGUAAUAUCGAAACAUUUUUUACCUUCAUCUUUAUAUGACAGAGUUGCAUGUAUCGGCUAAGGUGGCCUCUUCACCGAAGACAUUUAGUCUUUUGAUACCUUUUCCCUGACAAUUUUCACACGAUUCAUAACAUUUUCUAUAGCAUUUUUAAUACAUUCUAGAAAAACCUUGACAUAUUCCUCAUGAUUUAUGAUUGGAUAUCGCGAAAAAAGGACUGAAUAUUGCACAUCUGCAUGACUGCCUGUUUGAGCAGGAUGACAGAAUUCCAGCCAUCCCUGUCGUGAUACCUUCAAUUUCGUUUUCAGUCAUAGGCAUUGAAAAAUUCCCACAUCAGUAAUGAAGAAACAAUCCAAAAGCUCCAUGAUCCUUUGAUUCCCAGAUUCUUAUGUGUGUCCAGCAGCAUACGUUAUUUUGUUUGUUAAGAACCAAAUACAAGAUGCUCAUUGCAUUUCGAUUAAUAAGUUGACUCCAGGACGGCAGGACUCAAUAUGUUGUUUGGUGUAAUCAACCAUAUUGACUCAAGAUACAGCCUGUUGGAUCACAACAUGCCAGAUGCAAUUGCACUCAACAUCUCAGUGUGCAAGAUACAGGCUAUCGUAUCUAGUAAUCAUAUUUCCAUAGACCAUUAAAUAUUACAUUUUAUGAUCAAAUUCUUGAACCUUCCUCAAGCAUGAUUAUCCAUUUAUUGCCUUUUGUAAUUACCUUUACUUUUUUCAUUUACUUCAAGGACAUGUAUAUCAAAAUCUAUGAAUAACGUUACAAAAUAUGUGAAACAUUCCCACUUAAAUUGAUUCAAAACUUACUUCCCCUUGGUAAGCCAUCUCAUGUGCUCAUCACUCAGCAUCACCAACCUGUUUCUUUCUACGUACUCCUGUUCAAGCAAAUGAAAAAAUAGUAAACAAAGAAGGGAAGACAUGAAACAGAAAACAGGAAUGCACCAGCUCCUACCCAAUAAAAACAUAUGCAACAGUUACUGACACCUGAGAAACACAAAGCAACUGAUGUAGAAGGAUUCCAUAACUGGUGAAAAGGUGCCUCACUUUGGUAAUGAAGGAGAUAGACAGGGGGAAACCUUGUUACAAGGAUAUACCUUUUCAUAAUCAAGUGAAAGGCCAAAAAGACAAUGAAGCAUGGUUUUUUUUGUUUUGUUUUUUUUUUUUUUGCAACAUAAAGCAAAAGUGAACAACCUAGCACCACAGGCAUUGCCAAUGUCUUGUCUACUUUGUUGCUAAACUACGAAACAUCUGAAACAAAAGAAACAAUUGUACGAUUCAUUGCAGAAAAUGGAUUAGGUAAUGUAGACAGGUAAUUGCAGCCUGAACUUUCAAUGGGCGUCAUUAUAUCUUUUCUUAUGCUAAAGUUUUUAUAUUGAUGAGAAUGUAGAUCAUGGUCAUAGCUAACUAUGCUAAAUUUUCUAUAUUGAUGAGCAUGUAGAUCAUGGUAGUGACGAUUAACUGCACAGUGCAAUAUGACAAUUCAAGGAUAAGAAGAUGAAACUAAUUAAUAUCAAUUGAAAACGGGCAAGUGAAUGAAGAGCUUUUCAAUAAAAAGAUGAACACAAAUUAGUAUCAGCCAGCAGUACAAGUCAUUGAUCUUUAAGUAAAUAAACUGGUUAAUAUUAUUUGCCAGAACACAAGCAAGAAAGCACAAGGCACCAAUACGCCAACAUACAAAGACAAAACCUGCAAUUUCUGUUUCCAGUAUAUUGCAUUUCCUAAUAGUUAUUGGUGACAUGCUCCACAACGAUGUCCUUGAGAGACACUAUCCGUUUGUCUGUCUUGUACAGUUUCAACAUGUGCAAAUGAUUAAUUAAGGGUUGUUAAGUAAGAACUUACCUGCACGACUCUUGCUCCAAAGGACCUGACCAUCUAUAGCAGUAAGGUGUUCAUCAUCAAGGCGCUUCCAUGUUUUGAUAGACUUGACAGCUCCCCAACCUCCUUUCUCUGUCUUUUCCAAGGAUGCUACCACCACCCUUGCCCUCCUUGACCACCCCGCCUUCCCGUAGGCAUGGUAUCCAAAACCCCCAGCAUAACAAAGUUGUAUACCAGUAAGCUCACCACAGAAGUCAUUGAGAUGAUCAUGUCCUGUGAAAACAGCUUUCACGUCCCCAGCUUCUACCAUGGUUGUGAAGAAACCCGAGUUCACAGAAGCAGAGCUAAUGCCUUCUUGUCUCACCCCUGUGACGUUUGAUGAAUCAAAACUUGCAAAUUCAGGCAAUGGGAUGUGAAAGUACACCAGCCCAGGUGCAGGUCCUUUUUGAGCCUCUGGCUGUCUCAUGUAGGCUCUCUGAAGAGAAAAGGGAAAAAUGGCUAUUCAACAGAUCACAAUUAAGCUAUUGCACUCAUUUCAAGUUGAAACUAUCUGCGUAAUGUCUAUUCUAUUUGUGUGUAGACAAAGUAGUGGUUCUUUUUACUAAUAAAUGAUAAAAGUAGCUCAUAGAAUGACCUACUGAUUACUUCGAUUGUAAAAAAUAGUGGUAAUUAUUACCCGAAGCUUUGCAGAAGUGCGUUGGAACCAAAGCUGCUGAGAGGGCUUGAUCCAACCAUAGCCAGGGAUUGCCGGAACGGUGGAAUAGUCUCCGCUAUCAAGGAAAUAAAGAUUAAGAGCUGAUUUGUUUUCAAAACAUGAAUCUUUAACCCCGCCAAUCUCCAGGUUAUAGUUCCCAAAACCAUCAAUGAUGUGAGACUCAGCAGGGUUGACUUGAGAGAGAGUAUUCUUAAGGCCAACAACAUGUUUCAUGACUCCUUCCCUUGACAAAGUAGAAUCUUGAUCAUGGUUCCCCAAAACAGCAGCCCAUGGGAUGUUCGAUUCAAUUGCUGGCCAAAAGGCAGCAUUCAGUGAUUUUGCAGCAUCGGUGGCAUCAAAGCCAAAGAUGUUAUCCCCUAUUGGCCACAGUGCAAAUAAUACUUCCAUUAGCUUAGAUUGUGAAAGGAACAUACUUGUUAAAGCUUAGCCACUAAAUGCCAUAUACUGUUAGCACAUUAGGAAACUUGCUAAGGUAAACAAAUUAACAAGCGGGUUUUCUCCAAAUUUCAAAAUAAAAUCAUACAUAGACAAAAAGAAUCAGAACCAAUAACAUAAAUUUGGAAUCAGAAAUAAAAAAAAAAAGUAACUGAGUGCAGAUGGAAGUGUACCAGUGAAAACAAUAAAAUCGGGUUUCUCAGCUUGAAUCAUGCGCUCAACGAAGGCAGUAGUGUUGAGGUCAGAGCAAGAACGCAUUUGAUUUGGGAACACGUCAAGGCAAGGCGUGGUCUUGCCAUCUGCAAAGUGCAUAUCUGCCACUUGCAGUAUUUUGAACUCACCAUUUUUUCCAAAACGUAGCUCUUGUUUCACACCCAAAACGGAUUUUGGAACGAAGAAGAGAGAAAAAACCACUACCCCAACAAAGUGAGAAAGCGAAAGACUUGGUUUGUUCUUCUUCGCCAUUGUUGUUCUCUACUCAAUCUGGUUUGCAAACCCCGAUGCCCUUUUGCAGUUGCUUGCUGCUAAAUACAGAGCGUGAGCCUAGUUUGGCUUAUAGCCUAGAGCUGAUGUGCGCAAGUCAGAAUCGCAAUCAAGACAAACAAAGCUGAAUUCGGAUACUCAUCACAUGUCACAGGAUGAAUAAACAGAGAUACAGAAAAGGUAGAAAUUUAUUUGAUCAUUAAAGAUAAUUUUUCUUUUUUUAAUUCUUUUUAUUUAUAAUGUUAACAUAUCAAGAUUUUCUUAAAAAUAUUAUUAAAAUCAUUAAGAAAAUAUUAAUUUAAUAUUUCUUAAAAUAAUUAUAAUUUGAAAACGAAUAUAAAAAUAAAAUAAUCUAUUCGCUAUGUAUCUCUCUCUUGGCACUUUUUGUCACGGUUUCUCAUUGAUUGCUGAAAGCAGUGUGACAAACAAUCUUGGAAGUUGGAAUACAUUAUUUACUACAUAUAUAUGCCCUCUGCGCCCUAUCUCUAUAACAUAAGGUUUCAUUUUCGCUUCCUUUGUCCCGAUUUUAACAGCAUCAUCAUCAUUCAUCAUCCUUCAACAAUCAACGUGAUGCCCUUUUUUUUUUUUUUUUAUUAUUAUAACUAUAAGCCCUCUCUCAAAACAACAGAUUGCUUCAACAUCUAAUGAUUUUUUAAACAUUAAUUACGAUUUCAAAUAUAAAUUCAUUUCUUAAUUGACAUUUCCUAAAUGGAUUUUUAGUAAUCACCUAAUACAUCUAAAAAAAGGUUUGGAGUCAACUCAUCUCUUUUAUUAUUAUUAUUAACAGUGAAGGAUGUCAGCUAGUUUUUUUUUUUUUUUACAUCUUUUUUUUUGUUGUCAUUUUCACUUCUUUUUUUUUCUUUUAUCUCUAUCAUUUUUUUAAAUUUUUUUUAUUAUUACAGUCUUAAACAAACACCCUAACAUUUGGUUUAUACUCAAUUUUAUAAGCGUCUAUUUUAUUAUUGUGGAGUUCAUUACGCAGAUUAUGAAUUUGAUAGUUAAGUCAUUAAGCAAAGAUCCAUCCAAUAUGCAAUGUCUUAAUAUUAAAAAAAAUUAUCUUGAGUUAUUUUUUUAAAUCCAUACCAUGAUUUUUACUGGUCGUCCAGAUUGUCUCUAAACUUAUCAAGUCGAAUGAGUCAUGUUAUGAAAACUUCCUUAUAAUUUAAUUUUAAACCUGAAUUAAGUAAUGAGUUGGAUCAUAAGGUUUUAAUAUUGAUUUAUUUGAUCAAGUUUAAUAAUAAUGUCAAAUAAUUUCUUAUAAUGUGAAUAUUUUUAUUUUACAUUCAUUUAUUUUUAUUCAAGUCGCAAAAUAACAUCAUCUCGUAAACUAGUGACAUACAAUGUGAUUUUAGUUGCAUUUAGGGGACAAAGGCCAAAUACAUUAAAAAAAAAUUAAAAGGCAUUAGUCAUUUACUAUGGCAUGAGAGCUUUCACUAUGAAUUCACACAAUCAAAGCUUUUUUUCAUGUACUUGAGUUUUUUUUUGGCCCCAUAAUUUUGCUUCUUUAAUGUUGCUUUGAUCUGAAAUUGAUUUUUGUGAUUUAUUUUUAUAAUUGUGUUUAAGAACCUCGUCGGGGAAUGUUUUAUUAUUUGGUUUGAGCAAAUCAAAUUCAAUCUUAUUGAUUUUAAAGAUUUAGAGAUUAAGGAACCGAAAUUGAAGAUAAAACAGAUGUUUAGUCUCUUUUAUUUGUUACUCAAACUUUUUUAUUUAAGUCCUUUCAAUGCUUUUGGUGCUCAAUUACGGAUCCACUUCAAUUUCCAAGUACAAAACACAGGAAAGAGAAGACAAACAUGAAGUUGGUGGUUCAGCUCUGAUGGGCAAAAUCCGUUGCACUGACAAUAUCACAUGAACUUGAAGGCUCUAUCUCUUCACUCUUGAUUUUCGUGCUGGAAAUAUUUACUUUUCGAAUCAGAUUUAAAACAGACCAUUUAUCCCUGAACUAGUAUACCCACAGGAAACCGCCUGAUAUCCUUUAGAAUUCAAAAACUGGAUGAUGAUACGAGGGUGGAGACCGUUUACCGGCAGGAUAAGCCUCCAAGGGUCUUUAACGUUAUACCAACAACAACACUAUAGGACUCAUAGCAUUGGUGAGCCUUCGAGUAGCACGACCAGACCUAUCCAAAAUAGUUUUGGAACUAGAAUGCUUCACAGAGAUGGCAAUUGACAGACAGAACUAACCAGAAAAGAGGAAAGACAGCAAAGUAAUGUUUGAUAUCUUCCUUGAUAAAAUCAAGUGUCUGCAAUGCACAAUUGAAUGUCGUGCUCAAGAACAUUUAAAAGGAAGGAGAUAGCUGGUUGGCUUGGGCUGGAGGCUGGAGGUCGAAUGUCUUAUGGUUUGGUAUGAUUUAGCCCCGAAGUUUCAUGGGCGGAUAAUAGCAUGAGGAUUUCUACCCCAAGACAUCGUAUAGCAUUCCUUUGCUCCUGCAGCAAUACUUUGUUAUGCCAUAAAAUGUAGAAGGAUACGAUAUCUCAUUGGAAGGAUGACCGCCAUUUCUAUUGAAGAAACACAAUCCUGUCAGUUUCGAUAUAGAAAUCUAAUCUUUAAAGGGACUCGGCAUACCGUGAAGCAAUACCCAGGUUCAAAAUUGUGCUAGUUGUCCAUCACCCAUCCUCGCGUUACAGCAUUAUAGAGAUUCAUCCACCAGGACCAUCGCCAUCCAAACCUCUGUCCUGUUGUGUUCCGAUGCUGCAUAUUAGUUUCAUUAAUGAGGUACAUGAUAGGUUCACUGGCUCAAAAUGUACAUGGUAGGUUCACGGGUUUUAAUUGAGUGGACCACAAUUUUUGCAGGUUUGACACGGCUCAAGCGCUUCAUCAUCUUCUCACAAAGCAUUCAAACUCAGGCCACACCAAGUACCAGGAUAUGUUGCCAUAAUAAUGCGAGUCUCACACGGUACAGAACAGACUACACUUAGAGCAACAGCACCUUGUUUAAGAAGUCGGAAAGCUACUCUCCACGAGUAAUGGCAUGUUAGAAUAAAACAGCAAAAGAAAUCAUGAAAGCUCUAGAAGUAAAUGACAAUAUUUCAACAUGUAAUCCUUAAAAAAACAGAAUAUAUAGGCCAAGAGCAUUAACCUCUUCAUAAAUAACAAUACCUGAUCCAUACCUUCAUUCUAAUGGAUCCAAAACUCGUUAUAUCUCAACUUGAAGCCAUCUACUUCUGUUCAGCCAUUCUUCCAUCAAAUUGUCGGAACCGACAGUGAUGAGCUCACAAUUGAUAAGGUUAAGCACCAGCAAGCUUUCUGAAUCAUCUAACCCCCAAGGGUUCCAAUAUAACACAAUUCUAGUCCAUUGAAACAAAUUCAUGAGUUGAUCUAUAAAACAUUCCCUUUUACAUACGAUGUGAUCUGUUCAUUGUCAAAAUUUCAAAAUUUAUCUGGCCUUCAAUUCUAUAUCAUAAUUUCUUUGGAAACCCUUAAUUUAAUGUCUGCUGAGUGAGACAUCCACUCCUCUUUUUGACAGGUUCAUGGAAUAAAGCUUUUUAUCCUAUCAAACUAAAAUGGUAUCCAAUAAUCACGUUUCUGUUAAUCCUAUACGAAGUUCAUUGUAGCAGCAUCCCUACGUCCCAGGAUUCAAAGGUUAAACCAUCUCAUGCUGUAAAAUCAGGAUCUCUUCUAAUGUUUAAUACAUGACCUGCAAAACCACAUCCACAGAAAUCAUCCAGAAACUUUGCUGGUUCCUAACAUAUGAUCUUUAAGGAUAACCCCCCAAGCUAGAAGCAGAAAGAUUUUUAUGGAAUGCUAAUGAAAGAGCUGCUUGGUAUUUCUGGUUGCAGGAAUAGAGCUAGUGGCUUCAUUGGGGUAUGUUGAGGAGCAAGCAGCUCUUCUGACCGGGCUAAAGACCAGUAAACUUAUUUGCACAGGGAGCUAACAAUAUGACAUUCAUGUUAGCUCUAGUUUCUUCUUCUUCCCUCUCAUGAGGAAUGCUUGUGCAUACUGGCAAGCAAUGGCAUUCCCCUUAACGGCUCUAUAGAGAGUAUCUGCUUACUCUUAUUAUUUUGAUACAACGUGUUUCAUGACUUUACGGAAGAACCCAAAACACCUAAUGGCCAAGGUUCACAAUUACGCUAGAAGAACAUCCAACAUAAGUUAAGACAGUAGACACUUGAGACAUUGUUAACAAACUUCAACAGCUCAGAUGUGACAGUGACAUAGGUGAUCUGCACCAGCACAGCCCUCGGGAGGAAAAAAAUUCUGAGCAGGCCAGUAUUCAUUUUCAGUUGAGACACCACUAUAAUAAAGCUAGAUUUCUGCCCAAUACAUUUAAGAGCUACAAUGGCAUUGCAGCCAAAUUUUGCUUCACCAUUCACGUCAUACAACAAACUACUGUGUUCAAUUUUUUGCGAGAAGGAACCUGAUGACAAAACGGGUAGCAUGGGAAAUCCAGAACUCAACAUUCAGCAUAUGCUCAAAAUUUCAGAUGACAUGGCGAACUUCAAAGAAAAUGCAACGAUAAUUUAUACAUUUCCAUACAGUGAUCUAUUAGCUACACACAGACAAUUUGAAAUCAACAACAGAGAACAUGAACAAUUGCUGAAGAACAACAGAUUAUAAAGAACUACAGAAGCUGGACACUGGGACCUGUAUCAGUUCAAGUGUCCUUAUCUUUUCUAGCAAAAGCAGGUGACCUGAACCAAGGGAUCCACACUGAAGUUGUCUUCUGAUAAAGCCUGUAUGCUUCAGCUCUGUACUCCUGUUUCAGCAUCCGCUGUUCUACAAGCACGGUAACAUAUGCCAAGCACAUACUAUUAACAAAGGCCCCAACGAAAGCCCAUCCAUGUCCCAGGAUCCAUGCAAAUAUCACCAGUCCCCACCACCACAGCUGCUCCCCAAAAUAAUUUGGAUGCCGUGAGUAACCCCACAAGCCCCUAUCAAGAUUUGGCACCGUUGGUUUUCCAAGCUCUUUUAAUUUGUCGUUUCUUGUCACAAAUUCAUGAAGUUGCGUAUCAGCAAAGUAUGCAAUCACAAUUCCACACAAGCAUACAGCGACAGCAACAAAAUCCCAGACAUCCAAUGGCUUAUCAACUGAGUGAACAAUAUAGAAUGGGAGACAUAUACCAACCAGAAACAUCUGCAAUAUUAGAGAUCACCAAAUAAGAAAAGAAUCGCCAUUAAAGAGCUUGUGGCUGAGAAAUUUCAACUUUCUGCAACAAUUCAUGGCAGACUAAACACACAAGACAUCAACAUAACAAGUAAAGCCAAAAUACUUUGAAAAGCUUCCAGCUAGUGAAAUCUCAUUGUGGCAAUUCGUCAAGCAGUUUUAACCAAAUUCAGAUCAGUCAAUUAUCCUCAAUUAAGAACCAAAUUAUCAAUACAAAUAAGCAAAGAUACAAUCAUACAUUACCUGCUGAGAAGCAUAGACAGAAAAGAAGGAAAUCCACCACCAAUGCUUGCCAUACUGGCCACGCAUAUCAGUGAACCUCCAAUCCUCUCUGACACCCCAUUGCCACUUUUCCCGCCUAAAGUAGUUGUGGGUAAGUCUCAAACUCCAAAUCCAUGUCAAUGCUAUCACAAUUCUCGACCUCCACAAGUUAUAUUGGGCCAAAGGGUAUGUUGCAUAGUAAUAAACGAGCAACAUUGGUAUCACAGUCCAAUACAAAUCUAUCAUCUGCAGCACCCACAAAACAAAAUUCAAUAAACGAAUCCAAGAAAACAAAAAGAAACAAAACUUGAUUGGAAAAUGUAAUACUAAUAACGUGGUAACAUACCCAGUGGCUCUUUUGGAUUUGACUGAUGAUCCAGAAGAGAACAUUGACAUUGAAGAAGAAGAGGGCGUUGACCAAAAGAAGAGGGUGGUCGACGCACCAUGACCAGAAAGGAGAGAGUGCAGUGCCAUCUACGGUGCUUGUUUUGUAAUGGUUAAUGAAGUAGAGAUAGAAGAGAAUUGAAGGAAGUGGAACCAAGAAAGAAACAGCUGCGUGCUUCAAAUUACUAGCAGUGCCCAUGAUGUGUUUUAUGCUCUGCUUUGGAUACCUACCUAUGUUAACACAAGAGGCCUAAAUUUAUAGCUAUUUGUUUCGAAAGGUUCCAAGAGGAAAAGUGCUAGCUAGCUAGCUAGCAUGGCAUGGUGUUUUUUAGAUUACUAUUUCUAUUUAAGAUACCAGAUUUGAUUCUCUUUUAUGCAUGGUGGUGGCUGUGGUUUCCCACACUCAAUCAAGCACUGGUGGCUGUUAAUCAUGAUUAUGCCCUACCUUCUGUUAAAUGCCUGUUGCCAAUUGGAUGCAUAUUACGAUAAGAAUUUAUAUCGUGUUUAAGAUAGUUAUAUAAAUGCUUUUUUAAAUAUUUUUAUUUUUAAAUAAUUUUUUAUGUAUUUGUUAUUAGCACAUCAAAAUAAUAAUAAUAAUAAUAAUAAUAAAACAUUAAUUUGAAGUCUUUUAAAAAAAUUAAAAAUUUUAAAAAAUACAAUCCACACUCCCAAAUAAUAUUUUAGUCAUUAGUUAAAAUUUUUGUCAGUACUAAUGACAUUUUCAUCAUAAUUUAAUUCAAAUUCAUUGGAGUGGAUGUUUAUAUAUAUAAUUAUCUUAUUUGAUAAUUUAUGAAUAAAUAUUAAAUCCGAUUCAAAAUUAAUCUGAUACACACACACACUUCAAGUAUAUAAAUUAUUAUUUUAUUUUAAAAUAAGUAACAAGUAAUAUCUAGAUGAGAAAUACACAUGCAUAUCCAAAACCCGAUAACCUAAUGAGAUAUGUAAGGAUAUAAUAGAAACUCAGUACCAUUCCUAUUUGGGAUGGCCUAAUUUUUCAGCAUAAAAGUGAUGCAAGUUUUUAAUGAUAAACUUAAACCACUAAUUUGUCAUGAGGGGUAAGAAAAGGUAGUUCCACGUUAUAAAAUUGGCUGGCCAUCUCCGAUGAAGGACCUAAUGGGAGCGCCUUUCAAUAUUUUAUCCGCGAAUUGGGAGCCUUGGAGGUUGGAAUGGACCUCAUGGAAAAGAUUGUGUAAUUCCACAGCCAUUUUGGAUAAAAAGAGAAGGAGAAAAAAAAAAAAAAAAGAUUGCCACUUGUUGUUUACUAUUAAAAUUGCCCGUUUAUCCUUUGAACUAACCACUUCAGUAUGAGGUUAGGACAGUAGACAUUUUGGACUUGUCCCCAUGUCAAACACAGGGCAAGUGUUGCUCAUCUUUUUAGGAGAAGAUCUGAUUGUAUGGAUCAUGUAAUGGUGCAGACUGUCGAUUGCAUGCCUGGCAUUACCCAUGAACCGUAACAUGAUAAAAGUCCCAGCUAAUCCAACCACAAGACAACUGCGCCUGUCGCCCUUCCAGCACGCUUGACACCAAAUCACCGAUUGCCAAGGGGCAUCAGGCACACCGAAAAACUGCAACAUAAUCAGACCUCCAGCAAUGGUGAGAAUCCAAAAAGGUGACCGGGAGUAUAUAUUUUGACUAGUUUUUGGCCGAUUAAGAACCCAGCAAUGAUUGUGAGGCGUGCAAUGCAAAUUCAUGGGACACAUAAUAUAUAUAAUUAUGAGAUUUUUACUAUGAUUGUGGUGUCUUUAAUGAUGUUUACAGGCUAUGGUGGUAUGCUUUAAUGAUGGCAUCCAUUGUUUAAAAACCUUCCCUGCUCUGGUCCCCCACUUCCGAUCCUUUGGUUCCGCCUCCAUCCAUGAGUUCUUGCAAAUACCCGCAAUCUCCGCAGAAAGAUGGCAAACAGCUUUAACUGUUGGCUGACACACCGGGAGUGAAAUAAACAUAAUGACAAGGUCACGCCCAGUAGAAAUAGCUCAAAACAUUUUAAUAGAACUUAAAGCAAACUACAGGGACCACAUUUUAAAGAGGUAGUUUUAGUCUUAGCCCUGCAUAGGUCGGCGAAAUCGGAUUCUCCUAGCAUGUAGAGGUUGGUAGAGAGUAGCAUCCGAGACCAUGCUAACUCAUUUGUGCUCACCGCACUAUCGCCGCAAGGAAUCAAAAUGAGCAAAAGAUAAAGAAAGAUAUAUAACCGAUGCGCAAUAACUUCGGCACCUCCACUUGCAAAGAAAGGGCACCCGAACACCUCUCUUCACAGGUAAGCUCUAUCAUCUAAACGUGUAAAGGAUAGAGGGAAAUUUUUAAGUACUAAAAAGAACCAAAUUAAAUGGAAAAAUUCAUGAAUGAAAUUCAAAUAAAAAAUGCGGGAAAAAAAAUACAUAAAACUGGAAAAGAAGACACUUAAUUAAAGAGCAAGAGCCUCCUUUCACUCAUAUUCUGUUCCUAAAAAAUGAACUCACAACACAAACACACAGGUACAGAUUGACUAGAUAUUCAGAAAUAGUGAAGAUGCAAGGACAUAAAAGGAAAUGAAUAGAAAAAGGUGGAGAAAGAAGGAAGAAGAGGCCAUUAAAGAGCCACAUAAGAUCUUGCACCUGACUUGAGGGCAACCUAACAGUACUCAAAUAUACUUGCCCCCUUUCACAAUAUCUUUUUUUAUUUCUCGUUGAAUCCAUUUCACAAGAAGCCACUGCAAGAUGAGAAAACAGCAAUGAAUAACAUUGAUCAUAUGCACCAGUUCUACCACAAAUAGAAUACUUGAUUUAGGUAAAUUUUUACCUGGACCCCCAAGAUAAGAGGAAUAAAUAUCUUUCCCCUGUCAUUUGACUCGGAUCCAUUAACCAACUUCUCGUCAACUAAAAGAGAUUUCUUCCCAUUUGUUGCAACCCCAACAAUCUCUUUUACCAAGCUCGGAAUCCAAGCAUCCCCAUUUGGGAGAAUCUGCAACUCAAAAUUAUAAGGAAUUUGCAACAUACCUUUUACAUGAAUGAAUAAAUUAUCAAAAAUUCAGAGCAUAAAGAGUAAACCUUUUCAUCAUUCUCAUUUUUGUUGCAUCUCCCACUGUUUUCAACCAAACCAACUGGAACAGCAGAAUCCUAGAGACAUCAAAAGCAAGCAAAUGAUUGAUUACAUAAACAGAACACUAAGAACAAAAAAAAAAUUAUUUAUCUUCCCUGUUUACAGAUACCAUAGAGAUGGAUGUGCAUUUUACAUCAUUGUAGAUAAUCUUCAAAUACAAUUACAGGACACCAAUAUCCCAUGAAGAACUGGAAAGCUAAUUUAGUUUCUAUUAACGCCUCCUCAAAACUAUAGCAAAGAUAAUUCUCAAAAAGAAAGAAAAAAGUUGAAGAUGGUGGUUCGGCAUUUUCAUCACUAUAGUCGAUUUCCAAAUAUGAAUCCAGGGCAUCAUUCACAUCCCAUGAAGAAUCCCAUUCACUAAUGAACCACAAAAUUAGUAUGGUUUCUGUAACACCCUCUCCAACUUCCAAGUUAAUUAGCUGCUUAGACACCAAAUGAGCAUAUCUCAAUCUCAUGCAUCCAACACUGGAAAAUACAUAUUUUGAUUAUCCCAUGAAGAACUGAAGAGCUAAUUUAGUUUCUACUAACGCCUCCUCAAAACUAUAGCAAAGAUAAUUCUAAAAAGAAAGAAAAAGGUUGAAGAUGGUUCUGCAUUUUCAUCACUAUAGUAGAUUUCCAAAUAUGAAUCCAGGGCAUUAUUCUCAUCCCAUGAAGAAUCCCGUUCACUCAUGAACCACAAAAUUAGUUUAGUUUCUGUGAGACCCUCUCCAACUUCUAGGUUAAUUAGCUGCUUAGACACCAAAUAUGCAUAUCUCAAUCUCAUGCAUCCAACACUGGAAAAUACAUUUUUUGAAGUAAGAAAUUUCCAAUCAAUUCACAGAACUCUGAAAUAGAGAUUAUAAAACAUCACAAUAUUUCAAGCACACUUUAUAGCUUGAGUAGCAUGACCUUUCCUUACAGACAUCAUAAAUUAUCUUCAUUUACAAACUUCAGAUCCAGGACGAGGAAAUUAUUUGAAAAGGCAAAGUCUUCCCUUCCCACUGAUAAUAACAGCGCAUCUAAUUUUCUAAACAGAAAAGUAUUUUUUUUGAAGUAGUAUCAUACAGAAAAAAAUUUCCUUUCCAACACAAAUCUUUAAUAUUUGCCCAAACUCCACUGUAACUUGUGAAAUGCCAAGUUUCAAACUUGAAAAUAUUUUGACAAUUCAACAGAUAAAGCUAUGCAAAGCAAUAAAAGGAAAAACUUUUCACCCUCAGGAUAUCUCAUGAUAAUAUUUUUAAAGCAUUGCUUUUGAAGGAUGCAGUGGAACUCCAUAGACAAUUGGGAUGAAAUUAAAGAAGACAAAUCUGGACAGAGUAAAAAAGAAAGAAAGAAAGUCGAGAAUCGCUUUGUGAAUAAAAGGGAACAAGUAGUCAUGGCAUAUCUGGCUCAAAGGGAUACAAGAAAUUGGGAUGAUUGGCAAGUGCUCCCAGACUGCACUAUCGUGCUUUACCUUUUUCUAGUGGUCAAGGCAAAGAGCUCCAACCGACUUCCACAGUGACAAUACAGAAAUAAAGGGGGAAAGGGCUAAAUUAACUGCAUUACAUAAGCCACCAUCAUGCCACUCUCCUUCCCACUAGUCGUGAACUUGAUAUUCAUCUGAGAUUCUCAAUUUCCCUAGGAACCUCACCUCUUCCUUUGCUUUUAAAGCACCAGAUAAAAUUUAUUUUGAACUCUCCAUGAUUUCCUCAAGCUACCGAAUUAAAUUGCCUUGUAUACCAGCAUAAGACAUUCUACAACAUCCAAGUAAUCAUAUAUGAGAAAUUAUUAGUAAUCAUCCUUACUUAGGAAGCCUAUAUCCCCAAUGCUCUAGCUUCCUGGAUUCUAUCUUCCCCCAGAGGAAGUAGAAGUGUUCUUGCUAAAUCAUAUCAAGAGACCACUUAGAUGAAGUCACUUGUGACUUUUGUCAACAGGAACUAAGGUUGAUUACUGCUUAAAAUAAAGAUAUCAUCUCCUUUCCUUUAACAUCACAAUCAAGAGCACUAGCAUCAACAUUUAACAGCCUCCUUUCUCUAAUGCCCCAUCCAGUCCUCUGUAAUAUGUACCAACUUCACCUACCAUGGUAAUCCUCAUCAUCCAGAAUGAACAUGGAUGUCAUGGUUGAAGAAAAAGAACUUGAAAUUAUUUUCUAAACAAUUCAUGUGUUCGAUAUUAAUGAGAAUUGAAAAUGGAAGAUACUUUGAAAACAUACUCAAUAACCUAAAGAUUAUUUUACCAUUUUGUUUAUUCCUCUGAUAAUAAAUGUUCAUUUAAAGUAUCUAAACCACAUUUGUGGGUGUGCAUGUUGCUAGAAGCAGUAAAUAAUUGGCAAUGCAGGAAAAAGAAUGAAUUGGCUGAAGCAAAACAACAAAUCUCCAACUUUAGCAUUCCUUUGCAUUUGUCAACAACCAAACAUGUACAUUUGAACCGGAGAAAGUUGCAAAGACCAUGGUAUAAGUUUUUAGUAUCUUAGUGGAUUGAAAAAUGAAGUAUGAUUCUCCAUUAAUUUUCUAACAAAUGCAAGUAGAAAUCUCUUGAACCAUGGCAUCACGAACCUCAAGUUUCUUAGAAGGUUAUAAGAUCUCCCACUUACUCAGCAGCUAAGUAAUUAAUCACAUUGCAUGUCCUUUUUUUCCAUGUUGAAAAAAAAUGACAGCGAAAGAAAAUGAAAUGGUGGCUCCAUCUAUAGCAUUGAUCAUUAGCGUAAGAUGGUCUAAUGCGCACCCAUGAAUACAUGCAUAUGGGUCUCUGGGAGAGGGUGCGUAUUUAUUUUAGGAGAAAUAGUGUAUGGAAAAAAAAAAAACCAGCUCACUCCGCUAGUUGCAGUUUGCAACAGAUUAUCAACAUGCAUAUGCAGCAAAUUAUGCACUUAUCAUUUGGAAACAAGUCAGCAUAUUGUUGCAUAUCCGGAGUGCCAAUGAGAAGCUGUUGCCCACUGAAUUUAAAAAAAGAAAAAGAAAAGAAAGAACAAAAACAAGAGAAGUGGGUUUAUAGACAUAUUAAGAAAAACAUGCACCUCAAAAUCUCGCUUCCUAAUCUGUGCUCCCAUCCGAAUAGUCUUCAAAACAGCCUCUGAUCUUCGACCACAAAAGACAUCAUAACUGAGAUCGUCUGGUGGGCAAAGCUGAGCAUGAGUGAGGACAAGCAAACUUUUGUUCCAUAUUUCUUUUCCAAAACUAUCAGUUAUAGCACUAAUAAUCUGCUUAUCCAAGUCAUCCACUCUAUAUGCAUCCAAGCGGUCAACAUAGAGCAAAACAUUUAUAGUCUUAUUCAAUAGGAACCUACAUAAGCAGACACAUCAACACCCAAAGUAAAAUCAAUGUACGGUCACCACAUCUUUAAUCCAGGAAUGUUAAAAAAAGGAACAACAGAAGUAAUAAUUUGGUAGGAAUCCAAGUGAGCUCAAAACAUAAGAUUCUAGUAAUACUAACCGUUUAAUCAACUCCAGAGCUUGGUAGUUGACAUAACCACCUUCCACAAGGCCUGGGGUGUCAAUGAUGUUCAACGUGAAUCCAGCCCGGUCACGUGAGACCAUGACUGGUCUGAAUCCCUCUGACUGUAACGCAAGCAUUGUUAUUAUCAACGAUAUACAAAUAUAUAGAGCAUGCAAAGACCACUAGCUGCCAAAAUCACAGGAAAUUGGCUACCUGGAAGGAGCUCACAUUGACCACUCGCUCUCCGAGAAGAGAAUUGACAGUGGACGACUUCCCAACUCCACCUUUGCCCAUAACAAGUAUGGUCAUUUUAUUAACACCCUGCAAAAACAUAUAAUAGUCCAAGACAAUAAAUAAUUAUGAAAACUGAAACAAUUAAUGAAGAAGUUGAACAAAUAAUUUGAAUUAAAAGACUGAAAAAUGGAACCUCUUCCUUUAAUUUGGCAAACAAUUCAACAAGUUUGGACUGUGUGGCAGCAGGGAAUUGGUGGAACCCUUGCCAGUCACGAAGUAUAGACCCCAUUGAUGCCUACAAACGAAACACAAUUAAAAGAUGAAAUUAUUGUCAACGCUAACAGCUAAAGAACAGAAAAAGGAAACAAAUUUGUGGAAUAAACCCUAAACCCUAGAGAUUAAUAGUAAAAAGAAAGCAAUGCAAGUCAAAACAAAUGAAUUAGAGAGUGUGAGAGAGUAUGAUGGCUACUGACCUCUUGAUAGCGUCGCUAAACUGCGCAGAGGCGGAAGAGAAAGGAAAGACAGAAAGACUUGAGGGGGAUUGGGUUUUGCCUUUGCUCUGUAUUUGGUGCGGUGUAAUGGAUUGAUUACCUUAUCAAGCCGAAGCCUUUUUUCUUUCUUUUUUUUUUUUUUUUUUUGGGUUUGGGGAGUAUCUCCGUAACUUUUUAUUUUUACGUUUUUAAAAUACUUUUUAAAAAAAUUUUAAAAAAAUUAUUUUUAUUUUUAUUUUAAAUUAAUAUUUUUAUAUUGAUACGCUUAUAUUAAAAGUAAUUUUUUAAAAAUUAAAAAAAUAUUAUUUUAAUAUAUUUUUAAAUAAAAAAUAUUUUAAAAAACAAUCAUAAAAUAAAAAUUAUAACAUAUAUCAAUUGUGUGUGAUGUUUUUAUUUUUAUCAUACAUAAAUAAUUAAUAUCUUAUAUGCGAUACAUAUACUCUCGUAAUCUUGCAACAUUAUAAAACUUGCAUUGUAGAAACAAAUAUUAAUAGUUUAAAAAAUACGUGUUCAAUAAAUUUUAAUUAUUAAAAAAAAUGCUACAGGGAGGCUUGAUGCUCAUAAAAUAAGAUUUACAUACCAGGAAUUAUAUUAUUUUUUUUAAGUAACAAACACUGGGUUUAUGGUAAUUAUAUGGAUAUGAUUAUUAUUUAUUAUUUAUUAUUUCAAUUUCACACUAAUUAUAUUUUUUUCUCGGUGCUUCUCAACUUUGGGCUUAAUGCUACGAGUCUACGAAAUACUAAUUAGUGAAGAAAAAGAAGAGUCCAGGUCCACGCUGAGCCCAAAUAGAACAAGAGAAGGUGCUUGGGGCUAAAGCCUAAAACCAACGGACCAUUUUAGGCAAGGAUCCAGAGACUCCUAAUUGAGAAAGAUCGUCGUCUCCACCACCCUUAUUACGCCUCUAGGAGGAAGAGACCAAUCCCAAUCCCUAUUGUCUUCCAGGAGAUUGUUCUUUCAGGUCCGAAACACAGGAAAUCCAAUCAGAUUCUCUGAUAUUUUUCAGAAGCAAAAAAAGUUAGAAAGAAUGUCAGUUAGGUUAUUGAAGAGAGUCCUGAAAGAACAAGAACUACAACAGCAACAGCAUCAUGAUGAGUCUGAGGAGGAAGAAGGUGAAUCUCCUUAUUCGGGAACUCGCCCUGCAAUAAACCCAUUUGACCUUCUCAAUGAUGAUGACGUUGAUCAGGUUUUAUUCACCAAUCCUAGCGCCUAUUGUACAACAAUUUUAACUGAUCAAAACCAGAAAGUUACCUAUUGCUUCAUGACUAUCUUUAUUGCUUUGUUGUUUAUAUCCUUGUUUUUAUGUUGUUUAUGAUGUCUUAAUAAUGGGUAUUCAGUGUUUGGAAAGGUACCCCAGUAUGUAUGUUACCUAUUGUUUAUGCAUGUAGUUUUCCCUUUUAAGUUUCAACGUGGGCAUCCAAUACCUUCCUAUGAUGUAUUGUUGUGUAAAACCUGCCCCUUUGUAAAAUUGUGAUUAAUCUCUUAUGAAAUUGAGAGUCUCUUUUGAGAUUUUAAAGCAUAAACUGUAGUAGGGCAACACCCAGAGGCACUAUGUUUUGAUAAACCAUGAGCCUUGUAGCUAGCAGAAAAACUGAGACUGAAAAAAGAUGCUCAUGCCUUUUCAUUACAGGACGUCCAAUGCAGUUGACCCAUUUCUUUUGCAAUAUGUUUAGUUUGCAUGGUAUCCUUUACAUCCAAUCCAGUUUUCAUAGAAUCCACUACAAUCAGUUCAGUUUUGUAGCAUUCUUUACAUUCGGUUCAGCUUUCAUGCGGUUUCCUGUGGCUAUGUAUUUUUGCCUGCUUAUGAAGGACUAUUACAGUCUUCUUAAGCACUUGGUUCAGCUUUUAUAGCAUCAUUUACAGUAUUUUUCGACUGAUCUUUUUAUCUGAUAUGUUACACUCCCCAUCUUGUGCUUUUGUUCACUGGCCAAAUUGCUCUGGAGUGUGAAGACUUGGUUAAAUAUCAAGCAUAUUGAUGCAUUCAUGUGAAAUUUUGAAGGACAUUUGACUUUGAGAAGAUAUGCUAACAGUGUAUUUGCAAGUUUAUCUGGGAGAUUUGUUUGUGAAAUUUUUGUUCCUCGUUUUACAAUUGUUCUCAAGGAUUACUGGUGGUUGUGAAAGGAAAGAGUGCAAUAUCUACUUUCCAUUUACUUUCAGUUGCUAAUGUUUGAUUUCAGCUGCAGGAGAAUGAGCCAGAAAUUGAUGAUGAAAUGGUAGUGGGAAACAAUCACAAACAAGAAUUGUCUGGGAUGAAAAGCAUGGCUGGUGCCAUUUCAACAUCCAAUCAGAAAUCAAAGAAAAAGAAGAAAAAGAAAAGCAAGACUGGUUUGUCUUCAGUUACAAAUAAAGUCAAAGAACCUUUUGAUGACAUGUUAGAUACUUUAUCCUUGGAUGUUAAUUCUUCAAGACAUCAACCUUGCCCCACCAAAACCAAACCAGAAACUUCCAAACUUUGUGCAGAAUUUGUGAAACAGUGUGCACCUUCCGCCUUACAAGUGGAUCCGAAAUGUUUGAAUCCUGAGAACGAGCUAAGGAGAAUUUUUGGUUCUAAGGUGGUGAAAUCAUUUGAGAAAAGUAAUCAAGCCAGCAGUUCUAGACAGGUUAUUGGAGGCAGACGUGGAGCCCAUCAUACUAGAAGGACUAUUUUAGUCUCUCCAUCAGAACAUUGGCCUCGGUGGGAUGGAUCUUUAUCCAUGGAGUUUUUGGAAACUAAGGAUGGAUACCACCAUUUUAGGUGAAGAAUGUCCUUGCUUUAUUUCUAUAUUUCCCAGAUUAUGCAUCUGUCGAUAUUAUGAUGUCCAAUCAUUACUGAUAGUUUCUUCAUUCUCUCUUACUGAAUGUAUAUUCUUUAUUCUUGUUUGCCUUUAGGGGACACUUUCUUGUGAAUGGUAGCAUUCACUUUGGGAAUUUUUCAUUUUUAGUCAUGGGUUUAUCUUGGUUAUCAAGAAACAUGCUUUUGGUGUAUUGCUAGGAUUUUUUUCUUUAUUGGGCUGGGGAGUGAUCAUAGUGGGGGGAUGAAGCGAUGAUAUUAUGUCUUUAAAGUUUAACCCACCUGAUGAGACUUUGAAAAGGUACAGUGAUCUCUAAGACACUUUAACCAACUGUCUAGUUGCAAGCAGCCCUAGCAUUUUGUCUUUUGCAAUCUGGCUGCGGACAGAGCAUUAUCAUUUGUGUUUGUGAACUUAUUUCUGAAAUCUGUGUAAAGCAUCUUACUUCUGCAUAAGUUGUGUUCAUUUUCUAUAUGGGCUACUAAAUAUGGUUUUUUUCUAUAUAUUUGUCAUUUACAUGGAUUGCAACCAUUUUUCUCAUGUUUUUUUAGGAAAUAUUGCAUCUCUGCCUAUCAUUGAAGUUAUCUAUGGUUUAGUUCACAUGUAAAAAAUUCUAAUAUAUUUAUUUUCAAACGCAUUGCUCAUGCAUGUCCUGAUUCUGUAUUGUUUUAUUGACACAGGUAUGUUCACUCAUCUUCCUCUGAUCAAGCGCAGAGGACAUUUGAAGCUGCCAAGGCUAUUCAUGAUCUGAAUGGCAUAGCAAGCAUUCUGUUAUACCACCCUUAUCACUUGGAUUCACUUGUAACAAUGGCAGACUAUUUUAAAUUUGUGGGUGAGAAUCAAAUGUCAGCUGAUUCUAUUGCGAAGAGUUUAUAUGCCUUGGAAUGUGCAUGGCAUCCCACAUUCUCCCCCUUGCAGGCAAAUUGCCAGUUGAAGAUCUGCCAUGAAACGAACAAGCCACUGUUUACAACACUUUUCACUCACAUGAAAAAUUUGGACAGACGUGGAUGUCAUCGUUCUGCUCUUGAGGUUUGCAAACUGUUGCUUUCAUUGGAUUUAGAUGAUCCAAUGGGGGCCAUGUUCUGUGUUGAUUACUUUGCUUUGAGGGCUGAGGAGUAUGCAUGGUUGGAAUGGUUUUCUGAAGACUAUAAAAGUGAUAACUCCUUGUGGCUGUUUCCAAAUUUCUCAUACUCUCUUGCCAUUUGCCGGUUUUAUCUUGAGCGAGAGGAACCCUCAAAAGAUGCUGAUACUUGUGCUACAAAGUCUAACUCAGCUGAUUUGAUGAAGCAGGCUUUAAUGCUUCACCCGUCAGUCCUUAAAAAGUUAGUGGCCAAGGUACCUUUGAAAGAUCAGGCAUGGACAAAUAUAAUAAAGCAUGUGUUUUUUCGAUCAGAGAAAACAGGGUCUGCGUCCUUGGAUCAUCUGAUUAACAUAUAUGUAGAGAAAAGUUAUAUCAUAUGGAGGCUUCCAGACUUGCAAAAAUUGCUUCGUGUCAGUGCUUUACAAGUGAUCGAAAUUCUAGAACAUAGUACCAGUGAUGCCAAGGAUUGGGCUUGUGUGAGAAAAGAGGCCUUUUCAUCUGAGAACAAUGAGUAAGUGUUUUGAAUUAUGGACUCAGUUCCUCUAUUCUGCUCCAACCACCUAUUUGUAUCUGUUAGUUAUUGUUGUUGUUAAUUGUUGUUUUGUCACAAGCAAUGAUGGUAUUUAUUGUUAUUAUAACUCGUGUCCCUUGAAUGACGGAAUCAAUUUUAUGGUUGAGUGUCAAUUUAGGGGUCUGCAGAAUGUGAUAGAUCCAUUGCAUCCGGGUUUAUUCAACUAUUGGUAUCAUGUUUAUCAUGCAUGUUUGAGUUGACAUUUCUUUCUCUUUAUAGGUACGGCCAUUUGCUGGUUUCAGACUUUUCUGAUACAGUUCCAACACUUCCACCUGAGAACUUGCAAAACUUCAUGGUUGAUCCAAGGAUGAGGGAGCCUGAGCGAAAUGGGGGACAAAUUGCCAACCCACUUGAUGGUGGCCCUGCUCCACGUGAUGUUGCGAAUCGCAAUGCAUUGGCUGUCUUGUUUGAAUCCAUGUUGCCAUGGGUUAAUUAUGGGGGUAGAGGGGAUGGAGGCAAUGAGGAGAACCAAGUUAACGAACAUGAGUGAGAUGACGAAUGAAUUAGCAAUGUGCUUACUUUAAAAGGUAGAAAUCGGAGAAGAUAACUGAGAUCAUUGGUCUGAAAUGCAGAUAUUUUUGGUUCGGGUCAGCAAAUGAAUUGCUGCGGUUUGAUGUGAAUAGAAGAGCCAACCAUUCUUAAAACAUUACCGAGUAUUGAUGCAUACCAAUUCCCUUUGUACAACAGAAGUAGAUUAUUUUCCUCCGCCGAGAACAGAUAUCAUGUUUGCACUAAUAAAAGUUGAGGGAAAUUGUAGCCUGCUUUUUAGUUAGUCAUCUUGUAGAAGGCGAGGUAUUCAUUUGGAGUACUGGAAAAGCAGUAGCUCAUAACGUUUAAAAUAUAAGUCGUUUUAAUGGCAAUAAACUCUGGGUUUUCUCUUUCUUUUCCUUUUUUAAUUUUGCUGGACUGCCGUUUUAAUGUCAGACCAUAGCAUCAGUUCUUGAACGAAUCGCUCCUUUUGUUUUUCAAAUCCGAUUGAUUAUUAGGAUGGCCAUCCAUGACAGGGCAGCUGCGUGAUCACUAACUCAUUACUUAGGAGUUAAUUGUGGUUUUAAGUGUCAGAUGACCUUCGUGGUCUUUUCUUCCCGCCAAGAGCUGGUCACGAAACAAUGAGGUUCAGGCAGAGUCUAGCUGCAUGCCUCUCUAAUUCUGGGCUAAACACUGAGCCAGCUGAAAAGAAUAAUUAAUUUUCAAUGCAGAGCUCAAAAGUUAUCACAUUUAGAUAAUGUUAAUUUUGAUAUGACGAUAUGCUUGACUUCAGUGCUGUAACUUGACAAGUCAACAAGAAAAUAUUUACAACUACAUAUGCAUGCACAUGCUGAUGGUAAGCUCCGUGGCAGAAUAUAAGUUUGCAAUGGGAUUAUCACGAAGAUGGGAACUUUCUUUUUUCAGUAUACUUCGAUUUACACAUCUUAGAAAGCAUAUACUACAGAGUAAUUUUGUGGAAACCGCAAAGAAAAUUGAUAUUACUAGGAAGUACCUACUUUAGUCCAUGAAGUGUUGUUUCAGGUUCCUUGUCCAAGGGCAUAUCUUUCAGUCCCAUUAAUUUUAUCUUCACAGUUUUCACACCUUCCCUAAAAUCUUGAUUUGAUUCUUUUGGAAUUGCAGACUUCAAAUCAGCAGCUGCUGUUAGUGACUUGCCAAAGUUUAAUGAGUUGGCCUUAGUUACAACUUUCCUUCGCUUGUACGUCAAUGGCAGUAACUUUUUAUCCUUAAAUGCCUCCGAGACACUGGAUUUACUCGAUAGCUUCUCCGAUUUUCUGAUGCUGACAUCACUCUCACCAUUCUUUUGGUGUGAAGAAGAACCCAUUAACGUUUCUUGCUUACCAUUGCCAACAUCUGAAAUUGUGGGAACCACUUCUGGAAUUCUUGGAUGGAUAGUGAGAUGCUCUUCUUUUAAGGGUGUCAUGUGCUGCUCCCCUCCCUGAUAUUGGAUACGAAAUGGGAAUGAUUCCAAGGAUCUCAGGGAAGAGCCAUUAAAUUCUCUGCCCACAUUUGCCCUCGGAUUUUCACUACCAAAGGCAUACGGCAUUGCACCCACUGUAUCCAAGGAUGACUGGCAUUCCUUAUUCAGAAACCUUCCCAUAUCAACUCCAAACAAUUUGUGUUUUCCUAAAACAGAAUUGUCAUCUAAAGAUGAAGGUGUUUCCAGUUUCACUUUUCUUGUAAAGCUUUCCGGGUGAUUACUGGUUACUCUAACACUUUCCUGUGGAUCCAUGAGAAACUGAGGUUGGUCCAGAGGAGAAUAAACCCUGCUACCAUCAGCCUUUUGCCUUAGAAAUGGAUAUUCAUGCAGGCUACCUGCAUUCUGAAAGCAUAGAGAAGCUGGUAAAGGAGAAAACUUAAAAUCCCGUAUGCCAUGAGUCCCAGAAGGAAAGUUUGAUUGCACUCCUGUUGGCACAAUGUCUGAUUGUUCCAGGUGAACUGAAGGAACUUUAGGUACUAUUUUCAACAGUCCUUUGGGCAAUGAUCGAUAGUGUUCUGAGAAGUCAGCCACAACCACCUUUGAAUUGUAAUUAUGGAAUGAAUCAUUGCCGGAUGCCUUCCUCUUUAGAACCCCCUUUGGUCUGCAGUAUGGAGCUGCAAAUUUUGGCCUGUUGGCAGACAGAAAGGGUGGCCUGUCCUUUGCUGAAUUCUCACUCUCCACUAGCUUCGUUGCCUUCAAUUCCAAGUUGACCUUCUCACUUAACAGAUGAUUGUCAUCAGGAGAUUCAUUUAGAUCAAGCAUGUUGAUGCUCUUUUGUUUUCUCCUGUUUUUCCAAGUGAAAAUAUUUUCCUCAAUACCAGGACUCAUUUCACGCUGAUCCCAUAACCUUCUCAUGUCUAUAAACUUUUGUAUCAUCCUGUCAUGGUAAGCUCUAAGCGAAUGAUAAUAUUGCUUCCUUUGUAAAAACUGCAAGCCUUCUCUGAAGCAAGCCACCUUUGGAGGGUAGAAUCCAGCUUUCAAUUUUUUGAAGAAUUUAUCCAAAGGAUUCCCGAAAUAUAUUUCACUACCAUCAAAAAGUUCCUUCAUAGUCAAGCAAAACGUCUCUUGGUCCAUGUCUGGAAGGUAAGCUGACAGAUGGAACCUUUCUUCCUCUGUUAAACACGAAUUCCAUGUGUCUAGAGAUAAUAUUUCCCUCAAAUCUGGAAGAUCAUAGAGCUCAUAUGGUAUGCAGCACCACUGGCCUUCCACCAUGCCAAGCUCACAGUUCAAUUCAGCAAGUUCACAAUCAUCUGAAUCAUUCCCUGAGUCUGCUCCCAGGACUGGGUUAUCUCUCAUCAGCUUGACUUCACCGUUGAAGACACAAGAAACUUUAUCAGAACUUGAACUCCGAUGGCAAAUCUUCUGUAUGCCCAUUGAUACAGAAAGUAGUGUGAAGACAAUCCUUAAGUUACAUGAACAUAUCGAAUCCCAGAUCUGAAACUUAAUCACCAGAACUAAUUAAGGUGCCUGAAGAGAAGAUGACCACAGUCAUCAAAAUCAGCACAAUUUAAAUGAGAAUUCCUUAGAUUUUAAACCCCUUAUGACAACACCAAAGAAACAAUUCAUCAAAACAAAAGCGAAUGAAUAUUCUAAAUUUAGGAGUUGAAAAUGCAAGUAAAUUGGUGUUCUCAGCCAUUGAAAAAAAAAAGGUGGCUGAAAAAAAUGCAAAAAUUGAUCAACCAGCUCCAAACGAAAUGCCUAGAAUUACUAUUAGCGAUGGCAAUAUGAACCAUCUCGCGAUACCUUCUACAUUGCUUGCUGCUAUAGUUGAUAUUUCAGUCCAUGAUUGCUGUACUAAAAUCACAUUCCUAUAUAUUCUUAUAUAUCCACAAACUCACAAUACAUGUACACAAGUAGAUACUUCUUCACAUCUCAAUGUACAGUUCAUCUCCAGCGUGUUACCAAAUUUCAUUGGCAUGAAUUCGGGUCCAACCCUGAUCAUUUGCAACACAAAUUUUGGAAGACUCUAAUCUUCAGAAACCGGCAAAGAAAGAAAAGAUUAAAACCAAGUAACCAGAGAGAAAAUGCCUCUGCUAUAUAUAUAUAAACUUGCAAAAAAGGAUGGAUCAAACCCAACAUUCAAAUAGCAACCUUUCCAGCUAAUUACCCAAAACCAUCAUCUGAUCAUGGUUCCGAAACCAUAACAGAGACCAGAUGAAUGGAAAAAGAAAAAUCACAGUGAGAGAGUAGAGAAUCAAACCUUGGAAGGGAAAAACAGAGAAGAGGCGAAGCAUAUGAAUUGGAGCUGAAAAUGGGGGUUUUUCUCUUCUACAGUAGUUGAAAACAGAGACCAGAAGUGGGCAAGAGUGCCAUUUUUUUUGGGGGGGGGGGAUAGGAAUUAGGAUAGUAGCUUUACAUCUUUCUCUUUCUCUCGUACCUGUCUGUGCCGAACUUAUUCCUUCUUUUGGCUUUGGAUUUUUUCUUUUUCUUUUUCGGCUUCUUGGCCCUUCUACUGUACCGCAGUGAGCUUGCAGAAUACCAUAACUAUAAUUAUCUGAAACAGUAAAGUCACUCUGAAAUUUUUAAUUAAUUAAAUUGCUUUCGAAUACUGCUAAUUGCGAGUGGCUCGUAAUAAUGGUCAGAGGCCCAGGCCCACCCUGAUGAGUGGCAAUUUUAAGGGCGUGCUUUGUAAUUAAAAACAUUAAAUGGUAAAAUGUCGAAUAUGCAUCGUAUUUAUUAAAAAAAUAAUUAAUUUUUAUUUUUAUUUUUUAUUGUGUUUAAUGUGUAAGUGAGAAAAUAAAAAAAUAUAUUUUAUUGUGUUUCUAAAACAAACUAUUUUAUCACAAUUUUUAUCAAUGGUCUUAUUGGCAAUGAUCUCUACGUACCAACCAAAAAAUCACGAUUCAAUUAUCAGCAAAUAUAAGAAAUUGGAUAUGUUACGCUUCAUAUAAGAAGGUGAUGAAAUUUUUUUUUUUAUCUUUGUUACUUUCAUAAUUAUAUUAAUUUCUUGUAUUUUAUGAAACUAAAAUAACUUCAUAAAUUAAAUUAAAUUAUAAAGUUUAAUUCACAAUCAACCUAAAUAGUGAACGAUGAAGUUAAAAAAAAAUCAAUUACAAAAAAAAAAUCAAGUCAAUUGAGUUAACUUGCUGAAUUCGUAACUCAAGUAACGAGAAUGAGAUAAUUUUAUACAAAACAAACCGAGAUAAAUUAUGAUGCUCGAUCUCUAAUAAAUCUAAUAUUAAAUAAUAAAAUUAAAAAAAUAAAUUAAAAGAAAUAUAAAGUAUUAUUCAAUGCAAGGAGGGGAAUAAUGAUUUUUCCUAGUCAAUUAAUUUUUGUUAACUAUACGCUUAGCCUAGCUAGUCAAUUGAGUAAUAUGUUGGCAUGGAGUCUACUCAUAUCAAGUUUUAUCUUGAAUUAAUUUAAAUGUUGACAUGAUCAACUUAAAUAAAACUCAGCUUAGAUAAUUAAAAAGAAAAUUAAAAAAAAACAAUAUUGUUCCAUCUAAAGAAACUUAGAUGAUAAUAUUUUAAAAUUUACCCAUUAAAUCUACAUCCGAAUCUUAGAAUCAUGCUCUCAAGUCGUAUAAUCUUGGGAUAUUUUUUUCUCUCCUUUUCUUUCCCUCCAUUUUUCUACGCUCCCUAAUUGCACUUGAAUGCUUUCUCACCACAAUGCUUAUCCAAACUGAAUGCUUUUCUUGAUCACAUAAAAUAUGAACUCAAUUAAAAUAAAUUUAAAAUAAAAUAUGAACUCAAUUAAAAUUUUAUUAAUAAAAUAUUAAUUUAAUGGUUAAGACAUUAUUAUAUUCAUGUAAGGAUGAGAAUAAAACACACUUAUUAAAAACACACUUAUUAAAAGAGACAGCUACAAAUCCAAAUAAAAUUACUCUUAUUUUUUAAAAAGAUACAAGGAUACCAUAUAAAAAUAAAAAAAAAUUAAAAUAAAUUUCGUACAUGAUUCCGUGUAUAAAUUCUCUCACACUUUCAACUUAAAUACAAUAUCCCCACAAAAUCAAUGGAAUCACUCAAAUUCCAUUCCAUUCCACUCCACAACCAAAGCAAAAGGCAUUUUAUUUUGAAAUCUGUUGAAAUUGUCUUGCAUGCAUCAAACGAUGUGAAGGCAUCCUUUUAAUAAAAAGAAUAUUAAUCUCUGUAGAUAAACAGGCUGCUCCGAAAAUACCACCUUCGAAUAAAUAAAUAAAUAAAUCGGCCGGUUUGGGCGGUUACCACGGGGAAUAAUUGCGGGGAGCUAAAAUCGAAGUGACGUUUGGGCGGUGGAGGAAAAGUGAGUCUCCUGUCUUGCUGCCUUAUAACUUGCACAACUCUGCAACCCCGACGCAAUACAGUGAACCCCAAUCUCCAUCCUCAACACAACAUGGACCACAAUAACAACAAUCCUUACCUACAGUUUGCGCCUGUUCCUCCCGCUACUAGUAAUGGACAUGGGACGAAUGGCAACAGUGAGUCAGAUCUUUUGACUUUUGAGCUCAUGAGUGCCUUUCGUGGUGUUUGUUUUUAAUUAGAAUCCAAAUUGUUAAUUAUCGCUCUACUUCUAUCAGGAUCGAUGGGGAAGAUAUGUGAUGCUCUGAAUCGAUGCGGGAAAAGGGUCGAAGUGGCCACUAGGAAAGCAGAAGUCUAUGCUGAUAACAUCUGGCAUCACUGUGAGUUGUUCUUUUCCCUUCCCUCUUCAUGUUACCAUCAAUCAAGAGUCAGGACUAAGUAAAUUCUUCUUGCCUGCCCUUAAUAUGCACAAUCAUUAAACUUAAUGCCACUGCAAUGUCGAGUGGAAAAACCUUGCAUCGCCUCUUUUUACUUGGCUUAUUGGGUUUAUCUUUUCAUCUUUAAGAAAAUGAAGUCUCAUAGAAAGGUGCCAUCCAGCAUUGCCUACGAACUUGCCUAGUAUAAACAUGUAAAAGUAGGAGAAAGUCCCUUUGGUCCCCCCUCCCCUAUCUGCUUAAAUUUAAACACUGUGACUGAUUGGGGAUCACCUUGAUUCACCAGCUUUUUUAGUUAUGAUCAAAUACAAACUGAACCAACAAAAUGGCUUGUUUUUUAUUGCAAAGUCGAAGAUGCUUAUCUGGCCUUUGUUGAGAAACCAAGGGAAGGAACACUCUUCUUGACCUUUUUAUAAUUAUUUUCAAGUAAAUUUGGGAUCUAUGAGAAUGGAUGGAUGUGGAGGCAUGUCUUCAUAGAAUGGAUACGAGGAAAGACACAGGUUAAUAGGGGAAAACAAAUAAGGUAUAAACAGACGGAAUAGAUUCAUUGCCUUGGCUUUGAGAACCAUUUCAGGAAUACAAAAGCCAGAUAAUUAUUAUUCUCCUCUAAAGGAUGUUUUACAACCUUGAGGAGUUCAUUGUUUCCGGACUUCAAGAAGGGAAGUGAUCUUUGUAGAACUGAUGCGGUACAAAAGAGAUCUAAGAGAAUUAAAAGGGGAGAAAGAAACAAGCUGAGAAGUAGAAGAAAAGGAGAUGAAAAUGAUAAGAGAAGAGAAGAGAAAAGAAAAGAGAUAGGAGGAGGGAAAGUUUGCAACUACGUAAAUUUUAUCAAUUCAUCAAAAACUGUCUUCAAAAUGUAAGAAGAUUGCUUAUGAAUAGCAAACCCUACCUGAUCAAUAACUAGGUCAGAACCCCAAGAAAAAUAAACUAAAGUCUAAUAUAGAAUAACAUCAAAUCCAGUAACAAAACCCAAAUAAAAGUCCAAAUAAAUUAAAUCCAAUAACAUAGGCUAAAACCCAAUCUCCUAAUCAAAGAAUGACGGGUUAGGUUACCCUCCAUCAUCAAUGACCAAACACGGGUGUGAAUUGUGUCUCGGGCCUAUUGUCCCAUCAAGAACAUUGAGUUAAUGAUUUUUAGGAAUGACACGAAGCACCCACUUUGUUUUGCGAGUUAAACCUGUACUUUUGGAAAUUAGGAAGCCAAUUUUUUGUUUUGGUUCUUUUGUUCAUGUAAUGCAAAUUACUUAUUUUUAAUUCUCAAAUAUGGAUGCGAUCAUUUAGUUUCACGUGUGUGAUUUUGUGUUUUGAGAACAACAGUCAAGGUUAGUCCUAGUCUCACCGAUGCGGCAAUGGCAAGGAUUUCUCAAGGGACAAAGGUACUCACUGAAGGAGGACAUGAUAAGGUAUUCCAGCAGACAUUUGAGGUCUUGCCUGGAGAGAAGUUCUUGAAUGCAUAUGCUUGCUAUAUAUCAACUUCCACAGGACCUGUCAUUGGGACACUUUAUAUAUCCUCCAAAAAGGUGGCCUUUUGCAGUGAGCAUCCCUUCUGCUAUUAUUCUCCCACAGGACAGCAGCAAUGGAUGUAUUACAAGGUUAUAAUCUUCUACUACAUUUCUUGGCGAUGCACUCGCCAUCAAUAUCUCAUUUCUGUUAAUCUAAGCUGGAUAACACAUGCUUUUCAAUGUUCUAUUUCUUGAAUAGAAAGUUUUUGAACAGUAUUUAAACAAAUUUUGCACUUUGCAAUUAGAAAUCAUUACAAGUUUCAUUGACCUGAAAGCGUGAAAUGAUUGAUAUGAACUCGUGCAAUAACUAUUUCUUUACAAGGCUUUAUCUAUUAUCCUUGUUCUUUGAACCAGGCCCGUUUAUUUGGUUACCUAUUUCUAAUAAUUUUGCUUAAAACUUUUAGCAGGCAACUGAUAAGUUUUCCUUUUACUUUCCAGAUAGCAUUUUCUGUUGUUUAACUCCCUCGAUAUAUGGAUAUAUAGGUCGUGGUGCAGCCUGAUCGGUUGAGAGCAGUAAAUCCUUCUUCAAACAGAAUGAACCCUUCUGAUAAGUACAUCCAAGUUGUGACAACAGAUGGUCAUGAAUUCUGGUUCAUGGGGUUUAUAUCAUACGACAAGGCACUGAAGCAAUUAUGUGAGACUUUACAGCAGUCUCGUGACUCUUCUGGGGUCCCUGUGGCACACAGUGCAUGAUCAUGCUCCCUCCCGGCGGCAUGCUUAACUUAUGGAACAGAAUAUUGUGACGGUAAUGUUUUAUAAGUAGAAUAAUUUAGGUUGAUCGUCAAUGGACAAUGAAUGUUAAACAGCUGAUAUAUAUAUAUAUAUAUAUAUAUAUAUAUAUAUAUAUAUAUAUAUAUAUAUAUAUGCUGACUCUGAAUGUAUUGUUUCUUAUGGUUUCUAACUUUCUUUGUCUAGAAGCUUAUCCACCCAGCAAUGCGCCUACGAAGAGGGAGAAUUAUCAUGAACUGAGCGCUUUCUUUCCGUUUCCCUAGGUCUUUAUGGAAAACAUACUUUUAUCUUGCAAGGCCAGCCUGAAAUCAAUUGAAUUAACACAAACUAUUGGCGUGUGUGGGUGUGGAUAUAUUUGUUACACCCAAGGAUAGAAAAUUCUUUUUCUCAUGUGGCCGCCAAUUCUUGGCAUGGAUGAUAAGUGGAUUUAGAUUCCUUUUGAUAUGACCUUUUAUUUUAAAUCAUAAUUUGAAGGUUGUUUUUAUAAGUACUUUAUGAGAAAAAUGAAUUUAAAUUAAAAAUAUAUUUAGUAAAAAUGGCUUAAAUAAUUUUAUUUUUAAGAAAAAAUAUGCUAUGAGUUAGAAUUCAUAAGUUAGAAGUAAACAAUAUUAUUUUAAUGUAUUUUUAAAUGAAAAGUAUUUUAAAAAUAAUUAAUAUUACAAUAUUAAACAGAUUUUAAAGAGAAAAUGCUUGCAAGUUAAUAUACUUCCAGGAAAAAAAAUAGUAAAGGGAGGUAUUGAAUUUACAAAUCUAAAAAAAAAAAUCCCUUUGAAAACAUACCUUCUUAAUAUUAUUUAAAUAGCAUGAUUAAUCUUAUGGCUCCCCAGUUCAUAAAUACUCAAUUCAAUAAAUGCAAAACAAGUCUAAACUUUCAAUUUUAUUUUUUUUAAAAAAUUAACUAGCCUAUUCCAUCCUUGUGGUUCCACUUUAUGAGGUUGUUUGGAAGCAUAUCUAAUUAUGUUUUUCAAAAAUUUUAAUUUUUUCUUAAAUUAAUUUUUUAUAUAUAUAUUUUUUAUCAUUUUGAUAUACUAAUAUCAAAAAUAAUUUUUAAAAAAUAAAAAAUAAUAUUAUUUUAAUGUUUUUUUAAAUAAAAAACACUUAAAAAAAAUAUUUAUCGCUAUCCUAAAUAUCUCAUUAAGUUAUGAAAUAUUUUUUUUUAAUAAAGUCAAAUAAUCAUUUUGUGUUGUAUAUAUAUCAUAGUUAUUAAAUCCGGUUUGAGGGUUGAUCCAGCCAUGAGAGGGUUGACCUAGUCAUGGGGUCAGGUCUCGGAUCAACCUAGAAAAAAUUAAAAAAAAAUAUUUGAGAUUUUAAUAUUUCACGUAAAGAAGUUAAAAAACAUUUCAUGUGAAUAUAGGUUAUACAUAUUCACAUUGAAAAAUUAAAAAAUAUUUCAUGUUUAUGUAGUAUGUGUUUGUGUACAUAGCUAAAAAUUAAGAAAUAUUUCAUAUAAAUUAAGGCUAUAUAUAUAGCAAUACUACAUGGGAAAAUUGAAAAAUAUUCCACAUAUAGGCUAUAAACAUAAUUAAUUCACAUGAAAAAAUUAAAAAAUAUUUUAAAGGGAUGUAAGUUAUAAAAAUAAUACGAGGUCACAAGUUAAUUUUAUAUGUUUUGGGAUUGAUUAAAAAAAUAUAUAAAAAAUAAAAAUCAAGUUUUAAAUUGGUUAUACUGGGUCACCUGAGUUUUAACCAUUUAAAACCUGUUUAAAAUCCCUAAAGCACCUGGUCCGGAUCAACCCGCCAGGCUGGUUUAUAUAUAUAUAUAUAUAUAUAAAAUCAAAGAUAGGAUCAGGGUGGGAUGUCCUCCGCAGUGAGCCAUGAGGGUCAUAACUGACAGUAACAGAUGAUGUCUCCAUUAUGAUACGUGGGAAGCGAGAGCAAACCCAAAAAAGACAAUGGGCUCUGCCAUCACUGUUGACAUAAGCCUGCACAAAAAGAAAAAGUCAAGAAAGUUUCCUUCCUUCUCCAGUUUGAUUUACUUCCCUCACCUCCUUUCUUCUGUAGUGUAAACUCUCCCCUUUCCUCGUUUGUUACCUACUUCCUGGAUAUUUCGAUUUUCUUCCCUUCUCCAGCAAGCAGGCAAUGGCAAAUCCUUUGUAUUUUCCCACUCUUCUCUUACUCCUUGCUGCUAUCUCUCAGGUAAAUUGCUUUCCAGUUGCAAUCUCUAUCUAUUUAUUCUAAAAAAAUCCGAUCGUUACCUCUCAGUUUUUUGUGUUCUAGUGGAGAGAUAUCAAUGCCUGUUCGAAUUCCCCCCCCCCCAAAUCUGGCGGUUGAUUUUGUAAUCAAAAUUUAAUUGCAUUUGUUCGGGUUUAAUUCUAUUCAAUUAAAAAUACGAGAGUACUCUAAUUCGUUGUAAUAAAUAAUUUAAUAUAAUCACUAAAUAAAUCGCAUGUAGCUAGAAUAAAAUUUAAGCUUGUAAAAAAUAAUAAUAAUAAACAAGCAUAUAAACACAUGCAAAAUUAAACUAAUCAAGUCCUGUUUCUUAAACAUGCCUGUAAAGAAAGCAUUAUAUUAGUCAGAUUAUGUAGUCCAUUUGUUGAAACAUCUAGAUGCAGAUCACGUUGCUAUAAUUGCAUACUUUGGCAGUUUUAUUGUUCGUACGCAAAUGGAUUGAUUGUAAUCAGUGUCUUAUAAUUUCAAGAACACUACUACUAAACAAAAUCCAUGAACUAGGAAAACAUUCUAAAAUAUCUCUCUACAAAUAACUUGAACCUAGCUCUAGAAUGACUAGAUGAAAAAAAAGUAGAAACGUUGGGAAAAGCAGAGGAGAGAAGGCUGAAGAGCUACUGUUUUGUGUGUGCAGAACAUCUUUCACUCAGCUCUUUUUUAAAUUGAUUUUUUUGAACUGAAACUAAUGGAGAAUUAAUUCUGUUAAUUACCAUAAUUAAUUCUCUUAAUUACCCGUCAUAAAAAAAUAAAAACCUAUAGUUUUGCCUUAAAAUUAGAUGUUUUUACUUUGAAAAUAAAAUUGUUUAGGUAGAUGAUGUUUAUUCUUUAGAUUGGCCAAAAAAAAAAAUUCUUUAUGGGUCUAAAAUGCUCACAUGUGACUUAACUUUUAAGCUCAAGAUCCAUUUGGUCUAGGGUUUUUUUCUCUUAAAAGCUCUAGUGCUUUACGGGUUAAAUUUAAACUCUUCAACUUCAUGCUAAUAAAAUAUAAGAAAAUCUUGCAAUAUUUCAAUGCUAGAUUGAUAGUUCUUGGGUUUGCAAAACAUGCUAAUAAGAGUUUUUUUAUAUCAAUUUCUUAUUCACCCAUAAUUUGUUUUAAUAAAUGGUAGAUGUUUGAUUCCACUUUUAAUUUGACUCAAAUAUAGCUAUUAAAUAUGUUUUGAAAUAAAUUUAUAACAGAUUUAACUGCUUUUUAACACGUUAAAAUCAGAUGGAUAAUGACUUUGUUUCUGUAUGCAAGUUCCUAUAUAUUCUGUGGGUGGAAAGGUGAUAUUUUUGGAAUAUAGAGAAACUGUGAAGAAAAUCUGUUAAUAGCACAGAUGGCUAAAGAAGCCAGGAUUAGGCAAUUAAAAAAAAUACACGAAAUUUUGAUGUUUAGUUAAUUGCACAGUAAUCGGGGGUCUCUUUUCCUCGGCCAAACCUCGGAUUGAUUAGUUUCAGCUCUGUCAUCUUUAACUGGGCAGUUUUAAUCAGUCGUUUUUGCUGGAAGUGUUUUAUUGCAACCCGCCAUUUAAGUUAAUAACAAAGUUAUUGUUUUCUACUUUGAGUUUUUUUAUUUUUUUAUGGAGCUUUAUUAGUACUUAUGCAAAAACAUCUUUAAAGUAGGAAUUAAUUCAUAAAUAUGACCUUGUGAAUACAAAUCAGUAGGAGGUCGUUAUGUCGGUCUGCUGGUCAGUCUUAUCUUUAAUUAAUUUCCGUUCUUGGAUUUUUUUUCCUAUCUGUUUUGAUUCUUGAAUGGUUACUAUUCUAAAUUUGAAGUUAUUGAGUGUUAUGUGGUCAACAGGCUACUGCGGAGGAACCAGUCUCCAAGCUCAAACUCAACUCUAGGAUCCUUCAGGUAUUUUAUUUAGCAGAUCCCCUCUUUUUUUGUAUGAAUUUGUUGCAUUGCAAAUUAUUUAUUUUUCUUCUUUCACUAUGAUUGUACAGGAUUCAAUAGUUCAAAAGGUCAAUGAAAAUCCCAAAGCUGGAUGGGAAGCUACAAUGAACCCUCAAUUUUCCAAUUAUUCUGUGAGUGCUCGACUGGGCAGACCUUGUUCAUUGGAGAUUUAGAGACUGGGAUUGUUUUAAGUACCUUUUUAUGUUGUUUCAUUAACUCAUGUAGAGGCUGGCUCUAGUCUUUUAUUCCAUACAGCUAACAUUUCCAGUUUCUUUGCUGCAUAGGUUGGAGAAUUUAAGUACCUUCUUGGAGUCAAACAAACACCCAGAAAGGAACUAAGAGGCGUUCCUCUUUUAAGGCAUCCAAAAUCCAUGAAAUUGCCAAUAGAAUUUGAUGCGAGAACUGCUUGGCCACAUUGUAGCACCAUCGGAAGAAUUCUAGGUCACUUUCUACCUGCUUGCAUUGCAUGGUUCUCUGUUUUUUUUUUUUUUAAUUAAUUUUCAAGGUCCUGAUGCUUUUCUGCUUUGUUUGGCAAAUCGUGGGUCGAAUUUGAAAUCAUAGAUCAGGUAAAAAAAUUUGUUUUUAUUUCUUUCUCAAGGAUUUGUCUAAAUAAACCUUGCCAGUUCUCAACACAUUUCAAUUUUGAUAAUCCAGGGUCACUGUGGAUCCUGUUGGGCAUUUGGUGCUGUUGAAUCACUAUCUGAUCGUUUUUGCAUCCAUUAUGGCAUGGUAACUGAAUCUUGUAAUUCAAGUUGAUUGUUUAUAUUUGAACAAAAGAAGUUGGCUAUUUAUGUUGUUCCAGUAUAAUCAUAUACGUCCUUUUAUUGCAGAACCUCUCUCUAUCUGUCAAUGAUCUCUUAGCUUGCUGUGGCUGGAUGUGCGGCGCUGGUUGCGAUGGUGGUAGUCCAAUUGAUGCAUGGAGAUACUUUGUCCAAUCUGGUGUUGUCACUGAGGAGGUACAAGUUUCUGGCCUUUCCUAUUACUUUGACCCUUGAGAUCUCUCUUAGUUUAGAUUGGUUACUGAGAAAAUGAGAGACAUUACAUUUUGAUCUUGCCCAAUCUGUUCUACGAUCAUGAUGUUCCUUAACAAAAUUUUCAUGUGGCAGUGUGAUCCAUACUUUGAUGAUAUUGGCUGUUCUCACCCUGGUUGCGAACCAGGAUUUCCUACUCCAAAGUGUGAGAGAAAGUGUGCUGAUAAGAACAAACUCUGGGCGGAGUCAAAGCACUUCAGUGUUAAUGCAUAUAGAAUCGAUUCUGACCCCCACAGUAUUAUGGCAGAAGUUUCUAGCAACGGACCAGUAGAGGUUGCCUUCACUGUUUAUGAGGUAAAAACUUGGUUCAUUCUCAUUUGCUCACACUUGAUGCACUGAGGUCUCUUGCAGUGUGUAACUACAGCUCGCUUAUUAAGCUGAAGAAAUUCUGAGCAUUGCUUUUACAAGUAGGAAUAACUUUGGUGGGAGUUUGCAAGCAUUUUAUCUAUAAAAUAUGAAUCUCUUUCUUAGUUGUACUUGCACUUUUCAUUCAUAAGGGACGAAAGUUGCCCAUUAUUAAUCUAUUGUAAAGUAUUAAUAUAGAUAUUGCAUGAAGAUAAAUGUGCCUGUGUAGUAUAACUUGUUACUUAAAAUAAUUGAAAUGGUCUGUUUACGAUUCUACAGGAUUUUGCUCAUUAUAAAUCAGGAGUUUACAAGCACAUAACAGGUGAUGCCAUGGGAGGCCAUGCUGUUAAGCUUAUUGGGUGGGGGACUUCUGAAGAUGGGGAGGAUUAUUGGGUAUGUGUUAAUACUUGUCAUUUGUUUUUAGAUUUCAUUGUAAGUAACUUCAAUAUGCCUAGCAUAUAAAAGCAGCGGCAAAUUAGUAGGAUAUUUACCACCCGCCCAUGAUCGAUUAAGUGUUAAAGCAAUUGUCCAGAAAAAUUAAAGACGUCAAGAAUAAAAAGUCUUUUAAUCUAUGCCAAACUUUAGGGUUAUUGUGCGGAUGGAAGACACAAGACUUUUCAAUAACUUCUCUUUUAGCUAGAUUAUGAAUCCUUUAUGUAUAAUCUAAUUUUUUCACCUCCAUCCGUCAUAGAUGUGAUUGAUCCACUACUAUAGUCCAAUAGGUUCUAAGUCUUAAUUAUUACCUAGUUUAAAAUCUACAUGACAUAUCGGCCACCUUAUGGAUAUUUUUCUUACAUUCAUGACCAUUGUUUUUUCAUGUUAUUAACACAAGUAUUACUCUUUGUUUCAGCUUCUUGCUAAUCAGUGGAAUAGAGGCUGGGGUGAUGUAGGUUCUUUUGAUCAGAAUUUGCUCCGUGUUGAAUUACUGUCGUAAAAGGUAUUCUCAAUUGCUGACAUGCAAUUUCAUUUUGAAUGACAGGAUGGUUACUUUAAGAUUAAAAGAGGAACAAAUGAGUGCGGCAUUGAAGAGGCUGUUGUUGCUGGUUUGCCUUCCACCAGGAACCUCGUUAGAGAAGUUGCCAGCAUCGAUGGCCAUGAGCACGCUACGGCUUGAUGGUGGAUUAUCGUAUUCAAAUGUGAUGUAAUUUAUGUAUAAACCGUGUUUUAGCGAUAAAUUAUGCAUGAAGAGAGUUAUUGAAUAUGAUCUCAGCUACAUUAGGAUGCUUUUGUUAAAAAGGAUAAGAUUGAAUUUUAAAAAACAAAUUCUAAUAUUAAGUUAAUGUUUAAAAAUUAUAAGACCAUUAAUUCUCUAUCCCCUUCGUUACCCUCCAAAUGUGGAGAAUCGAAGGAUUGGUGGAAUUGGGGAUUGGAGAAUGGCAUCAGGAAACGAAAAAGAAGAAGGAAUCACUAUUCCCACAGCCUUUAUCAUUCUUUAUUAUUAAUUAUUCGAUCUUAAGAAUUCCUUAAUGAAAAAUAUACAUGCGCCUGCAUACGCAACAUGUAAGAUUAAAAAUUUAUAAAUAAAAAAAUCUCCAAGGGUAACUCAACUAUAUUGGAUUUGCUCCUUGAUGAUUACGAGUUCGAGUUUCUUUAAAAUUACUGGAGAUUUACAUGAUCGUUAACUUUAAGGCUCGUGGAAUUAGUCGAGGUGCGCGAAAGCUGACCCGAACACUCAUGUUAAUAAAAAAAAGUUAUAAAUAAAAUGUAUUUUUUGAAAUAUUUUUAGUAUAUUAUAGUUUUUAUUGAUUAUUUUAUAUCUUAAGAGUAUAAUAAUAGAAUUUAAAUAAAUAUUAUAUAGUUGUUUUAAAUAUUUAUAAAUAUAAUUCAAUAACCCAUUACCAAAUGUUGUUUUUAUUUCAUAACAUAACACAAUAGCAAUAUCCCAGUAAUAUCAAAUAAACCUUUAAUUUAUCGUGUGUUCAAGAAGAUAAUAUAUCAUUGAUUUUUAAAUAAUAAAUUUUGAAGGAAAAUUAUUUUGCUUUGCCGCGAUAAUUUAGAAGAAACACUCUUCAAUUACAUAAAAAAAAAAUGGAUGGUGUGAUUCUCAUUAUAUAAAUUAUUGAUCCCACUCCAUGUUUAUUAUAGUUUUUAUCAACAUAUAACAUUACCCCGUCUUUAAUAUAACUAAGUAUCUUAUUUUGACAUGACUAAAUUUUAUUGAAAUAUUACUUUAAAUUAUUCAAAAUCAAAUAAUAAAUAAGAAAUAUAUAAAAAACAAAGUUUUAACAAUUUCAAUUGUUUUAGUAUAUACUAAACUAUAUUUUGAAACCUAUAUAAUAGUUUAAAUUAUUUGGUUAAGAUAACUUUUUAAUAAAAUAAUUUUAUAUAUUUUUAAAUAAAAAAUAAUUAUCAUCACCGACCAAAACACCAGGAGAGUAGCCUUUUCCAACAACAUACCCAAAUAGCAUGUCGAAGCUUGAUUUUUAAACUAACUAGUUAUUACCAUCAUUUUGCCGUAGGGGCACAAAUCAGCUACCAGGAUACUCACUCCUGAACAUAUCUUCUCCGGCGAUUAUAAACAAAGACCUCAACCGCUUUUCUUUUCUAGUCAGUGCGUUAUUGUCGGCGACUUUAAUUUCUCUUGCCACACCGUGUCUACACCAAAAACCAUGUGCAUAUUUUAGUAGUCCUCCAUUGAUGUGAUUUAUCCAGCAUGGACCCCGGUGGUUUGUCGCUCUAUCUACUUUCUGGCAGACUGGGUUGGAUUAGACCGGAUUGAAUUUGUGGUUUUCAAUGUGGGGAUAUGGAAAAACCUGACCCAUCAGUUCCUUCUCCUCAAAACAACACCUCCACACACAGAGGAUCUUUUUGAAAAUCGAAAAAUAACAUAUUUCAGUAAGAAAAACGUUGUGCUAAAAUAACACAUGUUAUAAAAAUAUUUUAAAAAUAACAUGAUUUUUAUCAUAAUUACGAAUCUAAAUAUUAAUUUUGUAACAUUUAUUAUUAAAAAUAUUGGUUUUGUAACAACUACUAUCAGAAAUAAAGGUUGUUUAUUCAAAAAUUAAAUGUAAAUAUCUUAUAUAAAUUAAUUAACAUGUUAAAAAAUCAACAUAAAAAUUUAUAAAAAUCCAAUUGUUAAGAUAUGAUAUUCAAGAAGAUUUAAUGGUCAUUGAAUAAAAGGGCGAGAUAAAUCUGAAGUGGCAUAAGAGAGAAAUGAGAGGGUUAAAAAGAUCUCGAUGAGAUAAUUCUAAUUGUAUUAUAAAAAACCAUCAAACAAUAUUGUAAUUGGUUGGUGGUUUUAAUUUGGGUUAAUUACCUUAAUCCAAAAUAAAAUUAUUAAUCAAUUACAAUUUUAUUUGGUGGUCUUUUAUAUUACAGUUAGAAUCAUCUCAUGGAGAUUUUUUUUAAUGAUAUUAAGUGUGUAAAAAAUAUAGUCUCGGCGUACCUCGAUCACCUAUUUUUUCUUUCUCGAUUUCUCUCUCAGCUUAUUUUCCUUUUAUUCAUUGACUAUCGACUAUCAAGUUUUAUAUCUUAACAAUUAAAGUCUUUAUAGAAUUUUAUGUUGAUUUUUUAACAUGAAUUGCCGCCAGCCGUGUCUUCGCUGCAAGAUCGGUGGGUUCUUCUUUUCUUGUUUAAAGAAGAAAACGAUGCGAAGUGCUUUGUUGUUCCAAGACUGGAUUAUAAUUCUUUUUUUUUUUCUAAAUGUUGGUGAGGGGCUAAUCAAAUUCAUAUUGAAUUAUACAAUGGAAUUUCCCUGGGUUUACACGCAAAACAAUUGGAUUAGACUGGCAUGUGAUUAAUUAGUGGUUGUUGGGGUUCCUUAUGUGCAUUUGACCCUUUUAAUGACCGUGCUCAUCCUUGACCCGUUUUUCGCGCCAAUUAAAUAUAGUUAAAAAGUCUUUUUUAAAAAAAAUAAAAAGACUGGAAUAAAAUAAAAAGUCUGAUAAUAAAAUUAAAAAAAAAAUCUUUCUUAAUCUAUAAUUUUGUUUGUUUUGUUCUUUUUACACGUGCACUUUUGCACAUGUGAAUUCCAAAUAUUUUUUUUUAUCUUCAACACUCCUGUCAGAAUGUGUUAAGAUGUUAAAAUACCCUCGCACAUAUGGUAGUCUUAAAGGAGACAAACUUUUGUCAACUUGCUGGAGGUAUAAUCUCAUAGAUCAGACAGUUAGCCGUCCAAAAUGGCGAUGCAACUGUCCUUUUCUUGUUUAUCAGAAGACUUGAUGGAAAUGUUCACAGGAAAUUAACACACGUGCUCGAUAGUCCAAAAAAACAACAUGACACUAGUUAUCGAGGGAAAAAAAAAAGUAAAUUAACUCAGAGUAAGUGUUAAUUACGUUGCCUUGACUGGCUAUUUUCCAUGCAUGUUCUUGGGGAGUCCAUGAAGUAGAAAUAGCAUUAUCUUUGUACUUUAUGUUUUAACUCUUUUUUUUUUUUUGAAGUAGAAAUAGAUUUUAUAGCCACUAGUUUUCCAUGAUAAUGUAAUUACUCUCCUUGUGCAGCUUCUUGCUAAUUAAUGAUCAGUACUGGAGUAAAGGCUGGGGCGAUGCAAGUUCCUGUCAAAAUUCUCUCCAUGUUAGACAAAUAAACACAGUGUUUCUUCUCAGAUGUUGAUUCUUCAAGAUUAGAAGAGGCUGUGGUUGCUGGUUUGCCCUCAACCAGGAAUCUUGUUAGAGAGGUUGCGAGCACAGAUGCUCUUGAGGAUGCCUCGUCUUAAUUGUUAUAUUUCAAAGUGCUGUAUUUUAUGUAUCAAUCACAUUGGUUCUUGUGAUAAAAAAAAAAAAAGGGCUUGUGUGCUGUAUACAAGGGACGAGACCAGGUAUAUGCAUCCAUGUACGUAAACAGUUGUCUUUCUCAGCUGAAAUUUGCUGUUUGUGUGAGAAGCAAACAGGGUGUAGAUAUUGUCGUGCUUAAUAUUUACUGAUAAUAACAGAUUCACCUUCUUGGUGCAUUUCACGCUGCAGCUUCUUACCUGCUUCCUGGUCAGCUGUUUGGCGUUUCCAGGUUGAUUGGGUAAAUCUGCUUCGGCAUGUUAAUAAUUAAUAAUAACUCAAGGAGUUUCGUGCUCUAGUGAAGAGGAUAGGACGGCCCUGUGCAUGCUCGAGAAGAUUUCAGAAUUUUAGAUGUUAAAGAAGUCCAGCUUGUCAUUUUCUUCACGAGUGUUACAGGAUAUAUAUAUAUAUAUAUAUAUAUAUAUAUAUAUAUAUAUAUAUAUAUAUAUAUAUAUAUAUAUUUAGAGUAUAAGUGUAAAGAGAAAUAUACAAUCUGUAACUCUCUAGAAUCAAAUUUGCUAUUCUUCCAUGGUAUACUAAUUGGUAUCUGACAGUUGUGUCUUGGACCUAGUCUUCAACACGCCCUGCAAUCUUAAGCAAAGGUGGCAUAUUUUUUAAGAUUGGUCUUUCAAAAGAUUAAACCUUCUUGCACUCAACGGUUUGCUAAACAGAUCUACAAGAUGGUCUUUACUGAAAAUAAAUUUAACUUUAAGACAAUUACAUAAUCAAUGAAUUGUAUAUUUUUGUUAUUCUUGACCUGAUCUCGGACAAUGUGAAAAGCAAUUUUUUUUUUUUGUGCAUGCAUGAAAUACUGGGUUAGAAGACAAACAGGUGUCACACCAUAGCUCUGGAGAGUGCCCUAUAAACCAUCAAGUGGAAGCCCUUUUUUUUUCCCUUUCCUUAGACCGAGACGAAUUCAUCGAGAAUCCAAUGUGCAAUUCAUUUUGAUGAGAUGGAUUCAGAGUGAUCGGAAAAGUGGGAAAGAAAUCCCUCUCUCUAUUACUACGAAUAAGAUUUUGAUCUUCUAAAUUAAACUUAAACAAAGUAAGCAUAAAGUUAGAUUGGUUCACCAAGAUUAAUGAAGUACCCUGGGGUUGGCCAUGAUUGAAGAGUAAAAUUAAAUUGUAAAAUGUUAGUUAACAUAAUAUGUGUGUGAGGCUAGAUUAUUUGGGAGAAGGGCUAAUAGUAUGGAUGAGACACCAAUAGCAGGAUCUUCGACAUAAGAAGCUAGAUUGGCGGGAGAGGCAUGCAGAUGUUCUUCACCUUCACCAAUCAUAGGAUAAUUUUAAAAUUCUAAAAGUCGCAAUUUCUUUAAAUUCAUGUUGUUCAAUUAUUUUAUUGCGAGAUGGAUAAAAGAUAAAAAUGAAUAAUUUUAUUAGAUUUGUUAUCCAAAGAGGAGCUAGCGACAUUAGUGUUUAGAUGCAUGUAAUAAUUUUAUUAGACUAAAUGUUCGAAUAAAAGCUAGUGGCAUCCGUGUUCAUAUGACUUUGAUAAUUUUAUUAGACUAGCUGUUCAAAAAGAAAAUAGUAACAUCUGUGUUCAGAUGACCAUGAUAAUUUUAUUAGGCUAGUUGUCCGAAGAGAAGUUAGUGACAUCUGUGUUUGGAUGACUAAGAUAAUUUUAUUAGACUAACUGUCUAAAAAGGGGCUAAUGACAUCUAUGUUCGGAUGAUCAAGAUAAUCUUAUUAGACUAAUUGAUCUAAAUGAGUUUGUGGCAACAGUACGUUUGAUUGACGGGAUAUUAAACUUGUUUAGAGUAAAAGUGUACGAAUGAUUUAUAUAUUUAUUGUAAAUGAUGAAGUUAAUACCAUUUCUUAAUGUUAAUGUAAUGAAUGAAAUGGUAAUAUCCAUAUACAUAUGCAUAUAUGUGUUUUGUUCAUAUGGCUAUUGUAUUAUAAUCUAAUAUUAUGAAAUGAUGUAAUUGCCAUGUUUUUCACAUUCUUAAGCCAACUAGUAGAUUUCUAUAAUGCUAUUUUUUAUUAUAAAAACAAGCUUCGUAAUUUAAAGAUGUUAAACGGUUAUGUAUUUUAAUUUGAGAAUUUCAUUUUGGUUAUGUAAUCAUGUUUUGAAAAUUAUGCACGUUAAUAUUUUGUCAUCCAUUGUAAUUUUGUGCAUCAUUAUCAAAAUUUAUAUUAAUUGAGAUAAAAUUCUAAAGAUGACUGCGUUUUAAAUAUCAAUGUUCUUUAUUCAUUUAAUGAAAUAUGCUAAAUAAAACUUUGAUUAAUUAUAUGUCAAUUUUAUUAUUAUAUUUCAUGAAAAACUAGUUGUGGAUUAUCCUUUAGUUGUGUUGAUGAGAAAAACACCCGGGAUGAUUGGACUUUAAUUGUAAUAUUAGAUUGCGAUAUAUAUAAAAGAAGUUGUUGAUAGCUUUGUACGUUUUCAAUAUAGAAGAAACUCUAUUAAAAUUCCAGUAAAAUGAAAAAUAAAAUCACCCCUGCAUUUUUGUCUUUACAUAAAUAACAAUAUUGUAGAAAAAUAUAUUUUUAAAAGUUAGGGUUAUUACAAUAAGCUUACAGAUUCUUUGUCAUCAUGAUCCCUCCAAUCCGCAUCUAUAAAACCAUGAAGCGAAAGUAUUGCUCUUUUGCUAAUAUAUAAUCCAUUCGAAACAAAAAAUGUAAGAUAACAUGAAAUUUGCUUAACUGACCUCCAAUGGCAAACAGACGGCUUAUGCAUAAAUAUGCUCUCACCUUGUCUACAACAAAUGUGAGAUCAAGUCUAGUGAAGGGGAGAUAUUGUAACCCUCCAAUAAUAUUUGCCAGGCUUAGCUUUGUCCAUAGAACUUCGUUUAAGAAUAUCAACAAUACAUAGAUGCUGUGUCAACAAUAAACCAUCUAACCAUCUAGGUGGUGGUCUAGUAGUAAAAAUUUGGGACUAAAAUGUUUGCUUCCUCUGUGGUCUCAGGUUCGAGCCCUGUAGUUGCUCAUAUGAUGGUCACAGGAGACUUACAUGGUCGUUAACUUCAGGACCCGUGGAAUUAGUCGAGGUGCGCGCAAGCUGACCCAGACACCCCCGUUAAACAAAAAAAAAAAACAAUAAACCAUCAGCAUAAAAAAUGACUUCAACACCCCAAAAAAACUUAGAGGCCCAGGAUCUUUCACUGCAAAACUUGAAUUGAGCUUGUGUAUUAAGUGAUUAAUAACGGCUGAGCUUGGUCCUGUAAUAAUGACGUCGUUAACAUAGAUAAAAUAUAUAAAAUGAUGGAGGAAAUGUGAUAAUAUAGAGAGAUGUAUCAAGUUUUCUAUCAUGAAAACCAAGAGCCUUGAGUUUUUAUGUAAGCCUAGAAAACCAGGCAUGAGGUGCCUGCUGUAAGCCGUGAAUAGAUUUUUUGAGAAGGCAAAGAUAAUUGAGAUAUUGAGGAUGUUGAAAACAGGCCGAACCAUGCAUACCUUUUAUUGUAAGGCGAUGAAAUAAUGUAUUUUUUUAUCAAUAGAUUAUUUUUCCUUUAUUAUUGAGAGUAAAUUUAAUUAAAUAAAUAUUUGAUUAACCCAUAAUUAAAAAAACCCUACUCACAAGCAUUAUGAAUUUUAUAAUAUCAUCAAAUUGAUAUAACAAAUAUACUGAAAAACAUGAGAGAUUCACCUUAUAUUUUUUUUUUAUUAACCACUAUAGUGUGGUUACCAUUUUGUCACUGCCAUAAAAAAUAAAUGACUUUGGAUCGAGGGUAUUUUGAUAUUUUUCAUAGGGUUUAUAAGUCAUUACUAAUUUGUUUUAGGGUAUUUUUAUCAUUUCAAUGUUUAUAUAAAUAGUAAAGUAACCAAAAUAUUCCUAGGAGAAAAAAAAAGUAGUGUCUGGGGUAGGGGUAUUUAGAUAUUUUUUAUUUUUUACACAUAAAUUUAGAUUUUUUUAUCUUGAUUUUUUGUUUUGGUUAAUUACGAGUUUGAUAGAAGAUAGUUAUAUAAUUUAUUAUUAAAAUAAUAAUUUUUUAUUUAAAAAGUUGAUCACACGCCAACCCAUUGAAAUCAUCACACGUUUCGAGUGAUGUGUGCAACUAUUUCUUGUUGUUAAAAAUAAAAUGUUCAUUAGCCGUCUCAAAUUAUACUUUUUCAUUUUUUAUAUCAUAGAUGACGUGUGCAUUCUAAAUAUGACAGGUGAAUUGCAUGUAACCUUUUCUUCCUUCAUUUCUUUUUAUUACCCUCAUAAAUACACUAUGAUCCUUAUUUUUCUUGUUAUUUUCAGUACUGAACGUUAUUUAUUUUGGUUUAAAAUAUAGUCUAGGUCGCGGCAGAGCUAGGCUACAGAGGUUAGUAAAUACCUUUUGUUUGAACCUGGUAACGCUGUUUAGAGGACCCCAUCACCGUACUAACCAUCAACAAAAGAAACAAGAGUCAAAGAUUGAGCAAAAAUACCAUCUCAGAAGAUAACGAUAAACAACGUGUGACAUUGCACUGCACAAUUUCGUCGCUGUUAUAUUUGGUUAAUUAAUUUGAUAUGACUCAACCCCUGUUCAUCCAGUGACUCACACUCCAUUUCUUUUUACACUUUUGUGCACGUCAUCGUGUUAAAUGCUUGAUGAUGUUUUCGGUAAAUUGACGCCAGGUCAUCAUUGUUGCUACCUGGCCAUGUCACGCGAGCCAGUCAGGCUCUAUCGGGAAGAUGUUUAAUUCUUCCCUUUCUCAAAGUAGAAUCUUCAUUUCCUGAUAGUUGAAUUUUAAAUUUAUGUUUUUUUUUUUAAAUAUUUUUUAUUUGAAAAUAUAUUAAAAUAAUAUUAUUUUUAUCUUUUAAAAAUUAUUUUUAACAUGAUAAAAAACAUAAAAAAAUAUUAAUUUAAAGAAAAGAAAUAAAAAAAUUUUAAAUUUUUUUUAAAAUAUUUUUGAAACGCAAAAUAAAUACUAUUUUCACGAUUUUGAAAAACAAAAUAAAAUAAAUGACUGGAAAAUGUAUAUUUGCAUUAAUUAUUGGAAAAAAGAAUCUCUUAAUUUGUUGUUUAAGAAUUAAGAUCCUCUCCUACUAUUAAAAAAAAGAAAAUAGAAAAUGAAUAGUUAGAAUUUAGAGUACAGGAAAUCUAAUUUAUUUUGGGUGAUUGAGAACGUAAUAAAAAUUAAUUUUUUAUUUAAAAAUAUAUUAAAAUAAUAUUUUUUUAUUUUCAAACAUUAUUUUCAACAAUACAUCAAAAUAAUUCAAACGGCACCUUUAUCUCGUUGGUGCUGAGCUGGGCCAUGGCAUUACGAUGGAUAUGCUGUCACUUUCUUUCUGUCUGAGUUCCCACAUUAUUUUUUUUCAGAAAGCAAUUUAUUUGACUUUUUUUUUUUAUAUAUAUAUCCAUAAAAUAAACACAGAGAUAAAGAAGAAUUCCAAGGGGCGGGGACGCACAGGAUGAUCCGAAAAUCCAAAGGAGAGUUGGGUGGCGACAUGUGAUGAACUGUUUGGCAUCCCGCUAACCAAUGGAAAAGAAUAUCCUGUGUAGACACCUUUUCUAUCUAGCAAAUCGCAAAAAAGAUUAUAUAUAUAUAUAUAAAAAAAGAUUUCCAAGCAUCAAAAUAAUACACGCCUUUCACGUUGACGUUGCCUGCUGCCGCGGAGGAUGAAAAUUUAGACCCGAGGGAGUCCACCUUUUUACCGGUCAGUCACUUGUCCCACCAGACCACACAACAAGAAAGCAAGCAAAAUGAAAGGGAUAAAGAUAGUCCACCUCAUUUGUGGCACUGAAGCAUAACUGCUCCACCUGAGUAUUUUCUGUUGUCGUCGUCGUCGUCGUCUUGCUUGUUUGCUUGUAUACAAUAAAUAAUUUGUGUUUAAUUUCUCUAUAAAAUAUUUUAUUUAUCUACCCAUCCCUAUCUCUUUAUAACUCCUCCCCUUGCUUUUCUUCUCCUUCAAACUUGCUUCCAAGCCUCUCUUCUGUAUAAUUCUCCUGUUCUUUCCGCUCUAUAAAUUCAGGUGCCGGGUGGGAGCACUAGCGUGAUAUUGUUGUAGCGUGGCGAGGGCAUUUUGGACCGGUUUUGGCAUUUUAAAUUAUUUUAAAGCUUGGAGUGGAUUGAGAGAAUAAAUAGUGAGCAAGAAAGAGUUGGGAGAAGGGUGACAGGCAGCGCAGAAUUAAAAUUAAAAUCAAGAAAAAAAAGGAAAAAGGAGGCAUGUCGAAUGCGGUGGUAGAAAAAGAGCCAGAGCAGGUGAUGAAACUGAGAGGUGGAUCAGUACUGGGAAAGAAGACCAUUCUUAAAAGCGACCAUUUCCCUGGCUGUCAAAAUAAGCGCUUAACUCCUCAAAUCGACGGCGCUCCUAAUUACCGUCAGGUUCUCUCUCUCUUUCCAUUUUUCUUCUCAGCAGUUUCCUUUUCCCUUUCUUUUCUUUUUUGAUUAAAGCAUUUGAAAUCCCCCGAUUUAGAUGCAUACCAGCCUUUUCUUUUUUCAGAUUAGGGAUUUUUUCCCCUUCGCCGGAAACAAAGAAACUGAAAUCAUGUUCCCGCUUUAUCUUUUUGCCUGUAGAAUUAGAAGUUGACCAUGACCAUUUUUAAGAGCCUCAUUUGUCUUAUUCUGCUUCUAAUCUUGUAAACGAAAAAAAAAAAAGUCAAUGGCCAAAAGCAUUGAUCACUGUAAAUUAAUAAUUAUUAAACUAAUGAAUUGUCAUUAAUUGCAUCUUAUUUACUUAUUAUUAUUAUUCACUUAUUUGUGGUGGCUUUGAUAGGCGGAUUCGUUACCUGUUCACGGUGUUGCGAUUCCAACAAUCGAAGGAUGUCGUAAUGUUAUUAAGCACAUAAGAGGUCGGAAAGACGGGAAGCAAGCACAAGUUUUAUGGUUUAACCUUCGUGAAGAACCGGUAAAGCUUUCGCCAAAAUGCAGCUUCUUCUUGUUUUUUCCUCCCCAUUCUUCGUGCUGUGCUUAAUUGACUUUUCGGUAAUCUUUAUAAAUUAGUGCAAUGGACUAUAAUGUAUUCUUUUCUUUUCCCUUUUUAAUUAAACAAAAUGCCAGUGGAAGCAACAUAAUUAUUAAAAUCAUGUCAAACUUCAUGUCAAUAAAUGUUAAUGUGUUUCAGUGCACCUUCUGUUUUGCCUUCCUUAACUCCAGGGACGUCCCCUAUGUUUUUUCAUGGAGCAUAGAAUUUUUCCUUUGAUCGGCUAGAGUAUAUUGUCAAUAACUGUUGGAUGUUUCUACGUUCCCCCCCCUUUUUUUAUUGAAACAGUUGGUGUAUAUUAAUGGGCGUCCCUUUGUCCUGCGCGAUGUGGAGAGGCCUUUCUCCAACCUUGAAUAUACGGUAUGCUACAUAUACAUGAUUUUUCUCCUUAAUGCUUUUACCUUAAUCUGCUAUAUCUUUCUUACAAACUUGUAUCUCAUGUUUACCUUCUAAAUUUCCGCAUUUUAGCCUAGAAUUUAUGUGCUUACUCAUAGUCUUAACACUAAAAUGGUUCCCUUGGUGAUAUAAAUGCAAGAAUUUGCUCAGCUUAAAAUAAAUUCUCUCUAACAUCCAGGAUGAGUUGAUUUAAUUCAAUGUCUUUUACGGAAUCUCUCAUUCAUUUUUUAUUUUUGGUUUAUAUGUUCGCUCAAACAGAUCAUAGCCUAUGCAUACUAACUUCUGUAUGCGUACAUGCACAUGGUUGACAACAGCAGUCAUGCAAACAAGUAGUGGAUUGUAUUUGCGGUUUCAACUUGAUACUGACCUUCUGUGUUCAAAUAGGGAAUAAACAGGUCUAGGGUUGAAGAAAUGGAGGCUCGGUUGAAAGAGGAUAUUCUGAUGGAAGCUGCAAGGUGUUUCCUAUGGUUCAAUACUGCGUUAUCGUUGUUUUUAUUUUUAUUUUUAUGUUACUUUGUGUUUACCUUUGGUUACUCUCCCUCUGAAUAUGUUUGCACAUUUGAUUUACAGAUAUGGAAAUAAGAUACUUGUUACAGAUGAACUGCCAGAUGGUCAGAUGGUGGACCAAUGGGAACCAGUGUCAUGUGAUUCUGUGAAGACACCACUUGAGGCAUAACCAUGGAACUCAUUCUGCUUGUGAAAUAACUAAACAAAGUUAAUCUACUGAUUUUAUAACUUUUUGUUGCAACUUUAUUCUAUUGUGAAGGUGUAUGAAGAUUUGCAAGAAGAAGGAUAUCUGUAUGAUUACGAACGUGUUCCUGUAACAGAUGAAAAGUCACCAGAGGAGCAGGAUUUUGAUACUUUAGUGAGUUUCACACCUUUUUUUUUGGUGAUAAAUCAACUAAACAAAUAAUUAUUUAGUUACGUUAGCUGUCCCUUUGACUAAUUAAUUAUUUGUUUGCAGAGGAAUUUUGCUUACAUCUUAUUUUAUCUAAUGCACUUAUAGAGUACCAGUAACUUAGGCACCGUUUCUACAACCUUGUUGAAUUCUAGUGCAUAACUUGAAAAUGGCAAUUUCAAGCUCUACCUUUCUUUGCCUAAUCUAGAAUGACUGUUCAAGGACUGCUUGUUAUUUGUAAGUGCAAGGUUGUAUUUUAUAUCCAUUAAUAUAUAAAAAACUUCAUUACCUUCUAGUAUGUGAUAGUUCUUCUUAACUAUAAUCAUCAUAGGAGCAAAGAUAUCAGAUGCCCAACAUUUUAGGUAUACCGAAAAUUUCACUAGAUAUCCAAGUGAAGACUUGAAUCCAUGACCUCUCCAUACCUUAGUCCAAGUCUUAACCACGUGUGCUAGCACACAAGAGUUUCUUUGUUGUCUUCUUGAACACCAGAAUUUCUCUUGAUGACAAUUCUACAUAUCCUGAGGCCGUAAACUAAACCAGAAUCUAUCAGAAACGGGAUUCCAAUUUGGAAAUGAAGCCUUUUUCCACAACUCCAUGCUUACUGACAAAUUAAUCCGGUACCCUCAACCUUUAAUGAGCACAUGGAAGAAGAUAUCAUAGUCAGAGCAGUGGAAUUUAGAAUCCCUGGUGUCAAUACCAAUUUUUGAAGACAAAUGAGAAAAUAUUUUUUGCAAAUGAUAUGCUGCAAAAUUCUGUUUUUUUUUAGAUGCAAUGAUGCAUGUUCUUGUUCCAACCAUGAAUCAUGGAAGCACACCUCUGCGACAAACAUGACCAGUCACAGUUUCAGAUAUUUGUUUGAGUACGAUCAGUAUUCAGUUUUUCUAAAGGACACUUGCCUACUUUAUUUCAGGUCGAUAGAAUUUAUCAGACAGACUUGAAUGCAGAUAUAAUAUUUAACUGUCAAAUGGGGCGUGGAAGGACCACAACUGGUAUGGUGAUAGCAACUUUGGUAUUCCUCAAUCGGAUUGGAGAUUCUGGUAACAUUCUCUCUUUCUCUAACUACUCUUGUACUCUAGUGAAUAUGCCAGCAGUCAUCAUUCUUGUCAACAUAAUUUAAGCCAACUUUGAAUCUUGCAUGUUACCUCAGUUUCUUGAUCUUUGUUGUCUGGCUGAAUUUCAGUUUUUCAAGAUGAGUUUUAUAUUAUUCAUUCUCCAUCUUCUAGUUGUUUAUCAACCGUUUCACUCUUUUUUAUUGAAAAUGUUUCUCUAAUUUUCUUUUUAUUCCAUAUACUUCCAUGUUAGGGUGGUCAUUGUGGAGAGGAUUAGUCAAUUGUAAUAUUUGUUUUUGUUUUUUUUUGUUUUGGGAAAAGGCUGGAGAUUCCAUAACCUUAAUUUUCCUGUUCAUUAGUAUCAUAUCAAAUCAAUCUAAAAAGUCGGCAAAAUCCAGAUCCUUCUUUUACCUGAUGUAAGUGUGUAAGGAGAUGGAGAAACUUGUUCAAAGCUAUUAGCCUUAGCUUCCCCCUCAUAAUCUAUUCCAACAGAACUUGUAAACCUGACCUAUUUUUGUUAAUUCUGCUUGCAUUGAUGUGGAGGAUUGAUUUGCAGGAGCUGUUGGAGCACAGAUCUGUUGCUUUUUACGACAGUUCCAAAUUCCAAACCAACCACAGACUUGGACAAUGCAUAUACUCCCUCCAUUCCAUAGCAUAUGAUUCAAAUAAGGAUAAAAAUGUGGCUGAUUUUUAUAUAUUAAGUAUUAAAAUUCCCUCAGCUUAUUAUUAUUUUUUUAAAAUCUUUUAUUACUUGCAUGCCGAGUUCAUUUUUUUGGUUUUAAAAAAUAAAUUAAAAUUUUAUCAUUUUUCAAUAAAAUGAUAAGAGAUAUAUUGUGGGAUGAAGGGUUUAAUUGGUUAUGAACAAAUAUCUAAUGUUCCUGAAGAAAAACAGAGCACUUGCUUCAAUGCUGUUAAAAUUAUUCUAAUGGCACAUCUAGAAUACUCUUCCUAGGUGCUACUAUGAAGCAAUGAAAAAUUUGAGCCCUCAUUUAAAGAAGAGCAAAUUUAGGGCAGAUUUUGUGUAUUAUCACAAGGAAUGGUGCAAAGGGAUCCAUAUAGCUGACCCCAACUAGUUUGGGAUUGAGACUUGGUGCAUGUAUAUGUAGAAGAGCAUAUUGUUUUGUCAUUCACAUGUCAUCUCCUGGAGAUUCUAUCUCCAUAUUCUAUGAGAUCUUCUUUACUUAAAAUAUGGAGCAAAUUGGCUUAUCACUGCGCAAACUAAGUCUUUACCACAAUAUGAGUGUGUAGGUUUCAUGUCCACCUCCCCACUUCCCACAAAUGCAUAUAUUCAAAGAUGAGGCUACUUUUUAAAUUUUUCUCUUAAAAGAAUAUUAUUUAUGCUCUACUGGCCAUGUUAGGAUUUAGCUUAGAAACUGCCAAGAGCAGUGUGCUAGCAUAGAUAACAAAUUGAUUGACAAUCUAGGGUGGUGGACUGUAACUUGAAAUGAUACACCCAAAAGGACCUUGAUUUAAAGUUAUCUAUUAUCUACUAUUUUAAAUUACUACCCAGUCCAAGAUCAGGUUGCAAUCUGGAAAAUAGCUUGUGAAUUUUCAGAUUUGGUGUAAAUAAUGAGAGAAUAAUGCAUAUGUGAUGAGAAACCACCGAAUAUGUGAAGUCCUGCUUGAACAGAUACACAGAUGGGUUCAAAAACCUUGUUGAUAUUAUUUGCUUUCUAAAAUGAAUUUGAAUUAUAAUUUUUAUUGUAAUUGAUUUUGUUGAGAGGAGUGCAGGUUGAAUGUUUUAAUUAUGAUAGUUGCUGAUGUCUUUGUCAUCAUGUUACGUGAAAAUAGGUAUUCAGAGAACCAAUUCAGUAGGGAGAAUUUUUGACUUUGGUUUGAAUGUCAAUGAAAAUUUGCCAAACUCAGAGGAUGCGCUUCGCAGAGGAGAAUAUGCAGUCGUAAGAAGUUUGAUCCGGGUUUUAGAGGUAGUUAAUGUUAACUUUAAUUGAUUUUUUUUUCCUUGCUUUUGAUAUUUAUUUAUUUAUUUAUUUUAGAAGCACUUGGCAUAUUUUGGAAAUUUCAUUAAUCAGUGACAUGCGUUUAGGGUGGUGUUGAAGGGAAAAAACAAGUGGAUAAAGUCAUUGACAAGUGUGCCUCCAUGCAGGUAUGGGUCUAUAAUUUAUCUUAAUCUAGUAAGGUAUAGAUAUGUAAGAAGAAUGGAAUUGUUUCUUCUGUGUUUCAUUUUAGAUUUCACCUAAAUGAAUGAAGUGUCUGGACUACAGAACUUACGGGAAGCAAUUGCCAAUUAUCGCAAUAGUAUUCUUCGUCAACCUGAUGAGAUGAAGCGAGAGGCAUCACUUUCAUUUUUUGUGGAAUACUUGGAAAGAUAUUACUUCCUCAUAUGUUUUGCUGUGUAUAUUCACUCAGAGAGAGUUGCCCUCCGAUCUAGUUCCUUUGUUCAUAGCAGUUUUGCAGACUGGAUGCGAGCACGACCAGAACUUUAUAGCAUUAUUCGUAGGUAAAGACACGUGGUGAUGGUGCUGGUUUGUUUAUGGAAAUAUCCAGACUUGUAUCCUAUUUUUACUAACAUAUCAAACUGAAAGAGUGAAGUUUGUGAUUUGUGUGUACAAAUACUGGCAGUUCUGUUGGCUUUCCAUUUCAUUAAACUGUUGGACGCUUCAAUCUCUUUCCCGUGAUAAGGUGUUUUCUACAGAUACAAACUUAGGAAAUUUAAUGUGCCUGGUAGUUGUGUUCUAGUGAUUGAAUUCCCCCCCAAAAGCUAAUUGUGAGAUAUCAUCGUGCCUUGGUUAAUUUCUGGGACUGUUUAUUUGUCACACCUCGGCACAUUGUCUAUGGAUAUUUUGUUUUGAUGUUAAAAAUUUCAUCCCAAUCACACAAUUACUAGGCUAUUAUUUUUGUAAAACCUUAAAUUAAGAAACUUAUGUUGGACACUUGGAAACUAAAUGCAUAACCAUCAAAGUCAUCUGGCACUUGUAUGGACAGUUAAAAGACUGAAUGAAUCCUUAAUUGAAAGAUAUCUGGUUCCUAGCCCAUUUCUGGAAACAUGUUUAUUAUUAUAUUUGUUACAGUAUAUAGAAUCAUCAAGAAGUAAGCAAAUUCAAUCUUGUCAAACACCAUAACUUUGGCACGCACUUACAUUCCAAGUCCAGAUUUUUGUAUAUUUAUGUCAACCACUUAUCUCCAAUUAGAAUGCAACCUCAUAUAUAUCAAUAUGUGUCAGCAACUGCAGAUCACGUGGAACUUAUUUUGCUUCAACCAUCCUUGUUGCAGGUUGCUCAGGAGAGACCCAAUGGGUGCCCUUGGGUAUGCGAGUCUGAAGCCAUCUCUAAUGAAGAUUGCUGAAUCUGCUGAUGGCCGACCUCAUGAGAUGGAUGUGGUUGCAGCCUUGAGAAACGGGGAGGUGCUCGGAAGUCAGACUGUUCUAAAAAGUGACCACUGUCCUGGCUGUCAAAACCCUGGUUUACCGGAGAGAGUGGAUGGUGCACCUAAUUUCAGAGAAGUUCCUGGCUUUCCAGUUUAUGGAGUUGCAAAUCCAACCAUUGAUGGUAUUCUUUCUGUCAUUCGAAGGAUUGGCAGCUCUAAAGGAGGUCGCCCAGUUUUUUGGCAUAAUAUGAGAGAAGAACCUGUCAUCUACAUAAAUGGAAAGCCAUUUGUGCUCCGCGAGGUUGAAAGACCAUAUAAAAACAUGCUGGAAUACUCGGUAAGUAUUUUUUACCUCCCCACAACUACCAACUCGUCAGCUUCAUUGUGCACGCAGCAGAAGUUGACCCAACUACUUUGGUUACUAAUUCUUCCAUUUGGCAGAAUAACUGUCAUUUGGAUCAUUAGCAUUAUGGUGCAUAAAUGGAAUUUAUCUGAAUAGAAAAACCAUCCAAGCGUGUUUGAAAACUGGAGUGGGUUUAUCAUGCUGUGAUGCAAGUUGAUAAUUUGAUUCAUGAUGAAUUAACGACAACCUUGAUAUUGUCCUAUCCUGGUUGCAUGUCCUUGCAUAUCUAAUUCAUAGAAACCAAUAUCGUAUUUAACCUUGUCAUUUUUUUUAUUCUUUAUUAUUAGAUCUUUUGUUAAAAAAGUUUUUCCUUUCCUUAAGAUGUACAUGUUACUUAGCUCUAUUUUCUGGAUGGAUAGCACACUCAUGUCAUAAGUAAUUUCAUUGAGCCUGGCAGACAUAAUCUUGCCUCCCACUCAUCUGUGAGGCUCCCUAAUGGGAAUCGCAUGAAUUUAUCAAGGUGGAGCUUUGGUCCAGGGACCUGAACAAUUGCUAUAAAAACAAUUAUUAGAAUGGAGAAAAAGCUUUUACAAACUGUUAACAUUUCAUGACUUCUGCUUAGAUAUCAAAAUCUACUAAAUUGUGUUCAUAUUAUGGGUGCAUAGGAAUUGUGCCUGACAUAUAUAGGGAGCUUUUCUAGAACACUGAUGCCUCCUCACAUGGGCUAUAUUCCAUUUUGAAGUGUACCAAUUUUUUGUGUUACCUUUGCUCAAUUUCCUUUUCCCAGUUUUCUUCACCAUGGUUGCUGAAGUUGAGAUUAUAAUGACUGCAUUCAGGGAAUUGGUCGUGAGAGAGUGGAGAGGAUGGAAGCUCGACUGAAAGAAGAUAUCUUGCGAGAAGCUGAACGCUAUGGAGGUGCUAUAAUGGUCAUUCAUGAAACAAAUGAUGGCCAAAUUUUUGAUGCUUGGGAGCAUGUAAAUUCUGAUUCUAUUAAGACACCACUUGAGGUGUUCAAAGGCUUAGUUACUGAUGGUUUUCCCAUUAAGUAUGCUCGUGUGCCAAUCACUGAUGGUAAAGCUCCUAAAAGUUCUGAUUUUGACACAUUGGCAAUAAAUAUUGCUUCUGCUUCCAAGGAUACUGCUUUCGUUUUCAAUUGCCAGGUUAAAAUUUUAUUCUUACACUGCUGUCAUUGGACACGUGCAUGGAUGUAUUCAUUAAUUUCUAUGGAACCGCGUCCUGUUUAUUUUUUAUUUUAUUUUUUGUCCUUCACCUCAAUGUCUUUAUAAUAAACACAGAUGGGAAGGGGAAGGACUACGACUGGCACUGUAAUUGCUUGCCUUCUGAAACUUAGAAUAGAUUAUGGGAGACCAAUUAGAGUCUUAGCUGAUGAUAUGACCCAUGAAGAAAUGGAAAGCGGAAGCUCAAGUGGUGAAGAAACUGGAGGUGACCCUGCUGCAUCCACCUCUGACAUUGCCAGUGUAAAAACUGAUAUGGAGCAAGGUCGUGCUUUUGGCAUUGAUGAUAUCCUGCUGCUGUGGAAGAUAACAAGAUUAUUUGAUAAUGGUAUGGAAUGCCGAGAAGCAUUAGAUGCUAUUAUUGAUAGAUGUUCUGCUUUGCAGAACAUACGCCAAGCUGUUCUGCAAUACAGAAAGAUGGUCAAUCAACAACAUGUUGAGCCAAGAGUCAGGAGAGUGGCAUUGAGCCGUGGUGCUGAAUACUUGGAGCGUUACUUCCGUUUAAUUGCUUUUGCAGCAUAUCUAGGAAGUGAAGCAUUUGAUGGAUUUUGUGGACAAGGAGAAUCAAGAAUGGCAUUUAAGAGUUGGUUGCAUCAAAGAUCUGAAGUCCAAGCAAUGAAAUGGAGCAUUCGAUUAAAGCCAGGGCGUUUUUUCACUGUCCCAGUAUAUUUUCUUUCUUUUUUUGACUUGGAAAUUCUUGGGCUUAAUGACAACUCUUUUCUCUGUUGUGGAUUUCCCCUUUUAUCAUUAUUAUAACUUGGGCGUAUGGUUGUUUUUUAUUCUAAGCAGGAGGAGUUGAGAACACCACAGGAAUCUCAGCAUGGAGAUGCAGUAAUGGAAGCCACUGUCAGGGUCCGAAAUGGUUCGGUUUUGGGUAAAGGUUCUAUCCUCAAAAUGUAUUUCUUUCCUGGUCAGAGGACUUCCAGUCACAUACAAAUUCAAGGAGCACCUCAUGUUUACAAGGUAUGCCUACAUCUGAAAUUAUAUCAAUGAUGGAUCACUGGUAAAAUAUCCUUUUUGACUCUCCAUUUUAUUUUUUAAUGUAUUCCAGUUUGUUUUCUUCUGCAUUUUCCGUUUUCUUUCACUAUUUUAGAUCGCAUACACAGACAGUCAAGGCUCUGUGGAAAAGCUGACCGUGUGAAUACAAAGGGAGAAGUCAUUACAUCCUGAUGGAAAUUCCCCCUUUUAAGCUCAAUAUUUCUUAUGCUUCAGGUGGAUGGAUAUCCUGUGUAUAGCAUGGCAACACCAACGAUUACUGGUGCCAAAGAGAUGCUUGCGUAUUUGAGUGCCAAGCCCAAGAUAGAAGGAUCUCUGACACGGAAAGUGAUAUUGACUGAUCUCAGAGAAGAAGCAGUUGUUUACAUCAAUGGCACACCAUAUGUGCUCAGGGAGCUAAAUAAACCUGUUGAUGUUCUCAAGCAUGUUGGAAUUACUGGUCCAGUGGUCCGUCAUUGUUGAAUUAUUUUUUUAUUUAAAGAACAAGCUAUUAGUGAAGUAUGUUACUAACUUCCUGUAUUGUAACUGUUAUGCAGGUAGAACUCAUGGAGGCCCGACUAAAAGAAGAUAUAGUAUCCGAGAUUAGACAGUCUGGUGGUCGAAUACUUUUACAUCGUGAAGAAUAUAAUCCAGCAACAAAUCAGUCCUGUGUCAUAGGAUAUUGGGAGAACAUCUCUGUAGAUGAUGUGAAGACACCAGCUGAAGUGUACGCUGCUCUAAAGGAUGAGGGUUAUGAUAUAACAUAUAGGAGGAUUCCAUUAACUAGAGAGAGGGAGGCUCUAACUUCUGAUGUUGAUGCAAUACAGUAUUGUAAAGAAGAGUAAGUACCAAAAUCCUCUGCUCCAUAUUAACACAAUUUGUCUCUUUAAUUAUAAGUCUGGUAGCAAUAUUUCUAUUUAGUAUUUGAUAACCAUAGUAUGUGGAACUUGAAGAUUUGUCUGGGGUUCAGACUGCUGUUUAAGUCUCUCUGGCAGCACCAACGUCAUUUUCACAUUAUUAUCUCAAGCAUCUAUUUUAACUGGACAAAAAAGAGUUAUGCUGCCAAGUUAUGAUUUUUCCACAAGGUGGAAAUCAUUUCAUAACUGUGCCCUUUUGUCUCUCCAAUUGUUCAUGUAAUUGCUAGUCCGAAAGUUACCCAAAGCCUAAAGUAAAACCCUAUCACGUUGCAGACUUUGAAAAUAGUAACUGAUUAAUUAAUCCUUGGCAAUAAUGUAACUUGUCUCCCAAAUAUUUGUCAAAUAUGGACCGUUUCUUUUUACUGGACAUUAUGAUAUCGAUUGUGACUGACCUGAUUCAUGCUAAAUGAUGGCAAAGUCAUACUAAAAGAAAGCAAUCAUCUGUCAAUUAGUAGCAUAUUUAAAUAACAGUUGAUUUUGACUCUGAGUAGUACAAAGAAUUUAGAUAAAUCAAAAGUUCAAGCAGUCUUAAGUUGUUGACAACUUUCUUUUUGAGUAAACAAUAAUAAGCCAUUUCCUUUUCCUUGUCCAAAACUAUUUGCAAGUGCUUGGUUGGAAAUGGACUCCCGACAACUUGCAAAUGUUUUAGCUCAUAACAGAAUUGGAUUUAUGUAGCCCGUGACAAGUAGUAUGGUUUUGAGGUUUAGUUUAGUUGGGUGUUUAUGGAAGCAGAUGAUUAUUUUUAGAUUCUUAUUUGGAAUUUUGACAUUUGGCCUUUCCACAAUUUAUGCUCUGGGAGAUUCUUUUGGUAUUAUUUUAAAUAAUCCUUUCUUAAAUUAUGCUUGGGUGCAGAGAUAGUGUUGCAAACUAACUAAAAUUUGUCUGUAGCUGUGAGGGGAGCUACCUUUUUGUUUCACACACAGGCUUUGGAGGUGUUGGCUAUGCAAUGGCAAUUAUUUGUAUCAGACUUGACGCGGAAGCAAAGUUCACAUCAAAGAUUUCACAAACAGUGGUUGGUAGACGUUCAUUGUCUAUUUUGUCUGAAGCUAACUUACCUUCUGAGUUGUCUGAUGAAGAAGCACUGAGGAUGGGCGAUUACCGUGACAUACUUAGUCUUACAAGAGUUCUCGCACAUGGUCCAAAGAGCAAAGCAGAUGUAGACAUUGUUAUUGAAAAGUAUGCGAUUUUCCUUUCAAUCUUUUUUUCAUAAAAAAAAGGGGCAAUAACUGAAUGCAAGUUUAUAAGAUGAUUGUUGAGGCAUAAUUAUAGGAAAAGAAGAUAAAUUCUCCAUAACUUGGGGAAAAGCAGAAAGUGACAAUGUGUUAUCUGAUUGGCCUGUUUUUCUGUCAACUUGGAUUGAAAAAUGUUUACAACUACAAGUUAUUUUGUUGUGUGAAGAUAUGUUUUGUUUUAGUUAAGCUCUACCGUUUUUUUAAUUAAUUGGUCUUCAUUGCCAUAAUUUGAUCGUUGUGUUGAGACCCUUCCUUUCUUUUAAAGGUGUGCAGGUGCAGGGCAUUUGCGUGAUGAUAUUCUUUAUUACAACAAGGAACUUCGGAAGUCUCCUGGUGAUGAUGAUGAGCAACGUGCAUACCUCAUGGAUAUGGGCAUCAAGGCAUUAAGGUUGGUUGAUAUAUCUUGGCAAUUUAAUCUUGGAGCCUUUGCUAAGUAGCUUUUUGUAAUCCUCCUUUUCUCUUGGAAGAUAUACUCAAUCUGCUUGGUCCAUGUUGCCUUUCGUUAAUCAACAUAGAAAGCCACAAGAUUCGCACUUGCAUUUUAUUCCAUUUCAGUCUGGUAACCUAGGACUAUGUUGGAUUUGAAUCUGUCCUAUAUUUAAGGUAAGGGCAUCACCAUGGUUUGCCUUGCCUAUCGGCAUCCAACCUCUUAAUACUUCAUAUGACAGCUAUUUAAGUCUGCACCCCUUUGGUUUUUCAUGUCACUGGAAACUUGUUUGUACCCUCACAUGCAUAUAAUUUAGUGUAUGGAUGGUAAUUUAAUGGGAAUAGCAUGAAUUUUCUAAAUAAAUUGGUGUCAAUUAGAACAAUAGAUUGGAUGUUUUAAGUAAUGCUCAAUGCUCCUGCAAUUUCUUAGUCUCAGCUUGUGUGCUCAUCUAAAAUUUUCCUGGACUCCUGAAAAGAACAACGCUUUUGCAUGUCCAUUGCAGUGGGUUCAUGGUUCCUUAGCAACUCUAUAUCAUAUUAUGUAACCAAUUGCUUUUGCCCAUUUUCAGGAGGUACUUUUUUCUAAUCACAUUCAGAUCAUACCUCUACUCCACGAAGGCGAGUGAAACGAAAUUCACAUCAUGGAUGGAUUCAAGGCCUGAACUAAGACAUCUAUGUAAUAAUCUCAGGAUGGAUAAAUAAUUGCAGGCACAUAAAAACUCAAUUCAAAUGUAUUUUUGUACAGCUAGCCAUGUUUGUAGUUUUGGUGCCAAUAACUUCACUUUCUACUUGCUGCUCCACGCUGUUGCAAGGUUUGGUUAGAACAGUAAAAAAAGAACACACGAGUUUCAGAACUGAUACAUCAAUCAACAUUACAUAAAGAUCAUAUCAGUGGGCGGGUCUUGAGCCAAAACUCAAAUUUGUUUUGCCUUCUAUAUAAAUGCUAAGACAAAACUCAUCGUGUUUGACCCUUGAUUGGGUGUCAAUUCUUUUGUUGAAAUUUGAUUAAGAGGGGGGUGGGAGGUUUUCAGGAGUUGAUUACUGCAUGUAAGUUUGACAAACCGAUGGAGAUGCGUGUAAUUUUAUCCUACAAGAACUCUAAAGGUUAUCCUUGGAUGUAGCAGAGAAGUAAAGAGCACAGGUAUGCUCGUGAACAUGAAAGUUGAAGCAAAAGGUUGCUCGAGGAAGCAUGCCUGCGUCCGUCAAUUUUUAGAAUUGCCCUUCCAUGCCCUUAAUAUCACGGACUUGCAACUAUCACCACGGUGCCCAGAUUUUCAAGUGAAAUAUGACUUUUUUACCAGAUACAGAAGUACUCGUUAAGAGCAUCGUUUCAGUUGGCGUUGGCUAAAAAUGCACGCCCUUAGUAUGGAAUACCUGAGAGAUAAAUACAUGUUGAAGUGUCGGUUAAUGACAAUCCCCCGUUGAGUCAUCCACAGGUAGCAUAAAUAUCAUAGAAAAUUUGAAGUUGCUUGUUAUAGAGAUAUAUAUAUAUAAAUUAUUACAUGGAUCAUCCACAUGUGAGUCGAACUAAUAUAUUAGCAAUAGCUUAGGGUUUUUGCACCAACCAACUAGAUCAGACACUCUUUACCCAUCCAUGUGAAUAUGGCUCCGGUUUGUGUAAUAUUUUUUCUAAAAUCUCAAAACGUUAUCUUGUGCAUUCCUUUCUUGUGUUAUUACUACCGUGAAAUUUCCUUUAUGCGAAAGAAGAAAAGAUUUUAAGUGGGUGGAUUGUGGACUUUUUUUUUUUUUUGUAAAAUUAGCACAACAAACAUAAAAUUUUGAUAUAAUAACACCGUUAUAAAAAGAUAUGGUAAAAUAACAUAGUUUGAUCAAGUCAUAUUUUUGAAACGCAUAGUUUGAUCAAGUCAUAUUUUUGAAACGCAACAUAGUCAAGACUCUCAUAUUCUACUUCAACUGGUCGACCGGAUAGAUAUAGUUGUAUUAAUCAUUCGACCGUUUCAUACAAAAACUAUAAUUUUAUAAAGUUUUUCUUCCAAAUAUAUUUUAUAAGUCAAAAUAUACAUAUUUUUUUAACUUCUAAACUAAAAAAUAGACUCUAAUUAAAAUCUCAAAAAAUUAUUGUUCACAUAGUAGUUGGUGAUUCUAAGUAGAUAAGUAUGAGUUUACCAUAACUAAAUGAGAAUCUAUCUUAAAUAGAUCACGUGGAUGACAUAUCAUAUGCAUUUAUGAACUAGUGGAACAAGUUUAGACCCAAGAGGAGGUCUGAUCGCGCUAGACUAGAAUAACAACUCAAAAGGAUCAUAACUUUUUAUUCAAUCGUUGAAUCGCACUCAAAUAUUUACAGGAGUUUUCAGAAGCUUUUUUUCCUUAGCAGCCAAUGCAUCGCUACGCGGACCGUUGGAUUUUUAGAUAUCAAAAAUUUCAUCAAGACUCCCGAGUUUGAUAAUUUUGAGAUUUUUAUUAUUAUUUUUGAAACCAGUCGAUCAGUUUCACUGACCAUUACGAAUCAGUCGACCAGUUGAGUACAAAAUAAUACAGUUUGAACAUGUCGCGUUUCUGAAACGCAAUUUAAUCAAAAUAUAUUAUUUCACCAAAAUUUUUUGCUCAUAUAUCAAUUUUUUAAAAAUUUUGAAUCUAUUUGCCCAAUUUAUCCAAAAUCUCCAGAUAUUUUUAUUCAAAGAAAAAGUUCGCAAGAUUUUAAUGCGGGAAUUCUGGGCCGUUAUGAAAACCGUGAUAAGAAGAACUAUUCAAACCUAACAAACCUCUUAGACUCUCAAGUGGAAGUGGAACUUACUCUCACACAGAAACAUUCAUGGGGUUUCCUUCACUUCACCACUCAACGUGACCCAUAUGCAGGUUGAAAAGAAAAGGGAAAUGGUGAUGGAUUUGCAUGUGAUUUGCUCUCUGUAAUUAUUCCAAUUUUAUUAUUGUUUCUUCUUCUAGAUUGAUGGAAUUUAUUUUGUAUUGAUAAUAAUAUAAAAAAACGUGUACGAUUAUUUGCAUGAGCACAUGUAGAUGCUAGCAGUCUUGAAACAAAAACCCCAAGAAGAGGGAGUCGGCUCUCCCUGCUAUGUUCUUCCUUUCCUUAAAACGUGUAUGAAACACAUGGGGCUGGCUUUAGUUCUAAGCUGGCUGCGAAUCUCGAAAACUUGGUCUUAGUUUCAAGAUAUCUAGACUAGAGAACCCUUUUUCUUAAAAAAAUAGAUAAUAAAUAGCUGUAGACAAAAAAGUGAUUGUCAACUGUUAACGAUAUCGGACCGCCAUUCCUUGCUCCAUUUUGAGGCAACUCAAGAAACUGCUGCUACUCAUUUAGUUCCAAAAAUAUAAUAAAGGUAUAAUCCCAUUUCUUGAUUCAUCAUAAUUAUUCCCCUUUUCUAUUUAAAUAUGUGUUUGCAAGUACUUUAGGCAAUCCUUUCCUUUUAAUCCUUGCUUUGUUUUUUACAACGAGGUGCAUUACAUUGGUUGAGAGCCAGUUAUUAAUAGAUUGUGGUGGGUGCCUAUUAGUCUGUCCUGUUUUUUGCUUUAUAGAACCUGUGAUUUCCCAAUCCCAACAGGAAUAAGUGUAGUUGUGGAAUUUGUUCGUAUUGAUUAUCUGAUUUGAAGUAACUUUUUUUCUUUGACUUCCUUUUCACUUGUGCAGUCCAAGAACAGAGAAGAUCUCAGUUAGGUCUUAGUACAUAUAAUUUGUGUAGAGAUGGUAGUGGGAGAGCUGCAUGGAUUUAUGCCAGUAUCCUCCAAGAUGAAAUCGUCUACACGUGACAUAUUUCUGUCAUCACCAUUUGUUGGGCGUAAACUGGGCAAUGGAGGACAUGCAUAUACCUCAAUUUCGGGUGUUCAGCUAUCAAAAUUCAACUUCCCUAGGAAAACAUGGAACACUAGUAGACGGCACUCAACUACUACUGCAGUUCUAGCCGAUUUUACAAAAGACUUUAUGGUAACUUUCAUAUAUUUUUACCUUUAUUUGAUAUCCAGUUGCUGUGUCUAUAUGAGCAUGCUAAGUUUCCUUAUUGGCCGUUGUUAACUAACUGUUAUUUGGAUCAACUUGAAUUUGCUACGUAGACUUUUCAGGCAUCAAUGUUUGAGAAACAAGCAGCAGACCCUAAGACUGUUGCUGCUAUCAUAUUAGGUGGUGGAGCUGGAACAAGACUCUUCCCUCUUACUCGAAGAAGGGCUAAACCAGCUGUAAGUAACUCGAAAUACUCCUGAAAUAGGAGUAUCCCAUUUUUUUUUCAUAAUGUUGCAACUCUCAAUCCUACUAAUUUAUCACAUUUUGUCUCCUUUGUAUGGUACUUAGGUACCAAUUGGGGGAUGUUACAGAUUGAUUGAUGUUCCAAUGAGUAAUUGCAUCAACAGUGGAAUUAACAAAAUUUACAUCCUCACCCAGUUCAAUUCUCAAUCCCUUAACCGUCACAUUGCUCGAACAUAUAAUCAGGGAAAUGGUGUAGACUUUGGCGAUGGAUUUGUUGAGGUAUGUUGAAUCUCUUAAUUAAUAUGAUAGGCUAUACUCUAUUUUGAAGAUGCUAUUUUAUAUACUAGGAUCAACUGUGUGCUUGGUGCAGAUAACAGCAUAGUCUUUUCCCUUUUUACCUUCACUAGAAUGAGUUUUUAGCAUCCGAGCAAUUGCACUUCUAAUUAUGAUUCAUUUUCCACGAUAGGUAUUGGCAGCUACCCAGACACCUGGUGAAUCUGGUAAGAAGUGGUUUCAGGGUACAGCAGAUGCUGUAAGACAAUUUAUUUGGUUGUUUGAGGUAUGAAAUUCUCUAUCAUGUCUGCAUCUUGAUUCUGCGAACUGUCAUUCCUAGCAGAUUUAGAAUAGAAAGCUAAUGGUAUUAGAUCAUAGAUAAAUAAUCGGUAACUCAUUCAUCCAAAUGAAUAUAUGGUCUUGAUGUUUCAAUCUUAAGUGGCCGAUUUUGUGGUAAUCUCUGCAGGAUGCGAAGCUUAGAAACAUUGAGAACAUUCUGGUAUUAUCUGGUGAUCAUCUUUAUCGAAUGGAUUACAUGGACUUUUUGCAGGUUUAAGCAUCACUUCAAACCUGGUUAACACUUCACUCAUUUUCUAGACUCAAGUGAUUUUUGUUAAAUAAUACUCUCUGUCUGCAGAAGCAUAUUGAAUCGGGUGCUGACAUUUGUGUCUCUUGUCUUCCCGUGAAUGACAGGUUACUAAUUUUAAUCAUAGAUUUUCCUGAUUCUCACAACCCUUUCCUUCUUCCAGAUUGUAAUGUCGCCAAGAAAACACAAUUUAAUUAAAAGUACUUGUUUAGAGUUCUUUUACUUCGAUCAUCAUGGUUUUAUUUCUUCUUACUGCAGUCGUGCAUCUGAUUUUGGGUUGGUAAAGAUUGAUGAAACAGGACAGAUAAGACAAUUUCUUGAGAAGCCUAAGGGUGAAAAUUUGAAAUCUAUGGUGUGUUACUUUAUUUGUUUUAGCCUCAUGAGAUAGUGCAUGGAACUAUAUCAUAAGAAUUGCUGUAGUAUGAAACUAACAAGUGUCUUCUUAACAAUUUCUGUUGUUUCAGAAAGUGGAUACAACUGUUUUAGGAUUAUCAGCUCAAGAAGCAAAUAAAUUUCCAUACAUUGCAUCGAUGGGUAUAUAUAUGUUCAAGACAGAUGUACUGCUAAAACUUCUCAGGUAAAGUAGCAUGCAAGGAAUGCAUCUUUCCCUGUACAAUAUUCUUCAUAGCUAAACAUCGGCAAACUUACUUUGAAUAAAAUUUUGAAACAAUUGAUAACAUCUGUUUUACCUCUUAACUAUAAACCAAAAAUUGAGUUUUAUACCUGAGACAGAGCUUGAAUCCAUUUUAGUUCGUACCUUCUGAUUCCAGUAUUCUUACCGUUGGAUCAAUUUGACUUUUAGCUGAACAAUUUUGUGAGACAAUCACUUAUAAAGAAAACUUCUUGUUUAUGGGCCUAUGUAUGGUGCUUUUCUUGGGAGUUCCAUAGCCACUAUCUUCUAUUACUAAUUUAUAAGAAACAUGUGAAGUGAGCAUAUUACUGUUGAAAGCACAGACAGAUCAAAACAAUAAUGAUUUUGUUAAGCUCCAGUCCAAUCACUGCUUCCUUUAUCUUGAUCAAUCAUAUUAUUCCACACUUCAGUGCUAAUUCAAUGCCAUAUCAGGCUAAUGAUUUUAAAACUAACGGUAUUUUACUUUGUGAGUGUGCUAACAUUUCAGAGUUUGCAAUCUCUUUUUGUCAUGGUAGUGGGGAGAGACCAGUGUUUUGUUAAUCUGCUAUUUGAUGGAAGGAAUUAUCCUUACACCAUAGAUAUGAAGAAUAAAUGGUUUAUCCCAUAUAAUUGAUUUUCAUGCAGGGUUGAAUAAACUAAUUUGUUAAACUUUUAUAAUUCAUGAGUAGGGCUUCACGAAUUCAACACAUUUCCCCACAAGCAAAAACAUGAACAGUAAAGAGUAACUUGGAAUAAUCUUACUUUUUUCUGCUAUGAUAAUUGCUUCUUUAGGUGGAAUUAUCCAACAGCCAAUGAUUUUGGAUCAGAAAUUAUUCCAAUGUCUACAAAGGAGUAUAAUGUUCAGGUAAUUUCCUCGAUUAAAAAACGAUCAUAGUUUAACUUGUAACUAGAUCUCAAUACUGCAUAAAUAGAGUUCAUACUUUCUGGCCUUGUGAAGCUUGCCUUUUAUGGAUUGCAUCUUAAAACCAUAUUCCAUUUACUGGUUUUAAGUGAGAGUGUUUCUAUGUGAAUCUGCAUCAUAAAAAGGAAAUGUUAAAUUUUACUCCAGAAAUUACUGAUGGAACUUUGUUGAUUCCAUACCAGGCAUAUCUAUUCAAUGGAUACUGGGAGGAUAUUGGAACUAUAAAAUCUUUCUUUGAUGCCAACUUGGCCCUAACGGAUCAGGUAGUUUUCUUUAAACUUUCCUAGUGCAGUUUUUGGUGGUCCAAAUGAAUUUUUAUAACCCGCCAUCUUUUUCCAUACUUUUGAAGCCUCCCAAUUUUCACUUCUUUGAUCCUCUGAAGCCAAUCUUCACUUCUCCCCGAUUUCUGCCACCAACUAAAAUCGAGAAGUGCCGGGUAUGAUUUUAAACUCAUUUCUUAUAUACUGUAACAUUCUCACGGUCAUGUUUCCGUGAACUGAGCUUGUCCAUUAACUCUUAGCUAUUAUAGGUCAAGGAUUCCAUAGUUUCGCAUGGUUGCUUUUUAAGGGAGUGUAGUGUUGAACGUUCCAUUGUCGGCGUUCGCUCUAGACUGGAAUACGGGGUUGAGCUGAAGGUAACCUAUUCCCUUCUCAUUCUUUUGUUUGCAAUGACAAACUAGCUAAAAGUUCAUCUGAGGAAGAGACAUGACAGAAAGUUCCUUCUGGAUAAUAAACUGAAAAUAAUUGUCAGUUGGGACUGGACUUUGAAGUUCAAUGUCUGUCCUAAUGUUAAGAUAAAGAAGACUAUAUCAUGCAUGUAAUUUCUUCUAGCAAUAUGUUAGCAGUUGCUUGGUAAAUAAGUUAUUUGGACCUCUAAUAUGGAACAUCAUUUUGUGUACAUCACAAUGAUAUAGUAUGAAUAAAUAUGCUGUGGAAAAUCUAGUGGAUUUCAUAUGAAUCUUGUUCCGAUAAGCUUGACAUUCGCGUAUCCAGAACAAAGAUCUUUUCUCAUCUUGCUUAACAAUUGGAGGACAUGUUUAAGAAUCAAAGCCAUGUAAUCAGUGCACUUGGAUUACAUCAGUGCUCUGAAUCGUAUUUGGAAUGAUUGUUCUGAAUCGUAUAUUCCACAGGAUACCAUGAUGAUUGGUGCUGAUUAUUAUCAAACAGAGGCCGAAAUAGCAGCCUCUUUAGCAGAAGGAAGAGUUCCAGUAGGUGUUGGGAAAGAUACCAAAAUCAUGUAAGUUCACUACAAAAGUAAACAGAAGCAAAAGAUUUUGAUAUUUGAACUGAUGUUUUCAAAUUGCUCAAGUUUUUUGGCAGAAAGAAUAUAUUUAAGAACAUAUGAGGAUCCCUUUCUUCAACUUUUAGCAGCCUCUUUUAUUUUCUUGUUGACAUAUGCAACUAGAGAACUGUGGACAAGAUAGUUAACUGGAAUGCAGUAUAAAUGUGUCCUGCGCCGUUUUAUAUUUCUCUUGUGGUGAUAAAUGUUUUCAAUUUAACCCUUUAGAGAUAAUAAUAUAAUUAUUUAUGAGGCACAUAUGGUUAUUUCUAUCGUCCUGCAGGAAUUGUAUAAUCGACAAGAACGCCAGAAUUGGAAAGAAUGUGAUCAUAGCAAACAAAGAAGUAAGUAUUUCUGCAAAGUUGUCAGCUCCUUCCCUCCCUCACCCGCACCACCAUUUUCUGAAAUUCCUCUGGAGGGAAGGGGGUAAAGAAGGUUAAUGAUGUAUAUUACAUUUUCAAGAUACACUUGUGAACAGAGCAUGCUGUACAUACUCAAAUUCUGUGAUUUUGGCUUGAGUUGCAGGGUGUGCAAGAGGCAGAGAGACCAUCCGAGGGAUUCUAUAUCAGAUCAGGAAUAACUGUGGUGUUAAAAAACUCUGUAAUAAAGGAUGGAACGAUCAUAUAGAAGGCGAGAAGGUGCAUACAUGUAUAUACAAGACUUGAUCAUGGUUGUGUGCAGAAUAGGACUGCACUCCAUGCAAUAGGUUGAUCUUGUCGUUACUUCCUUUUGUAUUAUCAGAAUUUUGAAUCCCAUUUUCAUCCAGCACAGAGACAAGGUUUCUGGUCCAUAGAUAUGUCAAGGAUUUUCAUAUAAGUUAUUUGGGUAUAAGGUGUCAAACUUUAUUGAACCAUUGAUCAAAGUAAAAUUAGUCAUUGAAUAAAUUAUUCGGUAUUCGAGAUUUAUUAACAAAUUUGAGGAGCUUUGAAGACUUGCCAAACUCUCCUAUAACGAGUGGCUUUCUAAGCACCGAUCUGGAGUCUUGGAUCCAUCUAUCCACAAGUGAGUCUUGCUCUUCUUCACUUGAAUUUGGCAACCUGCCAUUGCAUUAAUCUGGCAAGACUUGCAGAUAAGUUAUGAUCUAAACGAAGGUACAAUGAGUUAAGGAUGAUAAAAAAAUAAAUAUAUUACCAUUGAUCUGGGUAGAGAUGAAUGGUGGCAAAAUCUAUUUGCGGGAUUUCGUUGUUAGAGAUCAAAUCAG
rnacentral:lncRNA from 1 species